rnacentral:lncRNA from 1 species
GGAUUACUUCUUUUAGUUUAAUUAAGAUGGCAUAGUAUGGGUUUUAUUUCACAUAAGUUGUGAAAACCUUCAUCUUGCCUACAGGUGUUGAAGUUUUUCAUGAAGGAACUUUUGUGACAUAAAAUCUAGUACUAGAAAUUAGUUAUUUUUCUUGCCUACAGGUGUAAAUUAAUUUAGUUUCAUGAAGUAUAUUGGGAUAAAGUUCCAUGCCAUUAGUGACAAAUAUUUCCACAAUGAGCCCCAUAAAAGGUUGGUUUGAAGGCAUGGAAAUCGGUUGCAUCAUGACGUAUUUUGUGUCUCUUCAUGAGACUUGUUGAUGCAAAGUAUUGGACCCAUGAUCAAGGAUUGCUAAGGUACGCAUUAUUUAAGUCUUUAUGCUUGAAAAUCUUUUCAAUUUGAACUAUGAUGUCGGUUUAGAGGAUGAAAUUUGACUACUAAAGUUUCCUUUGGACAUCGAAAUUGAAAUGAUAUGAAAUUGAAUUUGUUAUGGAUGCAUAAAUUCAUGAUAGAUGCACAUAAUUGUUUCUGGCAGAUUGCGUGUCUUGAUUUAAAUCGGGUGAAUGACAAGUCUAAUGGUCACCAAAUGACCCGAAUUUUGGAUAUGUUCAACAUAUAGAUGUCUAAUAUGUGUCUACAAAUUUUCGUAAUUUUCUGCCAUGUAUUUUAAUUAUGAUGAAUUCACUAGUAAUCCAUGCUCGUAUAGACAGUUACUGGCAGAUUAUGUUGGUCUUUUUGAGACGUGACUUUAGACUACUAUUUUGAUCCAAAACAGCUUUAUAUUUUUAUUUUAUGAAGAUUAGUAUGUCUAUUUUGAUCAGUAUAAAUUUGGUAGCAAUCAAGCUUGUAAAUUAAUUAUGAUAAAUUCUAAAGUAAGUGUAACUCAUUGCUGAAAUUUUGUUUGACAACUUUAUGUUGGUUGAGAUGUCUAUUUUAUUAUGUCUAAAAUAUAGAGCAAUUUUUUUUAGGAACAUCUUUGAAAGAAUAUAUUAAUGAGUGUUUGCCCAAGUGGGAGAAUUAGUGAACGAAAAUUGGGCUUCACACUCAUUAACUUAUUUGCAAGUAUAAACUCUGAAAACUUAGUGGGAGUUUUUGAGCAUUAAGCGGAUUUGCAUGAAUUUAUUAAAGCAUUAUUCUAGCUUCCAUGUAUUUGUGUUACUCGAAUAAUAAUAAUAUGUUUAAGUUGCACAAAUGGCUACUUAGUAUAUGUGUACAUUUUUCUGUUACUUGCAAUCAUUUGGAUUUUUUGGUUGAUCAUUCGUUUUGAGGCUCAUAAGGACUUAGCAUAAAUGUGGACUUAUUAAUACAUAUAAGAUGGUUGUUGGAUGCAUGUUUUUGUGUAACAGUGAUGAAUGCUUUCAUGCUUAAUUGUACCUUUCAUUGAGGUAAUAUGCAUUCAUUGACUAAGUAAGGCUAUUCCCAAAGGCAUAUUUUUCAAAAAAUAUGAUUAAAGUAUUGAUUUGCAAAUUAAGUGAUGAUGUUGCAGAUCAGUGGGAGUAUGAGUUUCGUGUUAGUAAUGCCUUACAUUUGCAGAUGACCUAUAAGGUAUGUAUAGAAUCCAUGUAUUCAUUUUAAUCUCCAGUUGGAUUCAUUAAGUCACAUUUUUUGUGUGCUAGUAAAUUAUCUGAUGAAAUAUAUAUCAGAUAUCAAGUUGUUAUCAAAUUGCAUAUUAAAUGGCAUGACAUGGUUUAUGUACUACCUCAGUUGUGAGGAUUUCCAUCUUGCCCGUAGGUGUUGGAAAUCACUAUGAAAGUAACUGGUAUGGUGCAUAGAUCAGUGUCAAAAACAUAUUAAUUCAUCUUGCUCACAAGUGUUGAAUUAAUUUGUUUUAUGAAGUUUUUGGGAUAUUUUACUUGGACAUGUGCCUAUUUGGUAUUUUCAGUUGUGUCCGUUGGCUACAAACAUUAUUUGUAUUAUUACUGAUAUAAUGAAAGUGAUGCAUGAUUGUUUUGGAGAUGUAUUCAGACCUGCAGGUUAUGGUUGUUUCAUUAGAUGAAAGAUAUCUGCAUUGGCAGAUUUAAGGCUUCGAAGAAGCAUAAAGUGUAACUUGUGAGUUACAAUAAGGUGGACCUGAGAUGAUAUAAAGUAAGACAUUUUGGUUAAUUUAAAGUUUAAUUUUAAAGUUUCAUCUUUUGAUCAUAAUUUGUGUUUCAUGUAAAUGAGGAUCUUAGCAUGUGUGAUUAUGAAGGUUCUGGGUUGUGUCAACUCUACAACCUUGUUAGUUCCAUGUUAAGAAAUGCAUUUGACAGAAGCUGCAUUAAGGACGAGAUGUUAUCACUGUUACAUGGCCACUAAAGUGACAUUAGUCUCCAAUCUCAAGUAUAAACAUGAAUAUUACAUUUUGUAGACCAAGUGGGAGAAUGUUGGAUUUAUCUAAUAUAAAUCAACCUUUAAGUGGUCUACUAUAUGUAAUAGGAAUGUAAUAUUGGAGAAUAAUGUUAAUUGUGAUUUGAUCUCUUAAAGAUAUCAAUCCUAUAUAAGGUGUCUUAUAUUGGAAAUAGGAUUGAUGGAAUCCUUAAUAAUAUAUGAUUAUGAUAUUUUACUUGAGAGCCAAGAAAUGAGAGUUUUAGUUUUCCCUUAUGGACGGAAUCUAAGACUUUUUGGCUAGUAUAUAAACAUCGGUCCCUGCUAACCCUAGACACGACAACUAAGACUUCCCAUAGAGCAUUGUCAUAAAGCUAGGAGUUUACAGAAGAGUUGGUGUUUCUGUUUGUCACGCAAACAUGAAGAUUAGAGUUUUAUCGAUCACGUCUUGCUUGCAUGGCUGCUACAUCUUCGAUAACUACCAUUGGAAUCAGGUCAGUCACUCCUUCAAUUGUGUUUUAAUUGUAUAACCUUAUAAGGCUAACAGAAAAGGGUUGCACGCUAUAGGCUAGGUACAUCAAAGGGUUUAAAUAUGGCAUGUGAACUAAAGACCAAUUGGUCUUAGUUGUCGGCGUCAGUUUAAUGAGUUGUUGGUGUAUGCCUGUAACUAGAUGCAAUGUUUGUGCAUUUGGUACGCAUCCGGAGGUGAACACAAUGGAGAGAAAAUCAAAGAGACAAGAUUGGUAUUUCUUGGGGUAGGUUUGCGAGAAUACUACUGUGAGACAGACAGUGUACAAGGGUUUCGGGUUUGGAUUAUGUUGAUUUAAUUUAAGUGUAUCUUGUACUUGUUAUUAAUUUCAUAGUGGAGCAAUAUCUUUCCAGACACGUAAGUAGGAUUUUGCCAAACCUCGUAAAUUUCUCGGUGUCUUUAUUUCUUGUUUAUUUUAUUGUAUUCAACUGUGGUUUGUAUUCUGGUGAGGUCAUAAUCUAAAACUGGAUUCCGCAUAGCCAAAAGCACAACAUGAAUAAAAACUAAUAAUCCUUCAACCGAUAGUAUCAUAGAUCAAGUCAAUGCAGAGAAAAUGAAUACAUUUCUAUACUAUCAAUUUGGUCCACAUAUCAAGGAAAGAGUGCACAGUAUCACUGGUCUAGUUUAACAACGUACGUGACAAUGUAACAUGUCAUACUAUCUAAAUAAAGUCGAUUUCCCGACAUCUAUGCCCCACUGGUAUGCAAGAUUCUGCCGUGAGAAAGAAGGUGAAAAAACUUUGAGGAUUAUGAUAGAUGUUGGGAUCCAUCUUAGCUCUACGAUUUACCUCUAUUUCUAUGCCCCACUGUUUGUUUAAUCAUGUAUUUUGUUUUUGUUUGAUUUAUUCAAUCCAAUGGCUAGAAAUAGAGAUUACAUCACCUCCCUAUAUUUACGAUUUACCUCACAAUAAUUCUUAUAAAUUGGGUUCUGCUCAAGCUGCUAGACAACCGCAACUUACCCAAACUAAAGUUCCACACAAAACUGAUACCAUGGCGAUUUACAAGUUCAUUUCACCACUUCUCUUCUUCUCAUAUUUCUGCAUGCAUGUUGUUCUUAACUCGUGUCUUAGUUUGGCCCUUGUCGGAUCAAACGAGACCGAUAAACUGGCCUUGCUUGAAUUCAAGGCUAGGAUUAUUGUUAAAAGAGCCCAAUCCCAGCCCAUUCCACACAAAUCCAGAAAAUUCUAGCACCAAAGUCGGUGCAGCAUGCAGGCAUGUCAAUAUGCUAGAUAAUUCUAGCAUUAUCCUAUUAAGUCAGUGGAUGUGUGUGUAUAAUCAUGUGCUAGAAAGUUCUAGCAGCUUGUACAAUUGUGUGGCUGCCAUGCAAAGCCCAAAGGCGGUGGGCAAUUGUAGUCGGCAAAACCACACCUAUAAAUAGGUGUGUGUGUGUGUUGCUAAGUAAUCAAGAAACCAACCAACCAAUCAAGAAGGCAACCAAGUGAGAGUGAGAAGCAAGAAUAGUCUUGUAGGAGCGUGAGUGAUCUAGAGUGAGUCUUUAGAAAGUGAGUGAGUGUCAUUGCUUCUAAAGUUGUGUCCUUGUGAGUGUUGUAAUAUUUUUUUUGUGUAAUACAAGUAAUUUGUUUACGUGUGUUGUCUCUCCAACACUUGUGUUAGAGUUGUGUACUCUAAAGUUUUUCCUCAACAAUUGGUAUCAAAGCGGUAUGAUCAGGGACCGUCUCUAGUGAAGCUUUUGAGAAUCGUGAGAAGUUUAGUACUUCGCAAGAUUAUUCGUCAAUCUUGUUCGGCUUAUCAAAGUUCUACCGACACGAUGGGAGAUCUUCAAGUUGUUGGAGGAAUCAAGAAGUUGAACAACAAAAAUUACAACACAUGGGCGACGUGUAUGGAGUCUUACCUCCAAGGCCAAGAUCUUUGGGAUGUCGUCGGCGGUAAUGAAGUUACGCAGCAGGAAGAAGACACCAGCGACAUUUUGAGGAAGUGGAAGAUCAAGGCAGGUAAGGCUAUGUUUGCCUUAAAAACCACAGUUGAAGAUGACAUGUUGGAGCACAUACGAAAGGCCAAGACACCAAAAGAAGCGUGGGACACCUUCGCCACACUCUUUUCAAAAAGGAAUGAUACAAGACUCCAGCUUCUCGAGAACGAGUUGUUAUCGGUGACCCAACUAGACAUGACGAUUGCCGAAUAUUUCCACAAGGUAAAGUCUAUUUGCCGUGAAAUUUUUGAAUUAGAUCCUAGUGCUGCCAUUGCAUAAUCUAGGAUAAAAAGAAUAAUUAUCCAUGGAUUGAGACCCGAAUAUCGAGGCUUCGUUGCCGUUGUACAAGGAUGGCCGACCCAACCAUCACUUGUUGAGUUUGAGAAUUUGCUUGUCGAUCAAGAAGCUUUGGCAAAGCAAAUGGGAGGGUUCUUGUCAAGAGCUGAGGAGGAAGCACUCUACACCAAAAGUAAAGGCAGUUUUAAGCAGUAUGCUGGUAAAGGAUAAAAAAGAAAUGGUGACAAAGAGAAAGGUCAUCGGAAGGGAGGGAGUUCUCGACCAGGGGGAGCUUCGAAGUAUCACGACAACCAUGGUCAAUCCCAGAAUAAUAAAAGGUUUGAGGGCAAGUGCUACAAUUGUGGAAAGAAGGGCCACAUGGCGAAGGAUUGCUGGUUCAAAAAGCCUGCAGAAAGUAAUGUUGUCAACUCAGAGAAGAAAAAUGAAGAUGAUUGGGACGUCAUUACGUCUCUAGGUCUAGAGGAAUAAUAGGACGCUGAAUCAUCCAUUGAUACGGAGAAGCAAGAGUUAGCUCUUACAGCAGCAAGUCCGGUGUCGAUUGACUACUAGAAUGAUUGGAUCGUGGAUUCAGGCUGCUCAAACCAUAUGAUAGGUGAUGAGAAAAAGUUACAAAGUCUAACUGAGUACAAAGGAGGCCGCUUAGUGGUGACAGCUAACGACUCAAGGCUACCGAUUGCUUACAUCGGCAAGACAGUAAUUGAGCCCCGAUAUAACACUAACCAUAUGCCUUUUCAAGAUGUCUACCAUGUUCCAGGUAUGAAGAAAAAUUUGCUUUCAGUGCCCCAACUAACGUAAUUGGGAAAUUAUGUCUUGUUUGGUCCAUGAGAGGUGAAGGUGUAUCGACACCUCAAGAUCUUAAGGACGCCAACAAUGGGGGGACGGCGAUUGCAGUCAGUCUAUGUAAUGUUAGCAGAAACUGCAUACGUAGACAAGACAAGGAAGAACGAGACAGCCGAUUUAUGGCAUAUGAGAUUGGGUCACAUUAGCUAUCACAAACUAAAUGUGAUGAUGAAGAAGUCAAUGCUUAAGGGGCUACCUCAACUUAACGUGAGAACAGACAAGGUUUGUGCAGGAUGUCAGUAUGGUAAAGCACAUCAACUACCAUACGAAGAGUCGAAGUUUAAAGUGAAAGAUCCAUUGGAGUUGGUUCAUUCCGAUGUGUUUGGGCCCGUCAAGCAACCAUCGAUAAGUGGGAUGCGAUACAUGGUGACAUUCAUUGAUGACUUCUCCAGGUAUGUGUGGGUUUUCUUUAUGAAAGAAAAAUAUGAAACAUUUUCAAAAUUUAAAGAGUUUAAGGAGACAGUUAAAGGAGAAGUAGGAAAGAAGAUCUGUUGCAUACGCACAGAUAAUGGAGGAGAAUAUACCUCGAAUGAGUUUUCCCAGUAUCUAUGAGAAUGUAGAAUACGUCACUAGUUCACAUGUGCCAACACGCCACAACAGAAUGGCGUAGCGGAAAGAAAGAAUCGGCAUCUUGCAGAAAUAUGUCGAAGUAUGCUCCAUGCUAAGAAUGUACCAGGAAGGUUUUGGGCUGAAACUAUGAAACUACAGCUCAUGUGAUCAACAGGCUUCCUCAACCAAGGUUAGAAUUUGUCUCACCCUUUGAGAAACUAUGGGAUAUGAAACCUACAGUUAGUUACUUUCGAGUAUUUGGCUGUGUGUGUUACGUAUUUGUUCCAAGUCAUUUACGUAGCAAGUUUGACAAAAAGGCAGUCCGAUGUAUCUUUGUGGGAUACGACAGCCAAAGAAAAGGGUGGAAAUGUUGGGAUCCUACAAAUGGAAGGUGUUACACAUCACGAGAUGUGGUGUUUGAUGAAACAUCUUCUUGGUGAUCCUCAGAAUAGGAGGCGUUGCCUGAUUCGAGAGAGAUAGAAAUAAGUUGCAGCAAAAGAUGGGGGAGCAAAUUGUUCAAAUCCAGUCGAGACCAGAUGAGUCUGAGGAUUCACUUGAUGGUGAUAGUGUUGAGCAAGCAAUGCCCCAAAACCCUUGGCAAGCUGGAGUAUAUCAACAACCAGAAGAAGAAAGACCUAGUGAAGUGGAAGUAUCGACUCCACAAUCACAACCAAGGAGGUCAACAAGAGUCAGGAAGCCAAAUCCUAAAUAUGCCAGUGUAGCUAUAGAAGAAGAAGCAGCUGAACCUAAGUGGUUCAAAGUUGGGAGAAGAGGUCACUGGAAGCUAAAUCAAGCUUGGAAUCUAGUGUCAAAGUGAAGAUAUGUGAAACCCAUAUUAUGCAAAUGGGUGUGCAAUAAAAAGCUUCAUCGUCAACUCGGCAUGGAGGAAAGAAUGAGCUGGUGUUGAAAGGGAGUGUUAAAAGAGCCCAACCCCAGUCCAUUCCGCACAAAUCCAGAAAAUUCUAGCACCAAAGUCGGUGCAGCAUGCAGGCAUGUCAAUAUGCUAGAUAAUUCUAGCAUUAUCCUAUUAAGUCGGUGGAUGUGUGUGUAUAAUCAUGUGCUAGAAAGUUCUAGCAGCUUGUACAAUUGUGUGGUUGCCAUGCAAAGCCCAAAGGCGGUGUGCAAUUGUAGUCGGCAAAACCACACCUAUAAAUAGGUGUGUGUGUGUGUGUGUGUGUUGCUAAGUAAUCAAGAAACCAACCAACCAAUCAAGAAGGCAACCAAGUGAGAGUGAGAAGCAAGAAUAGUCUUGUAGGAGUGUAAGUGAUCUAGAGUGAGUUUCUAGAAAGUGAGUGAGUAUCAUUGCUUCUAAAGUUGUGUCCUUGCGAGUGUUAUAAUAUUUUGUGUGUGUAAUACAAGUAAUUUGUUUACUUGUGUUGUCUCUCCAACACUUGUGUUAGAGUUGUGUACUCUAAAGUUUUUCCUCAACAAUAAAUACAGACCCCUUUGGAGUCAUGACUUCGUGGAACGAAACCAUCCACUUUUGCCAAUGGCACAGUGUUACCUGUGGUCACCGCCACAAAAGGAUCACUACGUUGACGCUCAGGUCCUUGAAACUUGCAGGCUCCAUAUCGCCACAUGUUGGAAAUUUGAGUUUCCUUAGAGUGUUCAGUCUCUCAAACAAUAGCUUCAGUCAUGAAAUUCCUCCAGAAAUUGGCCGUCUGGGCAGGCUACAACGUUUGGAAUUGCAGAAUAAUUCACUAAGUGGAGAAAUUCCAGCUAAUAUAUCAGGUUCCUCUAAACUCAACUACAUAUAUCUUGACGGCAAUUUGUUAGAAGGUAGUAUCCCCAAGGAGCUUGGCACAUUGUCAAAGCUAAAAGUAUUCUGUAUUGAAUUCCACCACCAUACAGGAAGUUUCCCUUACUCUUUUAGCAACAUAUCAUCUCUUGAAGUGUUUGCUGCUGUUGUUAAUAAUUUAGGUGGCAUUAUUCCAGAUAUCUUUGGUCGACUGACCAAUUUUUAUUUUCUUGGUUUGGAUGAAAAUGACUUGUCUGGUACGAUACCUCCUUCGGUUUUCAAUCUCUCUUCUCUUGAAACCUUUGUUGUGGCACAUAAUAACAAAUUCUAUGGCACUUUGCUGGCUUUCUUCCCAUGGAAGUCGGACAAUUGAUAAAUCUAGAGCAUUUUGAUGUUUCUGGAAACCUGUUGUCCGGUGAAAUUCCUCCAAGUCUUGGAAGUUGUAAAACCAUACAGUAUCUUGACUUGCAAGAAAACUUCUUCCAAGGGACAAUUCCAUCAUAUUUGAGCUCACUAAGAGGUAUUGAAACCUUAUCUCUCGCUCGCAACAACUUGUCAGGGACAAUUCCAAAAUUCUUGGAGAAUUUUUCUUUUCUGCAAUCCUUGAAUCUGUCUUAUAACAAUUUAGAGGGCAUGGUACCAAUUGAAGGAGUUUUUCGUAAUGCAACUGCCACAUCAGUCCAAGGGAAUAAAAAACUCUGCAUGGGGCAUACCAGAGUUUCAAUUGCCAAAAUGCGAUUUUCAACAUUCCAACAAAAGGGGGUUGAGCCUAACCUUGAAACUGGUAAUCCUUCUCCAUUGUGGGCUUUCUGGAGCCUUCUUUUCAUUUUCCUUUUUGUACUUCUGUUGCUUCCGGAGGAAAAAAAAAAAAGGGAUCGUUCGAGUGAUUCUGAAAAAUUUCCUAAGAUGUCUUACCAAAGUCUUCUUAAAGCUACUAAUGGAUUCUUUUCUGCCAACUUGAUUGGUAUGGGAAGUUUUGGGUAAGUUUAUAAAGGAUUACUUGAUCAAGGUGAAACAACAAUUGCCAUCAAGGUACUCAACCUCGUUCGACGCGGAGCUUCCAAAAGUUUCACUGCUGAGUGCGAGGCUUUGAAAAAUAUUAGACACCGUAAUCUGUUGAGAAUCAAUGUCAACCCAAAACCAUAAGUAAUCCACAACCCAAUCUAAAGUCCAAGUCCAUAUCUAGUUUGAUGAUGUAAGUGCUUACAAUUGCAAAGUUAGGCAAGUUAGGUUGUGUGUGAAAACAAAGCAAAGUUAGGCAAAGUUAGGUUGUGUGUGAAAACAAAUAAUUAGGUGCAAUUAAUGUGUUUUGUGUGGUAGUAAAUAAUCUUAGUUUAAUUAAGUAGCUUUCAUUUGGUUUGCUAUAAAUACCCAAGUCCCCAAGCCUUGUAAAUCAUCCAAGGAAAAACAAAGCCUAGAGCUAAAUAAGAAAAGCUUUGCUAAUUAGUUUGUUUUGUGAGCUUUCUUUAAGAGUGUGCUCUAUUUUUCUUCUUCUUGGGAUCAUUAGAGUUAUCUUGGAUACUCUUCUUAUUCAACAAUUGGUAUCAGAGCCAAGACGGUCAGGGAUCGUUCUUGGUGGAGCUAUCUUGAGUCGUGAGGAGUUUGGUACUCUGCAAGUUUGUUAGUCAAGCUUGAUCGGUACAGUCGAAGUCUUGCCGACACGAUGGGUGACCUUCAAGUAGUUGGAGGAAUCAAGAAGCUCAACAACAAUAACUACAACAUGUGGGCAACAUGUAUGGAGUCUUACCUACAAGGUCAGGACCUUUGGGAGGUUGUCGGUGGUGGAGAAGUUACACAACCAGCGACAGAAGAUGCCAAUGGCGUCUUGCGAAAGUGGAAAAUUAAAGCAGGCAAAACAAUGUUUGCUUUAAAGACCACAAUUGAUGAAGAAAUGUUGGAGCACAUUCGGGAUGCUAAAACGCCAAAGGAAGCAUGGGACACUUUUGUUACACUCUUUUCGAAGAGGAACGAUACAAAAUUGCAACUUCUCGAGAAUGAGCUGCUAUCGAUGGUACAACGCGACAUGACGAUUGCCCAGUACUUUCACAAGGUGAAGUCGAUAUGCCGCGAAAUUUCAGAAUUAGAUCCAACAGCUCCUAUUGGGGAAACCAGGAUGAAGAGAAUAAUUAUCCAUGGUUUGAGACCCGAAUAUCGAGGGUUCAUUGCCGCUAUACAAGGAUGGCCGACACAACCAUCGCUUGUUGAGUUUGAAAAUUUGCUUGCAGGUCAAGAAGCUAUGGCCAAGCAAAUGGGAGGAGUCUCACUGAAGAGUGAAGAGGAAGCGCUCUACACCAACAAAAGCAAAGGCACCUUCAAGCGGUACACUGGUAGUGAAUCUAAAAAGGAUGGAGAAAAGGUGCAAAGUCACCAAGGAAAUGGAGGCUCUCAUUCUGGGGGAGCUUGGAAGAAUCGCGGUAAUAGUAAAAAGUUUAGUGGCAAGUGUUACAACUGCAGGAAGAUGGGCCACAUGGCGAAAGAUUGCUGGACCAAGAAAAAGUCUGCUGAAAGUAAUGCUGCUACUUCCAGUUCUAAGGAGAAUAGCGAAGAUGGUUGGGAUGCUGAAGCACUAUUCGCUACGGAGGAAGAAGAAUUAGCUCUCACGGUAACAACACCAGAACGAAUUGACUACAAUAAUGAUCCAACAAGUGGAAGAUGUUACACUUCACGAGAUGUGGUGUUUGAUGAAGCUUCCUCUUGGUGGUCCUCAGAGAAGGAGGUGCUACCAGACUCCAGAGAAUUUGGAAAACAGCUGCAACAGAAGAUGGGGGAGCAUACUAUCCAACUCCAACCAAGUUCAGAUGAAUCAGGAGAUCCAAAUGGCGAUGAUGUCGAACAAAGAGUGGCUCAGAAUCCUUGGCAAAUUGGCGUGUAUCAACAACCAAACGAAGAAGGUGGGCCGAGUGAAACGGAAGAAUCAACUCCACAAUCUCAACUUCGAAAGUCAACAAGAACACGAAGGCCAAAUCCUAAAUACGCCAAUGCAGCCAUAAUUGAAGAAGCAAUAGAGCCUAAGACGUUCGAAGAAGCAUCGCAGAGUUCUGAGUGGAUGACAGCUAUGAAAGAAGAGAUCAAUGCACUUCAACAAAAUCAGACUUGGGAUCUCGUGCCAAAGCCAAGAGAUGUGAAACCCAUAUCCUGCAAGUGGGUUUACAAGAUAAAGCGCCGUCCAGAUGGGUCAAUUGAGAGGUACAAGGCACGAUUGGUAGCUCGUGGUUUCUCUCAACAAUAUGGACUAGACUAUGAUGAAACGUUUAGUCCAGUAGCGAAACUUACAACUGUACGAGUCCUACUUGCACUUGCAGCCAACAAAGACUGGAAUCUGUGGCAGAUGGAUGUGAAGAAUGCUUUUCUUCAUGGAGAGUUGGAUCGGGAGAUCUACAUGAUCCAACUAAUGGGAUUUCAGAGCCAAGAUCAUCUUGAACAUGUGUGUAAACUGCGGAAAGCACUCUACGGAUUGAAACAAGCACCCAGGGCGUGGUAUGGUAAGAUUGCUGAAUUUCUAACACAAAGUGGUUAUUCAGUAACACAUGCAGAUUCCAGCUUGUUUGUCAAAGCCAAUGAAGGAAAGCUAGAUAUUGUGCUAGUGUAUGUGGAUGACUUAAUCAUAACCGGUGAUGAUGAGACAGAAAUUCUUCGGACGAAGGAGAAUUUAUCAGUCCGUUUCCAGAUGAAGGUACUUGGACAGCUCAAGCACUUCCUUGGUCUAGAGAUUGAUCGCACACAAGAAGGAAUAUUUCUCUGUCAGCAAAAAUAUUCCAAAGAUUUAUUGAAGAAGUUUGGAAUGCUCAAAUGCAAGCCGAUUUUGACGCCGAUGGAGCCAAAUGUCAAAAUGAGUGCAUAUGAAGGAAAAGAUUUGGAAGAUGCGACGAUGUAUCGACAAUUGGUAGGUAGUUUGAUCCACUUAACCUUGACUCGACCUGACAUUUCUUAUGCAGUUGGUGUGAUGAGUUGGUACAUGCAAAAUCCAAAAAAGCCUCAUUUGGAAGCAGUUCGACGAAUACUGAGAUAUGUGAAGAGUACAAUUGACUAUGGUCUUUUGUACAAGAAAGGUGAAGACUGCAAGUUAGUUGGUUACUGUGAUGCUGACUAUGCGGGAGAUCAUGACACCAGGAGAUCAACAACUGGGUAUGUGUUUAAGCUUGGUUCUGGAACCAUCUCUUGGUGUAGCAAGAGACAGCCGACGGUAUCUUUGUCAACCACAGAAGCAUAGUAUAGAGCAGCAGCAAUGGCAGCUCAAGAGAAUGCAUGGUUGGUACAGUUGAUGAGUGAUCUACAUCAACCAGUAGAUUAUUCAGUACCAUUGUACUGUGAUAAUCAAUCGGCAAUUCGCUUGGCAGAAAAUCCAGUCUUUCAUGCAAGAACUAAGCAUGUGGAGGUACACUACCAUUUCAUUAGAGAGAAGAUCUUGCAAGAAGAUAUUGAGAUCAGACAAAUCAAUACAGAUGAUCAAAUUGCAGACUUGUUCACAAAAGGUUUGAGUACUGCCAAGUUUAAAAAGUUUCGUCGUCAACUCAGCAUGGAGAAAAGAAUGAGAGCUGACAUUGAGGGGGAGUGUUGAGAAUCAAUGUCAACCCAAAACCAUAAGUAAUCCACAACCCAAUCUAAAGUCCAAGUCCAUAUCUAGUUUGAUGAUGUAAGUGCUUACAAUUGCAAAGUUAGGCAAGUUAGGUUGUGUGUGAAAACAAAGCAAAGUUAGGCAAAGUUAGGUUGUGUGUGAAAACAAAUAAUUAGGUGCAAUUAAUGUGUUUUGUGUGGUAGUAAAUAAUCUUAGUUUAAUUAAGUAGCUUUCAUUUGGUUUGCUAUAAAUACCCAAGUCCCCAAGCCUUGUAAAUCAUCCAAGGAAAAACAAAGCCUAGAGCUAAAUAAGAAAAGCUUUGCUAAUUAGUUUGUUUUGUGAGCUUUCUUUAAGAGUGUGCUCUAUUUUUCUUCUUCUUGGGAUCAUUAGAGUUAUCUUGGAUACUCUUCUUAUUCAACAUAAUCUUGUGAAGUUACUUUCUGCAUGCUCCGGAUUCAACUAUCGUGGUUUUGAUUUCAAGGCCUUAAUUUACGAGUUCAUGGUGAAUGGGAGUUUAGAAGAAUGGUUGCAUCCAACUCAGACAAGUAUUGAUACGGAUCAGAGGCCAAGGAGCUUAAAUUUUUCUCAAAUGUUGAAUAUUGCUAUAGAUGUUGCAAUGGCAUUGGAUUAUCUCAAUCAUCAGCGUCACAUGCCAAUAGUUCAUUGCGACCUCAAACCCAGCAAUGUUCUUCUCAACGAUGAUAUGAUUGGACAUGUAGGUGACUUUGGGUUGGCGAGAUUCCUUCCAAGAACUCUUGAAGAUGGUUUUGGUAACUAGUCAAGCUCCAUAGGAGUUAAGGGAACAAUCGGUUAUACUCCUCCAGGUAAAACGUACUCACUUUCUGUUCACCUUUUUGAGUAUUCAUUUAUAAGUUGAUUUUUUUUACAUAUAAAUAUAAAAACAUUUGUACAAAUGCAGAGUAUGGUAUGGGGCAUGAAGUGUGGCCACAAGGUGACGUGUAUAGUUAUGGCAUCCUCCUCCUGGAAAUGUUUAUGGGAAAAGGGCCAACCAGUGACAUGUUUAAAGGAAGUUCAAAUCUUCACAACUUUGUCAAGGCAGCUCUGCCUGAGCAGGUGUUAGAUAUUGUGGAUCCGGUUCUUAUUCUAGAAAAAAAGGAAGGGGAGAUCAGUGCAAACCAGCAUUUAACAGAGACUAGCACAACGAUUCGCAUGAAAUUUGAAGAGAGCUUGAUUUCAAUUUUAGGAGUUGGUGUUGUAUGCUCCGCAGACAUGCCUGGGGAAAGGUUGGACAUCACUGAUGCUAUGGCUAAGAUGUGUCGGAUCAGAAACAAACUUCGAGCAGAUAAAAUGCUGGAUUAGAAUAAGUGUACUGUUAAGUAUUACCAUGUACGUAAUAAUCUUGUUUCCUUAUGUGGACAGUGGAAGUAGAAGUUUCAGAUUUGCCUGAUCAAUAAAAACAUUAUAGUUGAUAACUUGUCUGACAGACUUCAAUCAAUUUACUAUUUCUAUCCGUUGAGUUAUAUGUAUUUCCAUGAUGACAGAGUUUGUUUGCCAAGGAAGGGUUACUUCAAUGAGGUUUUGCCUAGAGACAUAACUACAUACAUUGUGAUAACUCGAGGUUUGGGGUAUUAACUACAUUGUAAAGAUGAAGAAAAUGAAGAACUGUGUAUAAAGAUUUACAGAAAAUGAAAUUACAGAGAAAAUAGAAAGGUCUGAAAGAUAAGAAGAAAAGUGCUGAUUGUAUUGAAUGAAUUGUAAAGUGUGAUUACAAAGCUUUAUAGAGUAACAUUUCUUAAAGACUAAACUACCCUUCCUUAUCUAGUUAAUAGAUCCUAACUAUCAGAUUCUAACCACCUACAUCCAACUACAACUACCUCAACCACAUAGGUUGACAUGGCAGCAACCAUUCCCAACCAUAUAUGCUGACAUGGCAGCAGCCAUUGCUUCAUCCAUCAUAUGUCUACACUUAUCAUGGGGCAGAUGGGAAGAGCAGAUUUAGCGAGUUCUAACCCGGAUAAGCUAAUGAAGCAGGGUGGUCUCAACAUGGUUAUGUACAACACCUUGAUUAAUGCGCUGGGGAACGUUUGCCGGAUUGACGAAGUAAACAAGCUCCUUGAGCAGAUGAAGAGUGGUUUAUCAACUUUGGCCAGCACCAUAUUAAACCUCUUUAAUCCCACAUUGGUCUACUCGAUGAAGUUCCUCCAACUUUAGCUUUGUACACAAAUCAUUUAGCUAUUUCAAACUCGAGUUCCCUCAUGUGAUGUGCUUCACAUGGACAAUCAAGGUUAUGAAUUAUGAAUCUCGAAUGUCUUACUUUCAUUUGGAUGACUCGUUAACUUCGGUAGCACCUGAUAUAAUUCGCAGACGCCGUCGGCAUCCUGAACAUUAACGGAACAUCCAAAUUAUCGUGCAGCUAGCAUCAUAUCAAAAAAUGCAUGGGCUAAAUCAGCUGGAAACUCCACUUAUGAAAAAAGACAUUCAACAAAUCAGAGCCUCAGGAUUGAACAAAAAAUAGAUGUUUUAGCUACUUUAGUACUCUUGCUAGAGAUCCCCUGAGAUUUUGGAGGCCAGAGGCGAACCCCUUCUACCGUAUUGUACAUUCAUAUAAUUAGUGUUUUUUUUAAGUUUUAACAAGUGGAGGGACACUUGAAAAAACGUACUUCUCUCCACUUAUGCUAUGAUACGUAGUCUACUGCUUGUGUUUUGGGUACAUAAAAAACUCUCUCCUAGAUCAGGGGCUCGAGGUGGCUCUUCCAGCUCUCAUCAGGGCUGGCUCCUUACAUAUCACUAACUACCAACUCAUUUGCUAUAAAAAAAAUGCUACUCUUACCAUAUUUUCAUACCAUAUUUGUACUAUUUUUCUAAUAGAAAUAAAACUCACAUGUAUUAGUGGACCCUACCUCUAUUAAAGAUGUGGUACAAAUGUGAUGAAAAAUUUAUUAAGUGUAAUCACUCGUUAUCAAUGUUAUGUUUAAGUUUCUAACUUAAUUAUUGAUUUAUUUAUCGGAAAAGACAUUUUCUUCCUGAUAGUGGACCAAUCUUCAGACAAAUUCCCCAAUUUUCUACAUGGUUUUGUGAUUUGUGAUGUAUAUACACACACACACACAGGUGUGUGUAACAUGUAUCAAAUUUAUAAUUUAUGUUUGACUGUGUUCAUUCAUUUCUUUCUGUUUUUAAUGACCGGCGAGAUACUUUUCAAGACUGAGGGAAGGCAAUAAGGCCGGUCGUUGAAUUUGACUAGCUGUUCUCAAAUGAGAUGAUUAUACUAAUUAAUCACUAUCUUAUCACCUUAGCUUACGUCCCUUGUUAGAUUAUUAAUGAUGAUGAUAUACAUACAUACAUAUAUAUAUAUAUAUAUAUAUAUGUAUAUAUAUACAUAUAUAUACUUAUAUAGAUUAUAAUCUCCAUCUAUACUGUAAUAAGACGUCUAUUGUAUUCGAUCAUUCCUAAGGAUUUCAAUGGAGCACGAUUGUAGCAAUCCGUCCCGAUUUUAUCGGAACGAAAAAAAUAUUUUCGUAAAAUUUCACCUUAGAUUAAAUCUUUUUGUUUUAAAAUUGGUUUUUGGAUCUUAAUUGGUGAGCCCAAAGGGCCCACCUCCUAAUUUGUCUCCCGGUUCCCUUCCUCUUUUCUUUCUUUUUCUGAUUUUUAUAACACUUUCUCUUCCCUCUCACUUCCGUGCACUCUCUCUUCAACCAUCCCUCUUUUCUCUGAAAACACACACACACACAUACAGCAACCAUCACCACCAUACCUGGACUGUGAUCUCGAAAACCCUAAGCCAAUGGAGUGCUCCACCGUGGCAGUCACGGUGCUUAUUCCCCAAACGCACUCCGGUGACUUUCGAGGAUUUUCCGAUUUAGGUAAGCUUCGAGACUCCUUUGAUCUUCCUUCCUCGUAGUCUACAUUACUUGGUUAGUGAUUAAAAUGGCUUUGGUGAAGGUUUUAGCACGAAAAACAACUCGACGGGCAUUUUCCAGAAAUCUGGAAAUUCCAGGCAGUGGUCAUUUGGCCAUCUUUCAGGCCCUUUUCCGGCCAACUCCGGCCACCAUUUGGUCCCCACUUGUAUGAAUCUCUUCUCCACAUUCCUAACUACAUUUUUGCUUUUGAAUAACUCAAUUUGGUUAAGUAACGAAGAAGUUACGAAGCUUUGUAAAUUCCCCAAACCUCCGGCAAAAACCCAGUUUUCCGACUAGCACCGCCCCUUUCGAGACGUUUUACGUCCAAACCACGGCUAUUUGGCUGGUGUGCAGAGUAUCAAUCUCUUCAUCUCGUCGAGUACUACAACUUUCAUUUUUGUUUCACUUAAUUUGGAUGUGUAACGAAGAAGUUAUGAGCCUUGGAAAAUCAACCUAGAAACCGGCCAAAAACUUGGCUUGAAAACUGGUCAACUUGACCCAUUUGCCCUGAAAUCCAAACCCAUUUAGGCUGAGACCCAGCCCAAUUACCCCAAACCCAAAUCCUUUUAAGUCUAGGCCUUGGGCAGGAUUACCCAAGCCCAACCCAAUUAUUUUUAUUUAUUUAUUUUUCUUUUUAUAAAACCUAAAGGUCUUGGGCCAUUUCUGUUAGAGCCUUAAACCCGUUAGCCACUAAACCCUUUAAACCUUUUAAACCCAAAACCCUUUCUAGGCCUUGAGCCAUAUACCCCCAUGACCCAAAUCCUUGUAACCCAAGUCCAAAACCCUAAACCCUAAUCGGUCCAAACCCUUUAUGGGAAAUAUUCCGUUGAGGAAUAUUUUAGGAAUAUUCUAUUGACUUUCACGAAAUUUACCCGGGAUCCCUCUUUGAGUAAUUCGACGUCCUGAAUCCGUUUUUGACGUCUGAUUUCCCAAAUUCAAUUGUUAUAAUAGAGUUUUAUUAAUUUGACCCCUUUAUGUGCUUAGGUGCAUAUAUUGUCACGAUUUCGUGUUUGCUAGUUUGCGUGGUCUGUGAGUGGAACCCUUUUACAAAUACAUGUUUUAAUAGUAGAAAUGCAUACAUGGAAAAGCAUGAUUUAACAAUUAUGUUCUAUGAAACGUUUUGAGAUAACAUGCUUACUAAAGCUAGAUUGAAUUACUAUUAUUUUUCUUAUAACCCGUGUUCUUUAUAAAAUAUCUGAUGGAUGACGAUAUACUAUUUAUAACACUUUUAGAGCACCUUUUUAUAGUAUAGAUGACACGCCCCAAUCCUGAUAUUCCUCGAAUACCAAGAAAUGCACGUGCUGGCCGAUACCCGAGAAUGACGAAAGCCAUUUAUUGAGUGCAAUUGCUAAAAUAAAGGAUAACUAAGACUUAUAAAUAUAAAAGAAUAAAGAAUAAGCAUUUAAGGAACGUGUUCAGAGUAUACAACUAAUUAGAACACUAAAGGAAUUAAUAUAAAAUUAGAUGAACAAAGGAGUGGGUCCUACACCGAGAGGACUCGAAGAUGCCGAUGCAGAAGUGCCUAGAUGCCGGGAUUGUAUGCCUUGAUUCUAAGUCCUGAAGGGGGCACAAAACAAACAUGAGUGGACCAAGUUGAUGUAUAUAUAUAUAUAUUAAAAUAGUUAUCAACGUACUAACCCCCAGGUUUUAUAAAAACACAUAUAUAAUGAUAAACAUAGGUUUUCUGAAACCUAGCAUGUCGUGCAAUGUCUCAAAUCAUAACUUGUAUAUAUAAUAAUCACUAGUGAAUUGUCCGAUAACCCCCAGGCCCCAUGCUGGCUCCCCGUCUCUGAGCAAACAGUCAGAGGAAAAUACACUUCAGGUCCCAUGCCGGCUCCCCGUCCCUGUGCUAAAUGACCAGAGAAAACACACUCUAGGCCCUAUGCCACACCAAACCGUCACCCGUAACGGACCGGUAUCUAUCCCUACGUCCUGUAGCGGAAAUGACCACUAGAUAAGUACAAAACCAUUGAACAUAUAUAUAUUGAAAAGCAACUUCAUAGUAUAAAGUCAUCUAUCAUCUAUACUAUAAAGAGGUGUUCAAAACGUGUUCUAAAUAUCAUAUCCUCAUCCAUCAGAUAUUCUAUAAGAACACGAGUUAUAGGAAAAAUAGUAAUAAUUCAAACUAGCCUCAAUAAGCAUGUUAUCUCAAAGCGUCUCAUAGAACAUAAUUGUUAAAUCAUGCUUUUCCAUGUAUGCAUUUCUAUUAUUAAAACAUGCAUUUUAGAAGGGGUCCACUCACAGUACUUCGCUGCCGAAGAGCCACGCAACUAGUGAAGACAGAAACGCCAUUGUAAUUGGCCCUAAGCACAUAAAAGGCCCAAUUAAUAAAACUAUAUAAUAGCAAUUGAAUUUGGGAAAACGGACAUUGGAAACAGAUUUAGAAUGUCGAAUUACCUUAAGAAGGGUCCCGGAUAAAUUUCGCAAACGUUAACAGAAUAUUCUCCAUAAAGGGUUUUGGACCGACUAGGGUUUAGGGUUAGGACUUGGGUUAGGUUUAGGUUUAGGAUAAAGGGUAAAUGGGUUAGGGAAUUAGGUUGAUAAAAGGCCUAGGGUAAAUUAUUGGGUUUAGGGUUUUUAAACUAAAAGGUUAUUGGGUUAAGGCCCUAGGUUUUAGGGCGUAAAGCCCUGGUUCAAAAGGCCCAAAGGCUUUUAGCCUAAGGGUUUCUGGGUUCAAUAAGGGAACGGGUCGAAGACCCUAAUUUAAACAUGGCCCAAAAGCCUUUAUAAUUAAACAAUUAAAAUUAAAACAUAAUAAAAGGAAAGAGGGGUUGGGUUGGGCUCGAAUCUAACAGGCCUAAAGCCCCAGUUCUAAAUGGCCUAAAAAGCCUGGGUUUUCUGGAAUGUGGGUCGCCGAACCCAUUCGAAAAAGAAGGCCGGAUUCGGCCGGAAUUUAAACAAAAUUUAAACGGCCAUAACUUUGUCAAAACUCAACGCUAUUGAGUGAUUCAAAAACGAAAAUCAUAGCCCUUGAAGAGACAAAGAGAAUGGUACCUCGCAUGACGUCUAACUCGCCGUGGUUUGGCCGGAAAACUCCUCGAAAGUCUCGGAGGUCGCCAGAAACUGGAUAAGAUUCAAAUGAGUAUAACUUCUUCAAUACUGAACGAAAUUGGGUGAAAUAAAAAGGAAAGUUGUAGUACUCAGAGAGACGAAGAGAUUGAUAUCUUGCACGCUGGCCAACUCGUUAUGGUUUGGCCAAACAUUACCUCGAAAGUGACGGGUUCCUCGCUAGAAUCUGGGGAAAUGUUUUACCAAGUUGAUUUAUGUAUAAAACUCACACAAACUCGUGUGUAAGCUCAAGAUCAUGCCAGGAAUAGAAAAACUAAAAUGAAAUGACAUGAUACAGUCCUUACCCAAGGUCGGGGAUACGAGGCUCGUUGAGAGAUUCGUCGGAGACGACGGUUCUGCUGCGAUGGUGAGUAGUAGGGGUGAUAGGGGUGAGUGACAGUGAUGAAGUUCAAGAGGGGUGGGGGAGAGGAGGCCCACAUAGUGGUAGUUGGGUGUGUGCUACUCGGAUGGAGGGAGAGAAAGACAGAGAGAGCGAAUGAGGGGGAAAGCUCGGGGGAAACAAAAAGGAGAGAAGAAGAAAGGGAGCUUAGGAAGAUUACCACGUGGCAGCUAAGAAGAGGGGACCAGGGACAAACAGGGGGUGGGCCCCUUGGGCUCACCAAUUAAGACAUAAAAACCAUUUUUAAAAGCAAGAUAAAUUUAAACUUAGUGAAAAUACAAUUUAAAUUAGGGGUGGGUGUAACAAUAGAUGAUGGAUGACUUUAUACUAUGAAGUUGUCUUUCAAAUAAAGUAUGUUCAAUGGUUUUGUACUUACCUAGUGGUCCAUAUUCCGCUACGGGGCAAGGGAUAGAUUCUGACCCGAGCGACGAUUACAGUGUUGGCAUAGGGCCUGAAAAUGAUUUUCCUCUGGCUAUUAGCACAGGGACGGGGAGCUGGCACGGGGCCUGGAGGUGAUUUUCCUCUGGCAAUUAGUACAGAGACGAGGAGCUGGCAUGUGGCCUGGAGGGAUAUUGGACAUUCACUAGUGAUUACAAUAUAUAUGAGUUAUGAUUUGAGACAGUGCACGGCAUGUUAGGUUUUGGAAAACCUAUUUUAUUUAUCAUGCUAUAUGUGUUUUCAUAAAACCUAGGGGUUAGUAUGUUGAUAACUGUUUUAUUAUAUCUAUAUCAACUUGGUCCACUCAUGUUUGUUUUGCGCCCCUUUUAGGACUUAAAAUCGAGGCAUACAAUCCCGGUGUCCAGGCACUUCCGCAUCGGCAUCUUCAAGUCCUCUCGGUGUAGGACCCAUCCUCUUAUUCAUUCAAUUUUAUAUUAUUUCUUUUUAGUAUUCUAGUUAGUUAUAUGUUUUGAACACGUUCCUUAAAUACAUUUUCAUUAUUCUUUUAUAUUUAUAAGUCUUAUCUAUCCCUUAUUUUCAGCAUUUGCCUCAAUAAAUGGCUUUCGUCACCCUUGAGUGUCGAUCAGUACAUGCCUAUCCUGGUAGUCGGAGAAUAUCGGAUCGAGGAUGUCAACGAUCGUCAAAAACUUGACAGCAAUGCGCUUUUUCAUUUUUCGGAUUGCGAUAUAAAUAUGCCGAUGAUCUUCAUCCGUCGAAUAUUUGUGAUCUCCGUAUGCAUGCUUAGCUUGGUCAGCUUGACCAGUGGCGGUGAUCCUGAUAUUAACACUUUCCGUAGCUGCAACGCCACUACUCCCACCUAUGACUGGGACAGUUCCGAAUUCCCGUCCAAUCUAAACAACCUCUUCUCCGCCCUCAACUCCAAUGCCACCAACGAAACAGGCUACUACAACGCCACCUUUGGUAAGAAACUAACUGAAAUGGCACACAGCUGCUUUCUCUGUCGUGGUGACGUUGAGGUAGACGUUUGCGCACAAUGCGUGAAUGCGGCAAUCCUUAUGGCAGUCUGGAGCUGCCCCACAAGUAAACGGGUUGUGUGGUGGUACGGCAAGAAUUGUAUGCUAAGGUACUCAGAUGAGUCUUUCUUUUCUAUUGUGCAAUACUUGCCUGAUUUCACCGACGGGCGGGUUUACAUCCAGCCAGUACCGCAAGUUAAUGCAACAAUACCAGAUGAACCAACCGGAUUUAAUCAGGUAAUGGAGAGUAUUUUGAAUGAUUUAGUCAUCGAGGCUUCCAAGGCUUCUUCCAAGUUUGCAACCAAGGAAGCGCAUGUUACAGGGUCGAAUAUUACGCUGUACAGCCUUGCGCAGUGCACGCAUGACCUCUCCACUGCAGAUUGCAAUUCCUGUCUUAGGGUAGCCGUAGCACAAGUAGUUUCAACCAAUAGAGGAAUCAAUGGAGGACUAUUUAUGUGUCCCAGUUGUAAUGUCAGGUAUGAAACUGUCCCCUUUUACGGGAAACCAUGGGUUCAUCACCUUCGUCGUCGUCAUCGUCGUCCUCCUCCUCCUUAAGGUAAUAGAGUUGAUGAUAUAAAUAUACACAUUUAUAUUAGUGCAUGUCAUGUUGCCGUCACACAACGGCUAUGAGAAAUCUUAUCUUGGUCUAGUGACCAGGAAUAUAUGGAUGUAAUGUUUUAAUCUCAAGUCAAGCCUUGGUAUCAAAUCUAAACGGAUCCUUGGAAAAUGGUUUUCAAAAGUUUAUAUUUAAAAAAAAAUUCAUGUAUAGGACGAAGAAAACCAAUUUUGUCAGUAAUCGUCUCCAGUAUUGUUGCUUCUGUAACUGUCUGCGCGGUGCUUGUAGCUAUUGGCUACUACUUCCCAGGCAGGAGGAGAUCAUUACGAAACAAGCAUAAAGUCCAGGGAGAAGAAAAGAAUGGUAAAAAGAAGCAAACAAUUAAAUUCAGUCGAUCACUUGUUCUUUUAUGUUUUCUGAUGUCAAUUGCGUGUCAUCUUCUGAUGAACUCAUUAUAAUCACUGCUUAAUUUAAUUUCUUAAUGGCUAGAAAUGAUAUAGCAGAUGUUGAGUCCUUGCAACUUGACUUGGAAACUAUUGAAACUACAACAAACAAGUUUUCUGAGAGUAAUAAGUUAGGCCAAGGCGGAUUUGGUGAAGUUUUCAAGGUAUGGAGCUUUAUAUAUAUAUAUAUAGGUGUGCUUAGCAUAAUUCCUACAUAUACGUGACAUGGAUAUAUAUUUUUCAGGGAACGCUUGGUGUUAAUGGACAAGAAAUAGCAGUAAAGAGGUUGUCGAAAAGCUCGGUGCUGUUAGGAUGCUGACUAGGAUGAUGACUCAGCAUAAUUAGUUAGCUGUAUAACUGAUAGUGGGCGGGAAAAUGGAUUAGUUAGCUUGGUGGUUAGUAGGUAGUUUAGCAGCUAAGAUAGCUGAGGGCUAUAUAAGGAAAACUAUAAGGAAGAUGAAAGGUUGUUGUUGUAAAUGUUGGUUACUACAAAUAAUACAUUGCUACUGCUAUUACAUUGAGUAAGACGUGAAGCUUGGGUCUUAACAUUGGUAUCGAGCUAGUGCCUUCGAUCCUGCUUAGUCAUUUCUUGUGUAUGACUCGAUUGCCUUUCAGGAAAAUCAUGGAGUCUCGAGUGCCCACUCUCAAAAAUUUGGUCGCUGAAUUGCAGAAUGAGUUCAAAGAAUCAAGAAAUGAGUUCAAGGAAUUGCGAACUGAAUUAAGAGCUACCCAUGACUUGAUCCUUCAGCAGCUGCACUCGUUGUCAUCAAGAGGCAGUGGAUCAACCGGAGAAUCAUCGAACGCAACUCGUACGGAUCCGAUUCUACAAACGAGUACGAAUGCCGAUCUGGGUCCUAAUCAUUGUCACCAAGUAGUCCCUCCAACUGCCUUGAAUCAACGGGCUCCAUUCCUUAAGAUGGAUUUUCCAAGAUUUGGUGAUGGCGAUGAUCCGUUAGGUUGGAUUUACAAGGCUGAUCAUUAUUUUGAUUUCUCCAACAUUAAGGAUUUCAAUAAGGUUAAAAUGGCGUCCUUUCAUCUCGAAUGAGAGCCUUUACAAUGGUUUCAAUGGGCGAACUGCAUUGCAAACUACCUUAGAUGGGAAGAUUUCACCAAAGCUCUAUGUUAGGAGUUUGGGCCUUCAGAAUUUGAGGAUUCCGCAAAGAGCUUGGUUAAGCUUCGCCAAACAGGUUCUUUGAGAGAAUAUAUCAUGGAGUUCAAAAGAUUAGCUAACAGGACUUGCGAUAUUACUCCUUCCCUCUUAAAGUAUUAUUUCAUUGGAGGCUUGAAAGCCGAAUUGAGACAUGAUGUCAAGAUUCUUAAGCCCCAAGAUGUAUUGGAAGCCACUGGAUAUGCACAACAACUGGAUGCCAAGUUAUCAGAUUUAAAGGUCAAACCUUUCUCUCGAUCUUUUGCUAGUAAUCCUAUGAAAAUCCAUUGCAUGCUGUUAAUAUCACACCACCUGCAGAAAUUAGGCCUAAGAAUGAUAAUGUGCGUAAAAUGACUCCGGAGGAAGUAGAGUUUUGUAGAAAGAAUGGUCUUUGCUUUCAUUGUAAGGAAAAUAUUAUAGGGGUCAUUCUUGAGAAAAGAAGCAGAUACUUCUUAUUGAUGUUCAGGAUCUAGUCAAAUUAGUAACUGAAGAGGAAAGAAAUAUGGAACCUGAAAUAACUGCAUGUGCAUUGUUUGGUGCCCCUGCCCCUAAGUCAAUUAAAACUAUGAAAGUUGGGAGAAUGAUAAAAAACUGUUCAGUGGUUAUGCUCAUUGAUUCAGGGAGUUCCCAUAAUUUCAUUGAUAUGUCCUUGGUUAAAAGAAUUAGGGGACAAUUCGACACUACCCAUUCAUUUAAUGUGAAAAUAGAUGAUGGUGGAACAAUUUCAACUCAUGGCACUUUGGGGGCAGUACCACUAAAGAUUCAAGAUUAUCAUUGUAUUGCUAAUUUGUAUGCCAUGUCAUUGGGGGGCUGUGAUAUAGUUCUUGGGAUGCAAUGGCUGAGGACUCUUAGUCCAGUUUUAUGGGAUUUUGACAAAUUAUACAUGAAUUUCUAGCAAGGGAAUACCACUUACUGCAUUUCUAGUUCUAAUUUCUUUGGGGAUCAAAUUCAAGAUGUGAUUGCUUUUCAAAUGGAGAAAUUGCUACAACAAGACACUUCAGUGGGGGCAUUUUUGUUCCAACUACACCUUGAGAUAAUUGAAGAGCCAUCAGAUUCACUAUCCUUGAUUCAAAAACUUGAGCUGCAAAUACUUUUGAAAGAAUAUGAAGGGGUAUUCUCGACUCCUAAAUCACUGCCACCUCACAGGUUGCAUGACCACAAGAUUCCCUUUUUGGAAGGCAGCAAACCACCAAGCAUGAGGCCUUACAGGUAUGGCCUUCUUUAUAAAACUGAGAUUGAGAAAUGUGUGCAAGAAUUACUUGCUUCUGGUUUUAUUAGAGUAAGCAACAACCCUUAUUCAUCUCCAGUUAUUUUGGUUAAAAAUGAGGAAGGGACAUGGCGAAUGUGUAUGGAUUAUAGAAGCCUUAAUUGGAUUACAAUCAAGGAUAAAUUUCCUAUUCCAUUAAUAGAUGAAUUGCUAGAUGAACUGUUUGGUGCUGAGUAUUUCUCUAAAUUAGAUUUGAGAUCAGGCUCCCACCAGAUUAGAAUGCACCCUCAGGACGUUGAGAAAACUGCAUUUUGAACUCAUGAUGGUCACUAUGAGUUUUUGGUUAUGCCUUUUGGCUUAACUAAUGCUCCAGCCACAUUUCCAUGUUUAAUGAAUGACAUAUUCAGGCCUUACCCUAGAAAAUUCAUCCUGGUCUUUUUUUAUGAUAUUUUGGUUUAUAGUAAGAGUUGGAAACUGCAUUUGGAACACCUCAGGCUAGUAUUUGAGUUGCUGCAAUAUCAUACAUUAUAUGUUAAACAAUCUAAGUGUGCAUUCGGUCAAACUCAAAUGGAAUAUUUAGGUCACGUGGUGUCCAAGAAAGAAGUAGCAACUGAUCAAUCGAAACUGGAAGCUAUAGCCAAUUGGCCUAUCCUUACAUCGGUGAAAGCUUUAAGGGGAUUUUUGGGGCUCACAGGUUAUUACAGGAAAUUGAUUCCCAACUUUGGAAAUAUUGUGGGUCCUUUGACAAUCUUAACAAAAAAGGACAACUUCAAGUGGAAUGAAGCAGCUACAAUAACAUUCAAUGCACUCAAACAAGCUAUGGGUUCUCCUCAAGUAUUAGCAUUACCAAAUUUUACUCAACCAUUUGUCAUUGAAAUUGAUGCUUUAGGUUGUGGGAUUAGUGUUGUGUUGCAGCAAAAUGGCAGACCCAUUGCCUUUACUAGCAGGGCAUUGAGUAUUAGAAAUCAGUCCUUAUCUGCCUAUGAGAGGGAAAUGAUGGCUAUAAUUCAUGCAGUGAAGAAAUGGCAAUCCUAUUUGGUAGGGAGGCUCUUCGUUAUUAAGACAGAUCAUCAUAGCUUGAAGUUCUUCUUACAAAAUCGAGCCAACACUCAUUUUCAACAGAAGUGGGUCUCUAAGUUGCUUGGGUUUGACUAUGAGAUACAAUACAAGCAAGGGUGUGAUAAUCAAGUGGCUGAUGCUCUAUCUCGAAUUCCACAUGAUGCUUUGACAGUUCCAGAGUUCCAAUUAUCCAAUAUGGAGUUUUCAACUAUUUAUUAUCCUUAUCUCAGUUGGAUGGAUGAUUUAAGGAGAAACAAUAAGCAAGAUCUUUGGAUUUCAACUAAAAAAAAAGAAGUGCAACAGAUCACAGAUUCUUCUGCACUCAACCUUUUGAAAUAUAAGGUUGACAAUGGUUUCCUAAAGUACAAAGGCAAAGUUGUACUAAGUCCAACUAGUUCUUGGCGAUAGAUUGUAAUUGUAGAAAAUCAUAAUACUCCUUCAGCGGGACAUGCUGGUUUCUUAAAGACAUACAAAAGGUUGUCCAGGUCCUUCUAUUGGAUUGGUAUGAAGAAAGUAUUGGAACCAUGGUGGCAGAGUGUCAGACUUGUCAGCAACAAAAGUAUAAGACCUUGGCUCCAGCCGGUUUACUUCAGCCUUUGCCAAUUCCUUUGAUGGUAUGGUCUAACAUUUCAAUGGAUUUCAUAGUGGCAUUACCACCCUGUAAGGGAAAAACAGUUAUAUGGGUUGUCAUUGAUCGACUACCCAAAUUUGGACAUUUCAUUGCUUUGUCACAUCCUUUCACUGCUGCAUCAGUUGCAAAUCUCUUUGUUGAGCAUAUCUUUAAGCUCCAUGGUAUGCCAACAUCAAUAAUCAGUGAUCGAGACCCUAUGUUUAUAAGUGCUUUUUGGAAAGAAUUCUUUGCACUCCAAGGCUCUUCUUUGUGUCUCAGUUCCAGAUACUAUCCCCAAACGGAUGGUCAAACAGAAGUUGUUAACAAGUGUGUGGAGACAUAUUUGAGGUGUUUUUGCAGCCUUCAAUCUAAGAAGUGGUCUAUGUGGCUUCCUUGGACAGAAUAUAGCUACAAUACAGCUUACCAUACUACUACAAAACUGUCCCCAUAUGAAGUGGUUUAUGGUCAACCUCCUUCAUCAAUUCCUGUAUAUGAAGCUGGUACUACCAAGUUGGAAUUGCUUGACCGAAGUUUGAUAGAAGGAACAAAAUGAUGUCCUUAUUAAAAACAAAUUUAGAAGCUGCUCAGGUUAGAAUGCAAGUUCAGGCUAACAAGCAUCGCACUGAAAGAGUAUUUCAGGUUGGUGAUUUGGUAUAUCUUCACUUAGUUCCUUAUCAACAGAUGUCGUUGGCCUCUCAGCCAUUUCACAAGCUCCAACCACGAUUUUAUGGUCCCUACGAAAUCUUAGCGAAGAUUGGUCCGCUAGCUUACAAAUUGAAGCUUCCAGCAACAUCAAAAUUACAUCCAGUGUUCCAUGUUUCUUGUCUGAAAAAACAUUUGGGUGCAACAGCUUAACCUACAUCUCCUCUACCAAUAAUUACUGAUGCUGGUAUUAUUCAGGAUGUACCAUUGGUAAUUUUGGACAGAAGAAUGAUUAAGAAUGGGGCACUACUACAAUCACUAAAGUCCUAGUUCAUUGGCAGAAUCAUUUAGCAGAAGAAGCUACUUAAGAGCACUAUUGCGAUUUGAAGACUCGAUUUCCUGAAGCAGUUCACAUGUAAUAUUGCAGUUUAUCAAUUGUACACUUUCAUUUUAAGUCUUGUUGUACAAGACUCGUUUGAAUGGGGGUUAUUGUUAGGAUGCUAACUAGGAUGAUGACUCAGCAUAAUUAGUUAGCUGUAUAAUUGAUAGUGGGCAGGAAAAGUGGAUUAGUUAGCUUUGGUGGUUAGUAGGUAGUUUAGCAGCUAAGAUAGCUGAGGGCUAUAUAAGGAAAACUGUAAGGAAAAUGAAGGGUUGUUGUUGUAAAAGUUGGUUACUACAGAUAAUACAUUGCUACAGCUAUUACAUUGAGUAAGAUGUGAAGCUUGGUUCUUAACAGGUGCAAGGUGUACAAGAGCUUAAGAAUGAAGUUCUAUUGAUAGCCAAGCUUCAGCACAGAAAUCUAGUGAAGCUUCUAGGAUUUUGCUUGGAAGGAGAAGAAACCAUACUUGUCUAUGAAUAUGUGCCUAACAAAAGUCUUGAUUAUUUUCUAAAUGGUAUAUAAAUACAAUAAUACAUAUAUCACUUGAAUUGAUCUAUAUACAUAUAUAUAUAUAUAUAUAUAUAUAUAUAUGUGGUUUGUUUGUUAACUGUCUGUUAUUUCUUACAUAUAUUACUACUUACUACUCUUUGUUUGCUGAUUAAUGUGAGUAUAGAAUCAACAAAAUGAGAACAAUUGGAUUGGUCGAGACGUUGCAUGAUAAUAGGAGGAAUAGCUCGAGGAAUUCUAUAUCUUCAUGAAGAUUCAAGGCUCAGAGUUAUAGAUCGCUAUUUGAAACCAAGCUAUAUCCUAUUAGAUGUUAAUAUGAAUCCAAAAAUAUCAGACUUUGGGAUGGCCAUAAUGUUUGGAGUUGAUGAUCAAACUAAAGGAAACACGAGAAUAAUUGUCGGUACUUAGUAAGUUUUUUAACUUAAUUAUACCUCUAUGCUUAAUCUCAAACAACUUAUUUAUAUAUAUAUAUAUAUAUAUAUAUAUAUAUAUAUAUAUAUAUAUAUUGACUUUGAUAACUCAUCUUUGAUUGCAACUAUUUUGGACGUGCAAUUAGUGGUUAUAUGGCUCUCGAAUAUGCUAUGGGCGGGUUUUACUCCAUAAAAUCAAAUAUUUUUAGCUUCGGCAUACUCUUGCUUGAGAUCGUAAUUGGGAGAAGGAACUUUUUAGGCUUUCAUCUCACAGAUACUACAACUACUCUUUUAGUACAUGUAAGCCUGAUUAAUUACCUAUCUAUCAACUUAAUUAGAUGUUUACAUCCACGACGGCUAUUAGAACCCUACUCUACAUCUUCCACAAUUGCACAGAAAGAGAGAGUAACAGAAGAACAAUACAAACAAUACAAUUUCAUUAACCGCCUUUCCAUCUUUACAAUCUUCUAUUUAUCUGUUAACAAGUAACUAACUACUAGCAACCUUGUACAGAUGUCAUCAUCCUAAUAUGCCAUCUGACAGUAUCCUAACAAUACCCCUCCCUUAAAACCAAUCUUACAAAGUAAGAUUUACAAUUUGAACUAAGUACAAUUGAAGACCAGCAAUAAAACCAGGAGCAACAAAAUCAUAAGAAUGUAUUAAAGGAUCAACAAUUUCUGAAAACUGGAGCUUCAAAUCAUGGUUUAUCUCCCAAGUAGCAUCACUCCUGAAAUGGUUCUGCCAUUGGACUCACUUCACUAGCAACAACAUUGCUUCUCUAGAAUAGUAGAGUAGCUCACUGCCUAAAAAUUUACUCCAUAUUACACCCUCCAAAAAAAGAUGAGCAAUGGUACUAUUAACCAGAUUUUCAUGUGACUUCUUUUCCUUGAACCUCAGCCAAACAUGCAAUUUCAUUUGGUUCCAUAGAUUUCUUUAAGAUGCAACUAUGCCUUAAGAGAUCCACAUAAUAUAAAUUGGACUCUUGCAUGUAGUUUGCCGUAGUUUCAUCCAAUUGAAGAGAUUAGCUUUAAAUUUUUUUAUGGAUUAAAUGCUAACCUUCAACGUCAAUUAGUGAAGAACCAAUUUUCUGAAUUAUAUCUUCUGCCUUUGAAGCUAGUAAUUCCAACACAUUGUAUCUAUCAUCAACUUGUGGAUGAGACCGAUCUCCACCCACAAUUGCAGAAAGUCGAUCCUUGACCUUUAUCCAGGACCAUCCCGGCUCCUGAAUUACCCCAUUUGAUCUCAUCAUUUUCCUUUAGCAGCAUACAUGUUAGCCAGGGUUAUGUGAGUCGCUGCAGAACUUGGAUCCAAUUUAAGGAUCUUAUCUGCAUCACGUCUUCCAUAGUCGAUGUCACCAUGGAGCCUACAAGCUCUAAGGAGAGUAGACAAACAACAUUAUCCUGUUGAAAUGGCAUACUUUUGAUCAUAUCCUCUGCCUCACCUAACCGUCCAGCUUGAUAGAGGAGAUCAACCAUGCAGCCAUAGUGUUCUUUUGCAGGAUUAAUCCCAAAGUCAUUGCUCAUUAAAUUGUAGAGGAAACCAAGAUCAACUAGUCCAUCAUGGCAACAAGCAAUAAGAACACCGAUGAAGGUCACCGAGUCUGGUUUCAGACCAACCCUAGGAAUCUUCUCAAACAAAUCAAUGGCUUCUCGGUAAAACCCAUGUUCAGCAUAUCCAUUAAUCAUCGCCGUCCAUGAAAAAAUAUCACUAAAUUCUGUCACAUCAAAGAUCUUUACAGCUUCUUUUAUACUUCCACAUUUCGAAUGCAUAUUCACAAAAGCACUUUGUACCAUAGAUGUAAACCCUAAAUCGACAGACAGAACAUGAGCGUGCAGUUGUUUCCUUUGUUCAAGCAUUACCAUGCUUCCACAAACACUCAAUACACUAGCAAGAGCAAACUCAUUUGGUUUUGGUCCGUCCCUUCUCAUUCACAAUAAAAACUGAAAAGCUUCUUCCCUAUAACCUCCUUGAGAAUACCCGGUAAUUAAAGUGUUCCAUGAAACAAUAUCUCUCAUGCUUAUCUCAUGAAACACCUUAGAACCUAAAGCCAAACGCCCACAUUUGGCAUACAUGGUUACAAUGGAAUUUCCCACUGACAACAAAGAAAUAAGACCCCUGUGUAAAACGUGGGCAUGCAAUUGUUCACUCCAUUCAACUCUAGCAAGAUUGGCAACUCUAGAGAUGGCACUUACAAAAGUGUAUUCCUUAGGACUCACACCGGCUUCUUGCAUUCUUAUAAGGGCUUUGAUUGCACGGUCCUCUUGACCUGUCCAAACAUAAGUUGUAAUGAUUGAUGUCCAUGAAAAGACAUCAUGUAUCCUCAUUUUUUUUCAAACAACUGCAACCCGUAGUCUAAUUUGCCACCACCCUUAUCCCGAAUGCCCUUGCAGUAGUCACAAUCGAGAACAACAUGGCAAACAACACAUCAACCGGUUUCAAAUUUGGAGAGAGUUCUUUCAUUUUUUCUGUUCUUGUCCAUACAAGCUUCUAAAUGAUACAAUCCCAAAUUACCAGCAUACUCCCUAUGAAUGAUCAUGGAAGAAUCAAAACUCACCUCACAUUUGACCACCUUGGAACAAUCAGAAACACAAUCUUUAUUCUUGGACUUCGAAUUGAAGAACCUCUGACUAAUUGUUCCACCCUUGUCACGAAUUAACUCAUGGAAACCAAGCUUCGAAUGCACAAUAGUACCAUUUUUCAUGACUUCACCAUUACAAACAAAAAAUUUAGAACUAUGAGCAUCUUUGAUUUGAACAUUUGAAGUAAAGAACCUAAGAAGUGUACCUCCGGUGUCAGAAAUCGGCAUGUGAUAGCCUAACUGAAAAUCACAAUCUGCUGAGUGUGACCUUUCAUCAAACACUUGGAGAGUGAUACGAAUUUGGUCAGCAGGUACAAUUAAGAGUUCAAUACUUCCAAAAAAUUCUUGGAUAUUCUUGAGUGGUCCUUCCGAAUCUUGUCUUUUGGUAAACCUCCACCUUUGUCACAAAUGAAUUUAUGGAGGCCAAGCUUCAAAGAAGCAAUGUCGAUCGUUUGCUGCAGUCCAGUAAACACAUGGUGGGCAUCAUUUUCACCAGAUUUUGCAACCGAAAUUAUAACUACUUCAGGGAAAGAACCCAUUUCAGGAAAAGAACAAAGACCCACAUCACAAAGCAAAAAGUCUUCACCUUUCUUGGCCAUUAAUUUCGAAGCAGCAACUUUUUUCUCCAUUCCUAUAAAUUCACAAUAAAAAACAGGGAACCCUGAAACCAAAUCCUUUGUGGUUCCUGUCUUGUAAUCAGAAUCAAGAAUUGGAGAACUUUUCACAUAAUCUUUAGCUUCCUUGUCGAACAAAUAAAAAAUGUUUUCGUUCUCCCGAGCCAAAGAUUUUCGAAAAACCCCAAAACUUCCUUGAAAUUUGGAUUGGAAUUACACGUCGCAGAAUCAUCGUCGUGAUGUUUGUCGUAGUCACGCACCUUCUUGAAUUUCUUCAAUAUGGGUCGUAGACAAGGACGAGUCUUGGGCUUGUAUCUUGGACGGAAUUGAGACCAGAAUUCAGCUACUUUCUCUCGGGCCCGAACAUUUUCCUUGUGGAAAGAUUGAAGCUUGAGAACGAUUUGAUUCGAUUUCACAAGAGAGAUAAGAUAUGCCAUUUUGAUGAACAAUUGAUGCAUCGGUGUAGCUAUAGAAGAUUCAACACCAAGUUUUUCCGCAAGCAACUUCAAUUGAAGAAGAAUUAAAUCCUGGAUAGUCUUGAUUUCGGCCCGGAAUUGGUCUUGAGAGGAACGAACGUUUGGCUCUGAUACCAAUGUUUGCGGUGAUAUACAACGGAGAAGGAUUGAGAGGAACGAACGUUUGGCUCUGAUACCAAUGUUAAAACCCUACUCUACAUCUUCCACAAUUGCGAGAGAGAGUAACAGAAGAACAAUACAAACAAUACAAUUUCAUUAACCACCUUUCCAUCUUUACAAUCUCCUAUUUAUCUGUUAACAAGUAACUAACUACUAGCAACCUUGUACAGAUGUCAUCAUCCUAAUAUGCCAUCUGACAGUAUCCUAACAACCGCAUGCAGGCUUGGUAGUUAUGGAAUGAAAGGAAAGUGUUGGAGCUGAUGGAUCCAUCGUUGAAAGAUUCAUGCAACGCAGAUGAAUUUUCGAAAUACAUCCAUAUUGGAUUAUUAUGUGUUGAACAAGAUGCUUGAACAAGAUGCCAAUCAUAGGCUAACCAUGUCAUCAGUUGCUCUAAUGUUGAAAACUGAAACUAUUAGUCUUUCCAAACCCGAGCAACCAACCUUCUUUGUCGGAAGAUCUACUGCUCACCAACAUCAAACAAGUGCUCAUAGUUGGUCUGCAAAUGGUUUGACAAUUUCAGAAGAUGUCCCACGUUGAGAAUUUACUGCAGUGACGAUGGCUUGCAUGAUCAACACACGCCAUUGUCACCAAUUGUAGAUAACCAGUCUAUAGGAUAAUGACAAUGAACCUUGUUACAUCAUUUUUAUGGGUCCUGCUUACCAUGUCGAAAAGGCUAAUGAGAUGACCUCUGCCAAUAAAGAUCCGAAAAUCUUUCUCGACCAAUACUUGGAAAGAUAACCAGUCGACCUCGACGCAGUACUAUUUAUCCAAACUGAAGGUGUUCCGCGAUCGGGCGGUUCUACGGCGAUAGUGUUGUAUCCAAACUGAAGGUAUCACCGGUUGCCUUCACAGUGCUGUUUAUCCAAACUGAAGAUGUGUUGACGAAAAAGGAAAAUAAAAAUCUCAAGAUGUCUGAGAGAUUUUGCGUAAAACGAGAGUUUGUGCAGGGCAGUUUGUGUGUUGAGUUGGAGGUCCAUUUGUUGUUCACGGUAUUGUAUUUAUAGAAGCAAAUGUCGCGUGGCGCAACUCCCCACUAGUGUAGAAUUUAACUUCAAUUCAAACUUAUCAACUAGAGCCUCAGUCAAAGACUUUUCAAGAUAAGCAGGAGCCUAUCUUUUAUAUGCUAUCAUCAUCUGACUCUACUUCACCAUUAUUCGAAAAAACCAUUUCUUCCUUCCUUAUCUUUAGAAAUCGUGCCCUCAGAUUGUCUCCUAGUCCAAUUAGAACUUUAUGUCCACCACAUUAAUGCAGGUGCAGCCAUGCACGCAUAAUAAGAUAGAAUAUAAUCCCCAAAAAACACAUUCACGUGGCCAAAACCAACAUACCCUCAAAAGGCAUAUACCUGCAUACCAUCAAAAGGUAUAUACCUGCAUACAUAUCUAUCUACUGUCGUGCCUUAUACAUACCCUCAUAUCCCAUCAUCAUCCAAAUCAAUUGAGAUUUGAUCAAAUAAUAAUUUAAUAUAUUACUAAGAGAUAACAUGAUGAUUAAAAUCAUAAUAUUAUCCUUUAAUAAUGAUAAAAAUUAUCUCCACUUUUUCAUCCAACGAUUGAGAGCUAUGCUCACUCAACGGCCUUAAUUGCACGGGCUGAUGGUGUAAAUUUGGGUUUAAACAAUAACAAAGGUUUAUGCCAGUUAGCUCCCGCAGAAGUCAUUGAGGUGAUCGUGACCUGUGAACACUGCUUUCACAUCUUUUGCUGCAACUAUGGUUGUGAAGAAGCCCGAGUUCACAAAAGCAGAGCUAAUGUCUUCUUGCCUCACUCCGGUAAAGUUCGAUGAGUCAAAACUAGCAAAUUCUGGCAAUGGUAUGUGAAAGUAUGCGAGCCCUGGCGCAUGUGCUUUCUGGAGCAGUGGCUUGCUUAUGUACGCUUUCUGAAGGGGAAAAAAACGGUGUCAUCAGAACUAAUUAGAAAUAAUUUACUUACUCAAUGUAGAUCUUAAUCGUCACAUAUCAAUCUUGUGCAAGGGUUGAUGGAAAUGACUAGUUUAGGUAUAUGUGAUCCAUAAAAAAACGAUGAGCAAAAUAGUAAGGUUAGUACCUGAAGCUUUGCAGAAGUUUGUUCAAACCAAUAUUGUUGGGAGGGUUUGAUCCAACCAUAACCACCGAUGGAGGGAACCGUGGAGUAAUCUCCGCUGUCAAGGAAGUAAAGAUUGAGAACCGAUUUGUUUUCAAAACCAGAGCCCUCAACUCCGGCGACCUCUAGGUUAUAGUUCCCAAAACCAUCAAUAACAUCUUGGUCUAAAAGAUUAACUUGAGCCAAAGUGUUCUCCAACCCAACUAUGUGUUUCAUUACCCCUUCCCUCGAGAGGUCGGAUUCCUGAUCAUGGUUCCCCAACACAGCUGCCCACGGGAUGUUAGACGCGAUUGCUGGGGCGUAUACCUCGUUCAAAGAUUUAGCACCAUUCGUGGCAUCAAACCCGAAUAUGUUAUCUCCUGUUACACAAAGUUCAGAUUGGAGAAACAAUAAAAAAGCCGAGUAUCAUGGCUAAAUCAAAACUUUGCUAAACAAAAUCCAAUGAUCAUCAGCUAAAACGAUGUCCUAGCUAAACCAAAACCAAUGAUCAUCAGCUAAAUAGUGGACAAAACAUUCUGUUUUGCAUCAAUGUCAUUGUCUAUAAACAUCACCAACAAUGAUUGGGGGGGGGGGGGGGGACAAAUACCGGUGAAGACAAUGAGAUUCGGCUUCUCCGCCUCGAUCAUGCGGAGGACAAAGGCGAUGGUGUUGAGGUCAGAGCAAGUUGGAAACUGGGACGGCAGCACAUCCAAACAGGGCGUGGUCUUGCCAUCGGCAUAGUGCAUCCGCCACUUGCAGAAUCUUAAACUGCCCAUCUGUCCCAAACCUCAGCUUCUUCUCCCCACCUCCACCUUGUUGGUGGUGUUGUUGUUCUGCGGCGGCCAAACCUAUAUCGGAAGCAGCGCCACCCCCACCACCACCGCUAAAAAUGGACUCCUUACCACCUCCAUGUCCCUCUUCAUCCUCACUGUCACUGCACCACUCUCAUCUCCACACCAGAGGCACUGAACCACCAUUAUAAACUCACCAGUUGCACCAAGCAAAAACUCAGUUUUAACUUUUUCUCGGCAACCAAACAAAAAAUCAGUCUCAGUCUGACAAGAGUUUAAUAUUAAUAGUAAUCGUUUAAAUAAGAGAUGAUUUAAGAAAAUCCUACAUCCUUUCAAUUUCUAUGCCUAUAUUAUCUGUUCACUGUGUUAUUUGACUCUUUGUUAAAUAUCUGUCUGUGUAAUUAAUUAAGCACUAAUUACAAAAAAAGUGAUAGAUUUAGAAUCACUGUAAGCAAGGACGAAUCCACAUAAGGACCUGGGAGGUCCCAGGAUCCGUCGGCGAUCCUAAAUCACUGCUCGAAAUUUUCCGGGGACCUCUCGUACUCGAGCAUGAGGUCUGUGCAGGUUGUAGGUUGUAGGUUGCAGGUUGCAGUGGAUGUCUUCUUCUCAGAGAAGAUGACCGCGCACGGAGAAGAAAGAAAAUAGGGAUCAUUCCAGCCUCUCUCCUCCUUGCUUCUGCCAUGGUCUCAUCCAUCGGUGCCACCCACUUCUCCUCCAACCUUUCUUUGUCGUCUGGCGGGGCAUUACAUAAGCCCAAAUUUCUCCAAAUUAUUUCAACCACCUUAGUAAUUUUUCUUAUAGGUGAAAUUUCCUACAUAAGGUUAGUAAGAUGGAUAUAAUCUGUCAUGGGUUGAUGAAAUUUGGGGGUGGAGCUACCAUGGCUUAGGGAGAAUGGGGAGGGAGGUGGUUGGUGGAGUAUGACAGCUGUGUUCUUAGUGAGAGAGAAAGUGGAUGUUUGGAAACUAGUAAAAGAGAAAAAUGGUGUGUUUGGUUAGAAAGAUAGUGGGAGUUUGGGGAGAGUUUUAUUUGACCGGUGUUUUAAAUUUAGCGGUCCAUAUUAGAUAAUCAAUAACUUAGGUACUUCAUAGUAACUUAUGAAACCUCGUAAUGGACGCUUGAAUUAUGAUUUUAUAAUUUGUAAUAUUGUUUUGCAUAUGAUUUUUGAAUGAAAUGUAUUAUAUUUAAAUUUUCAAUGUUGUUUUUGUCGAUAAAUUUUUUGACCUUUAUUAUUGGGACCCCCCGAGUGUAAAAUCCUGGAUCCGUCACUGACUGUAAGCAUAUUCCCCAGCGGAUUAGAUACAAUCAUACAAGAUGUAGUGUCAUCAGUGCAGCUUUGUUAUUCGUAAACUCACACUUAGUUUUCUUAUCGCAAUAGAGUUUGAAGUAAACUCUUGUUUGUCCACAUGUACAAUAUGCCUAACUGUAUGAGGAAUAUACUAUUCACACACAUUUUUUUACUUCUUACAUAUUCUUUUUAUUUUUGACCUCGAAUCAGAUUCAAAUGACAGAAAUUAACUAAGAGUGUGUAAGAAUUAAAAAGAAGUGUGUGAAUAGCACACACCUCAACAAUAUGCAGUAACAACUAACACGCCAGCAUGUGUGCCAACCACACUAAAUAAAAAGGGGUAAUGCGAGGGCGACUAUUUUUUAGGUUUUAUUUUGUAAAUCGUAUAACACGGUUGUUCAUGAUUAGAUUAUAACUUAAGUGUUAAUUAAUGCGUUUAUUUUUUAUUUGUGACAUAUCACAUGAUUUGUAAAUGUGGUUUAAAAAAUUAGUCUACCCUAGUGGUAAAUGACGGAUUACGAGACUUCCUUAAAACUAAAAAUUAGAGGUCUUGGGUUUGAAGCUCGUUAUUGGUGUGGAAGCUAGACUUGUGGCCAGGGGGAAGGACCAGGAUCCUCGCCAAAUCCUUCUCUGCAUAUUAAAGAAAGUUAAGGUUCCACCAUAAAACUAAUUGGCAAUAUGGGGAGUAGGCCAACCUCUUAUAAGCCCAUGCAAGGUCUUUUUUCUCAUUAAUGUGGGAUUUAUUCUCAACACGCCCCCUCAUGUGCGGCGAAUUUUCAAGCCUAACACAUGAACAACACAACAAGAUGACGUGAAGCACGUGUGGCCGUUUGGCUUCACACUUGGGAUAACCUGCUCUGAUACCAUGAAGAAAGUUGAGGUUCUACCAUAAAACCAAUUGAGGAGUAGCACAACCUCUUAUAAGCCCAUGCAAGGUCUUUUUUCUCGGGAUUCAUUCUCAACAUGCCCUCUCAUGUGUGGCGAAUUUUCAAGUCUAACACGUGAACAACACAACGGGAUGACUUGAAGCGCAUGUGGCUGUUUGGCUUUACACGUGGAUAACCUACUUUGAUACCAUGAAGAAAGUUGAGAUUCCACCGUAAAACCAAUUGGCAAUAUGAGGAGUAACGCAACCCUUAUAAGUCCAUGCAAGGUCCCUUCACUCAUCAAUGUGAGAUUUAUUCUCAACAUACAAACAUACAGUGGGGAUCAAUCCAUCCGAACCGUUCAGCUCAUAUCCUACGGCCCAAGAUUAUUUUGAAUUUUUUUUUUCAGCGUCUCCAUUUCUCAUUUUCUCUCCCUUCGUCCCCAAACUCCUCGACAUUCUUUUUUCUUCUCCCAGUCCAAAAGGCAAAUAGGAAGGAUUAAUCAAAGAAUUAACCCAUCAAACAACCCAAAAGAGCAAAGACUUCUCAUAUACCCAAGAAUUAAUCCAUCAAUUUCCCAAAAACCACAAAUAAAAUCUUUAGCGUCUGCAGUGGUUUCAAGCUAGAAUAGGGGGAAAAUUAACGGAAAUGGAUUUGGGAAAAAUUUAAGAAUUCGAAUUUUACAAAUUGGUCCGAUAGGCAUAUCAUUCGGCCCGCUUCAUUUUCCCCUUCGAUCCCUCCGCCGGUGACCAAUCCAGUCUUCGUACACCAUCAUUGUCGGUGGCAGCAAGAGGGAGACGGGCCUGCUGGUAGCGAGGGCGAAGGUAACGAGUUCUGCGCUGUGCCUUUCCCUUCGUCCCCCAAACCUCUGCUGAGGAUUACUUGGUCGUGAGGGCAAGCUUGCAAGGGUUGACAGGUACUGAGUUGGGUGAGAGAGCAGGAAAGGAAAAAGAAGGAAGAGGCAGUGCUAGCGCCUUCUUUCCUCGGGACAUAAAUUGAAAAUAUUAGAGGUCGCACGAUUUGCAUCUGUUUUGAAUCAACGGCCACGAUGAUGUUGUUCGCUGGCUCUGUCUAGAAAACAUCUGGAUGGUAUCUGAGUCUCAAGGGAAGGGAUGAAUAACCAUGGUUUGCCACUAAUUGUCUCCCUUUUUAAAGAAAAAAAAAAUAUUACUCAUAAAACGUUUUAGAGUAGGAUUAUCUCCUUUCUUUUUUUGCCUCCCCUUCCCUCUCCUCCUAUUUGAACGGUCACGGUUAAGCCACACUAAUAUCUUGUAUUAAUUUUUUAUAGAAAGAUAAAUACAAAAUAAAGAAUGUGAGAGGAGAUGAUGAAAGGGGAUAGAAAUAGGAGGGUAGAUGAUCCUAGUCCAAACAUUUUAGAGAUAACAUUGAAUACAUAUAAUAAGUUAAUAAUUAAUGAGCAUGAGGUGUACCCACUACUCAUUGGGGGUAAAACAUGAAUGAAACAUUCACUCAAAGCUUGCUUAUGUAGCAAGUUAAUCAAAGAGUUAAGUUUGAAGAUAUACAAUUUUUGAGUUUUUACUAAAUACACUAUCAAAAUUGGACUAAAUUCAACUUUUCUAUACUAAAAUUACAUCUGCAGCACUCAGUACUAUGGUUUGUAGUAUUCUUUUCACUUGUAAGUGAGAGUCUUAUAUUCGAUUAUUGCCAAAGGAGAAUUUGAACAACAUUAUUAGCCCACUCCCAAACCUUUAUUAUAGAUCAUAUCGUUUGUUCAAACAACACUUAAUUUUUUUGUUUAAAUUGUUUUUUGAUAACCAAAUUUUUUUUUUAUGCCACGUGAUCAAAUUUGUGGGUCAUGUAUUUGUCACGUAAUCACUUAACAGUUUAACUAAUGAAUAUAUGAAAUUGUAACAAAAUAAAAGUUUGUAUAUGCGAUUGAAAUGUUUUAAAAUGUUGUAUGAGGUUACAAUUGCACUCAAAUUCGAAGAAGUAAAAUGCAAUUUACACAAAUAUAAAUGAUAAUACUAUUGUUAUCGUGGCAAAUUGAGCAAAGUAGCACCGAAGUGAUGUCGUUUAGUCAUCCUGUUUCCUAUUGGGAUAUCUAGAAUCCAGCAAUCGAAUUCGGACUUGAGCUCGAGUUUUUUGGCAAUUUGGGUUUUAUUUGUUGGUUGGUGAAUUACUGAAGCUGAUUUGAAUAGAAAAGAUUGAGAAUUUUGAGAGAAUCGAGCUUCCGAUUACUGCGGCGAUGUCGGGUCAAAUGCUAAAGAAAGUUUUGAAGGAACAAGAAGAAGAAGACCGACACGUAAUAGAAUCCGAAUCAGAAGGAGAAGCAGAAAGCCAGCAGCUCAAUGGAAAAGCUAAAAUCAAUCCCUUUGACCUCCUCAACGACGGCGGCGAUGACGACGACCACCAGGUUCACUUUUUUAAUUUAAUUCUUAUUUUUUUCUUUUUAGUGGAUUUAAGAAAAUGAAAGGAAUUCUAAUUUAAAUGGUAAAAUUUUGUUGAUUUUUGCGUUCAAUGUGCUGAGUCAUCAUCGAGCUGUGAUGGGUUGGUGUUGGAUACUGUAAAAGGUUUUCCUUUGGAUUUUUUAAAGGAAAAAUUAGUAUUCGGUACCUAGUUCUUAAUGUUUAUUAACUAAAACUUUAUUAGUUAUCAAAUUUUGAUUCAAGUCCCUAGCAUUAAUGUGAUAAUGAAUUUACAUGUUUAUUAAAUAAUUUUUAAAUAUAAAAAUUAGUAAUUAAUUUAAGAUUUAAUACUCACACCUCUAUUAAACUUCUAAUUAAUUUUCAAUUCAAACAUUUCCAAAAUAAUAAAAAAUUAAUUAAAUUAAGUUUGUACCUAUGAGUUUUUAUAUAUAUAUAAAAAGAUUCUCAAUUUUUAAUCUUAAAUGUACCCAUUCAUAUAAUUUUUCAAUUUUUUUUAAUCUUAAAUAUACCCAUUCUCAAAUAUAUCAAUUUGUUAUAUGUAAAAUGUACCCUUUUUAAAUAUAAAAUCCAUUCUAAUUUUUUAAUCCAUGUUUAAACUUAUAUGGAUAUAUUCUUUUUCGUUGAUUUGAGAAUGUAUCCAUGUAUUGGUACAAUAACUUUUUUUAUUAAUUUUGGUUAAUGUACCCAUACAUAUAUGUAUAUAUAUACACACACACAAUAUAAUAGAGAGUAUAAUUUAUAUUUUAUUAUUUUUAAUCCCAUAAAUUAUGGGUUUUAUUUAAAAUCUCAUUAAUAUAAACAAUUACAAAUUUCAAUUUUUAAUUUUUAAUUUAAAAAAUAUAGUAACUUACAUUAUUAUAUUAAUGUCAGGGACCUUAAUCAAAAACUAAAAACUAAUAAGGUUUCAAUCAAAGAAUAUUGAUGGCUAGGGACCGCAUCCAAAGUGUCCCUUUUUUAAAUAUAAAUCUCUUACGAGACUGAAAGUUUGAAACUGUAUCACUUGAGUUUGGUAACACCCAAGUGUAGCACCUUGUACAGGACAAACUGGUUGACGAUCAUGUGAAAUUAUGCAGUACUCUUUACUGAACUGUAUCACUUAAGGGUGUGAACAUUAUUUAUGCUCACAGCUUAGAGUUUGUCAGACUAGGAUUUAUGAUAUGUGAUCUCGCGUCCUUUUGGUGUCAUUUUGAUUCAUGCAUCAUCAUCUGGAUUUUGAUCGUACGUGCAGAUACGUACAUUCCUCAUCCUACAUGAUAUCAAUGGCAUUGCAAGUAUUUUGUUAUACAAUCCUUAUCAUUUGGAUUCGCUUAUAACCAUGGCAGAGUACUAUUAAGUUUUCGGGUGAACAUCAAAUAUCAGCACAACUUAUCUCGAAGUGCUUAUAUGCUUUGGAAUGUGCAUGGAAUCCAAUGUUCACACCCUUGCAGGGCAAUUGCCAACUAAAAUACAGCCAUGAAACAAACAAGCCUCUCUGUUCACGCUACUUUUUACUCGCAUGAGAAAUAUGGAUAGGCGUGGUUGCCAUCGAUCUGCUUUACAAGUUUGCAAGUUGUUACUUUCACUAGAUUCAGAUGAUCCAAUGGGAGCCAUGUUCUACGUUGACUAUUUUUCGUUGAGGGCAGAGGAGCAUGCAUGGCUAGAACGGUUCUCUGAAGAAUAUAAAAGUGAUAACUCCUUAUGGUUGUUUCCAAAUUUUUCAUAUUCCCUCGCCAUUUGCCAUUUCUAUCUUGAGAAGGAAGAAUCUUCAAAAGGUGCACCGGAAAAUGCCAAGUCUACUUCAGCUGAUCUUAUGAAAUAGGCAUUGAUGCUUCACCCGUCAGUCUUAAAAAGAUUAGUGGAAAAGGUACCUUUGAAGGACAAGGUGUGGGCGCGGAUACUCAAAAUCCGUAUUUUCAAGCAGAUCAAGUAGGAAUCCCAUCCUUGGAUCACCUAACAAACAUAUAUGUUGAGAGGAAUUUUCUUCUAUGGAGGCUCCCAGAUCCGCAUGAUUUGCUGAGGGAUGCUGCACAGCUUGUGACAGAGACACUAAGACAUAAUGGUAGCAAUAAGGACGAUUGGGCAUGCAUGAGAAAAGAAGCAUUCUCAUCCGAGAAAAACGAGUAAGUGUGCGGUAACAGUUUUGCAUUUCGGCUACUUCUUUCCUAGUAUUUUGUUUAUCACUGUUGCGUAAACUUACAAAGUUAUAUCUGCUUAUGUUAAGCCUGAAUUUGGUGGAAUGACUGACUGCUUGCUUGUUUGCUAUAGGUACGCCCACUUGUUAGUUUCAGAUUUCUCUGUCAGUGCCAGAGAUAAAGAACACAACCUUCCAAUACGAUGACCAAGGCGUGUUGUAAGGUUCUUUAAUACAAGCUCGGGCUCAUGACUGGUUGGAUUUCCAUGAUUCUGCAGGUAUAUCAAAUAAACAAUAAGGAAAACAAAAUAAAUAUACAUGUGUACACAUGUGCGCACACACGCAGAGACUAUAAAUCACAAUCUAACAGUGAGACUAUAAACUGUAGGAUUUAUUGUUGUAGUGUAUAUAAGUUUCUGAGUUUAUAUGUAUCCUCUUUUUUUUUUAAUUUGAAGAAGCUGAAAACUCUUCCGUGUAGCAUGUGUAAAGCAAAGAGGCUAGCAUCAAAGGUUAGUGUUGAGAUAUGAAAAACAGAAUGUGACCAACCUUGUAACAAUCUAAAAGUUUUUGUCAUCAGAAACAAAGCUUGAGGGAGCACUAGUAACACAACAAUACUAUAGAACCCUUCAAAACGAGACAGAACCAACCUGGUUCCCUGCGAUUGGUGUGCACAACAAUUAGAGAAGUGAAGUCUUUCUUAUUUGCAUACUCUACGAUCUGCAACCAAAGCCAGAAAACAUACAUAUAUAAAUUGUUCGAAUUUAACGAUCCGCAUAUUGAAAAGAGGAGGGGGAGGGAGGGAAUUCCGAAAGAAAGCACCUUUUUCAAGUCAUAUGUUCCUCUUUUAUAGUAGGUUGCAUUUGGGAUCACGGAAGGUAGUUCCUUUAUAAACUCAGGCCCCCUCUGCAGACCCGAAAGACAAAAAACCGUAAACCAAAUAUAACCUAAACAAAGAAAUUCCCUUACCACAUCAAAUACGGAAUGCUGUAAAAAAUCAGGGGAGAUGGAAUGUACAUACAGAAGAAUUGAAACGGCAAGUAAUAUCUUUGGAUUCAAUUCGCACUUUAAAAUCGAACUGAAUUCAUCGGCAUCAUUUCCAGCAAACAGCUGCAAUCCAACACACAACACAAAGCCGAAAUUAACCAAACCAUCAUUCAAUUUUCCACGCAUAAAAAACAAAUCUUUUCACAUUUGCAACAUUGUAAGCCAGUCAAGCACAAUCAAAAGGUGCAAAAACGAACCUCUUCGUCGUCGGGCUUACAAACAGUCUCAUCGACUUCCCUGGUGUUCUUAAUCGUCUUCGGGAUCUUCUUUGCCGGGGGCUACAGAGCGCAAUUAACAACACUAAUUAGCUAAUCAUACCAAAAUUAAACAUCAAUUAACAAUUAAAAUACCAAUUUAUCAGUUCAUAAAUUCACAAUUGGCAUAAUUACCUCCUCGCCGAGCUCGAGAGCACGCUUCUCAGCAGCGUCACGGGCCUUGGCCUUCUUGCGCUUCUCGAGCUUCUUCUGCUGCUUGAGCUUGGCGUGGACCGCCGACCUCUUCUCCUUGUUCUUUAUCAUCGACGGCAGAAUCUCCAUCUUCCUCUCCGGCGGUGGUUCUUCUCCUCCUCCGUCGCUUUCGCUUCGCUUCCUCCUGUUAUUAUUGCCUCCCAUUCUCGCAAUUGCUCAAUCGAGAUACCGCAGGUAGCUGAUAGCUCAGAUCACCUUCUUCAAUCUCGCGUUAGGAUUUUUGCUCGGCCACAGUAAAAGCCACCAGGGUUUAUCUAGUUAUUGCCUGCUCCUCCCCGCACCGUAUUUCGCUCGUGUUUUAAACUUUUCACCUUUUAAACCAGUAAUUUGCAAUUUUAUUUUGGGAGUUUUAACAAAACAUUUCUAGUCCUGUUCAUUUUUAAUGAAAAAUUACAUUUAUAUAUUUUUCUGGUAUUAUUUAUUAUAUCUUUAAAAAGGGUUUUUCAUUAAAAAUAAAGUUUUUUUGGAUUUUUUGCUAGUUUCCCUUUUUAUUUUACUUUUGUUUUGUUUUGGGUAAUGCGAAAUAAAUAAAAUUUACAAACCAAAUGAUAUGUUAUUAAUAGAAAUAAGUACGUUAAUCAAAACUAAUAAUAAUCAUUAACCACAACGUUAUCUAGUUUAAAAAGAAUUGAUUUAAAAAUUUAAUCACACUAGCAUUGAACUUAUAAGUGGCUAUCAAUUUUUACUUUGCACUUUUAUUUUACCCAAUUUAUACCUCCAAAUUUUUAUAAAUAGCUAAUUAUCUUCUCAAGGUCCAAAUUUUUAAAAUUUCAUCUAUUUUUUUGUCCAUAUUUGUUAUGUGAAUAACAUAUGAACUACUUAAAAGGGUAACAAUGAAAUUUUAUAGCAAUUAGAUAAGUAGUUAUACAAGGAUCGAUAGAAUAUAAGACAAGAAGAGGGAGAAUUAGGUUUCAAGCAGUGAGUUUUAGUAAGGCAAAAAGUCGUAUUUACCCUCGACAAAAAUUGGGAUAAAACACAUGACUGUUUAAUGUAGGCAUAAUUGGAUAUAAGUCCACUUUUGUAAAGCCAUUAUUAAGUUUAGUCCAAUUUUGUGAUAUCGUUGUAACGGAUCCAAUGACCGAGACUCCACGUUAGCUUAUUUUUAUUUUGUACCAAAUUUACUCCUUAUGCUAUAAAUUGAAUGAGGAUCUUCUCUGGAUUCUCUUUGUGAGGAUCUUAGAGAUUCUCCAAUCGUGUUAGUUUAUUAUAUGUCAUACCGUCAGAAAUCAUUGUAAAUUUUUUAUUUAAAAUUAAAUAUAAAAAGUAUCUGAUGAAAACCGGUCGCACGAUGUACGAUAAACAGACACAAUUGAAGGAUCGGAGAGGAUCCACAUUCCUAUAAAUUGUAGUAAGUACACACAAGGUUCUAAAGGACGCUAGUCGAACAUCGGGCUGGGGCUUAGCGGAGCUUAGGUGAAAUAGGCGUAUUUAAGUAAAUUUAUUAUAUAUCAUAUAUAAAUAAGCGUCUACAUACACAUAAUAUAUAUAUAUAUAUAUAUAAUUUCAUUGGGAUACAUAAAUACUAAAUAGAAGGACACAUAGAUUAUAAAGUGUUGGAAUAUAAUAAAAACAUGGGGAAUAAGCAUAUAAUGUAUAUUCAUCUAAAUAUUCAACAAGUCUCUUACAAUUUAUUGAAGAAAAAAAUGCAAAAUGGAAGUUAUCUAUUUUCUAUCUAAGUGAGAAUCGUGAUCUAGGCAGGUGCCUUGACGGGUCUAGCCGGGCUAGGCGGGUGCUAAGACGGUCUAGGAGGGCGUCUAAACAGGUCUAGGCACCCUUUCUUAAUUUUCAAACGUCUAGGGAUUAAUCGAUAUGGUGGCUAACAGUUUUAGAAUAAUGAGUACACAUAAUCACCUAAUUAUAGGAUUAUUUGUGGUUGAACUAAUAUCUUAAUUGUAGGAUUAGUUAUUAGCAAUGUAAUCCUCUCAACCCCGUAGCUAAUUUGAAAAAAAAAAAAAGGGUUUUCAAAUGGGUAAAUUAUUGCUGGAUUAUUGUUUGUGUUUGUGCUUAUGUUUGAAACGGAAUGGUGAUGAUGAGAGCAAUGGCAACCAUGACACACAGACCUGCGGAGAUGUUGGGGAUGAAAGGAAUAAAUCGGUUGUUUGGAUGCAUGUCUUCCUUAAACACGAGGGUGUUUGGUUGUUAGUUUUAAUAAAGAAAGUGGGACACGUGUUUUAACUCUACGGAGCUACAUUGUAGUCAGUGAAAAAUGGGUACUGCCUAGCCAGUAACCAAGUAUUGUCCUUUAUUUACAUCAAGGGGCAUGCCUAGUGGCAUUGGACCACUUUCUUGAUCUUGAUCAGCUGCUUGUGUCUGUUUGAUCAUCAUUUCCUUUUGAUCCUUGUUUUUACCCCACAGUAAAAUGUACAUGCCAGUUAUGACAGUGACAGAUCCCACCACGCUGGUAAAUUAAAUGCCAAAAUUUAAUUAGCAAUGGGUUAAUAUGAAGAUAAUCAAUAUUAAUUAUAUGUCAAAUAUAAUUGAAUGAAUAAUUACCUUCCGAGGUAAAUUUGUCCGUGCAAGAAAGAGAAUUCCAACAUAGCCACGAACAUCUGGGUGGCGGGGGUAAAUGCUGCUGUGAAGAGUGCACCCUUUUGUUUCACACACCAUGACAUCCCUACGUAGCACAACCCUGAUCCUACUAUUCCCUGCAACGUCAAUACACAUGAAACCCUAAUUAGUUCUUGAAGAAUUCUAGAUCAUAGCAUUUGAAUGGAUUACUUGAUGAAAUCGAAAUAAUCCAACACAUGUACUAGCUGUUAAAACAGUAGCUGUUAGCUAGAAGGAGAAACCAUGCAUGUUAGAAAACCAUUAAACCCUAAAAAGCUCAAGCUCACACUGGCUAAGAAAGAUUUGAACGGUGAAGAUUAUAGUAGAUGCAGAAGAAAAUACUUACAGUAUAUGCGACACUUAAGAUCUCCAACUUUCCCUUGAGAAUCCACAUUGACAUGGCGAUGUGCCUCUGCGUAAUGAAGCACAAGAUGGCGGAUUGAAUGACGCUGAAGAAGGACAAAAUCGCGGUGCUAGCGUACUGAAAAGGGUAGCUCUUGCCGAUCUUUGCUUGGAUGAGGAACCAUGAAGACCACAAGAGGCAGCCUGAUGCCAAAAAUACUGAACCCACAGCCCACCUAUCACUCUUCUUGGCUGAUGAAAAAGUCGUUGUAUUGGCAUGGUUUUGCAUUUGAACUGUAGAUUCUGAAUGUUGGUUGGUUAAUGGCAUUCCUUUGUACAAGAUCAAUGACACAGCUCCACCAAUACAUAUUAGGGCACCGAGGACUUUAGCGAUCCCACCCUUUUUCUUUAUGUUCACUUUCUCUAGUCUGGAAACUCAAGUCCAAAAACCAAGUUAAUUCCCAUAACAACAUGUUUACCAACUUAGAAUACGAGAAGUUGUGAAUGGAGGAAUGCAAAACAUGAGAGAAAAUGAAUGAGUAUGGGAUCACUAUGCACAGUCCCUAAUAAAUCUAGUUUAAAGUGUUUCAGGUAUCGGUUUACGAAUUGUAAUGUGAAACUCACAUGCCUUUCGGUUUGCAUGUAUAUUUUUAAACAUAGAGGAGAUUCAAAGUCCGAAUUAUUCCAAUACCCAUUUCAGAUAACUAAUCAGACUAAUAACUUAUUCUUUGUACUUUACCCAAAUGGUAGAGCCAAGAGGAAAGUGUUGACGGGCACCAUGUUGAUGAAUGCACAGGAAUAUGUCGCAGAGGUGUACUGAAGUCCAAGAAGAAAUAAGUAAUGCGUGAAAGUUAUCCUGAAAGACACAAGUAUUUGCCAAAAAAAAUCACAUAAAAGAUAACAUCAAAUGAAAUAACAUAAAAAAAUAAAUCAAAGAAACCUUAAAGUACCACUACUAACCCAAUUAGAGCACUGAUGAAAAGGUGGCAUAAGAUUUGAGAUGUAAGCUCUGUUCUACUUUUCCUGCAAAAAAAAAAAAAAAUCUAUAUGCUUAGUAAUAGUUGCUAAUACCAUAUUUACUAAUCAUAUUUUUCACAGAGUUGAGACGACUAGCAAAUUAAUAUGAUACAUAUAGAAACAAAUCGUAAGUCUAUAAGGUUUUACCUCUCCCAAAAGAAAGCAAUUGGUGUCAAGAAAACAGCAGAAAUCGACUGUCGAUAAGUAACAAUAAUCAAACCGCCUAAUCCACCAUCAAUAGUCUUCUUAAGCAGAAUAUUUACUAUAGCAAAUGCAAGGUUAAUGACCAGCAUGACAAAAUAGACUUCCAUUUUCCCCAGCAAUUCAUCGUAAUUAUAUAGAAGUAUUUUGUUUCAAAGCAUAAUGCAGUAAGUUAUUAGACUCGUUCUGUGCUUAUAUACAUUUAUAGGUAAACCAACCAGCUUCCUUCCCACAUACAUGGGGUGGCUAUGAAUGGUUAAUAUUCUUGGCAUCAUUUCCUCAGGUUGAUGGCAAUUUUUUUUUCCCACAACUUUGUCGUAAAAGUUAAGCAAAGAAUCAAUUAACAAGCUUCUUCUCCUAUUAGUUUAUCACUAUCUAUGACCUCAGAUAAAUAUCAAUUCCACAUUUCAUUUUAUUUAUAUUUCUUUUAUAAAUAAGAGUAUUGUUCUUGAACACUUUUUAACUUUGUGACAUUAUUUUGUAAUAUAAAUAUUAUAAUCAGAACCGUUCAUUAUCUUUUUCAUCAUCUCAAGAUCAUUUACGAAAAAAUUCACUUGAUUUGAAAGCCUUUUAGUAGUCCAUAAGAAUCAAACAGAUUGAUGUUUUAUUAUGAUUAUAUUAUAAUUUUUCUUUUUGGGAUCCUCGACGGUACAAAAUUUUUUUUAUGAUAACGAAAAAACAAGUUACACCUAUUUACGAUGACAUAAAUUUUACUCUUCAUAAAACAAAGAUAAUAAAAAAGAAUGCACGAAAAAGAAUGGAGACAUAAACCUUACAUUUCUUGAAACAAAAACAAGACUGAUACAAACAAAAACAAAGUAAUACGAGCCGCCGGUAGACGAGAAUUAUGUCAUGUUAAAAUUGAAGAAGACAAGUCCAUAUUAAUAAAAUUAUCCACGAAAAGAUUUUCUUCACGUUUAUACGAUUUUCUGAUGUAACGUUAAAGAAAAUAUAGCUUUUUACGUAUAAAAAGCAAAAGCAUUGACCGUUCUCUUGGUUCUUGCCAGUACACCUUUUUCUUUUCUUUUGAAUAAUUUAUGGGAGAUUAAUGUGGACGAAACAAUACUGCAUCAAUGAGCAUCUUUCCGAAAAGCAUUGGUGGCUGAUAUGAAUACACUAGCUACCAUUUCUUCAAAGUAGUAUCCAAUACUUCAUGUAAAGAAUGCAAUAUUACUAUUGCAUUGAUUUGAAGAACAAUAUGUCACAUUUUUACAACAAAAAAAAAAAAAAAAAAAAAACAAUAUGUCACAUGUUAGAAAAAAAGAUAUAAACAUAUAUAUAUAAAGCUAAUGGUUUCUUUUUUUGGUCGAAGAAAGCUAAUGGUUAUUGCUGGCUAGGUGGAUGGACAGGCCAUUUAUUUUGUUAUUUAAAUCAUAAAACAAUGCUGCUGAUGUGCCAAACGCACGCCUAAAAUGGUAAUAUACAUACAUACAUACAUACAUACAUACAUACAUACAUACAUACAUACAUACAUAUAUAUAUAUGUGGUUAGUAGUAUCCAGAAUCCAUCUGAUAUGUGUGUGACAGUAUAGAAAAGCAGUGCAGGCAGAGGCCUUUCGUUACAUCAAAUUAUGAUCAUAUGCAGACUCAAACUAGCCACUAUGUGAAAGUAUAAGGGCCUAGCAAAAGAAAAAAUUGGAUAGGAUCCUAUAGGAUCUACCCCUUUCAAAAACCGGACGUGAACGUUUCCUCUCAUCCAGCUCAAGUAGUUACACCAAAUAAAGAUAUAUCGUUUUUGUGUUUUUCAUAGUUAACUCUAAUGAUCCGAACUCUUAUCGAGUACAAAGUUAACGCAACCACCCAAUAAGGUUUAAAAGUAAGAAUGAAAGUUUACUUGUUUAGAAUAGAGAAAGUUAUGAAUCAAGAAAGUCGGAAAUAGGGAAGAGACAAGGAUAACUAGUGCUACCUAAUCAAUCUAAUAUCUAACCAUAAUAGUUUUGGUACCCAUAUGUAACAUAUCCAUUCCAUAUACAUGCCAUUGAAGUAAACUCCAUAUCGUGCAAUUUGCAAUCAUCAACUAACUACACGUAUGUACUAAUUAAAUUUAGAUGUUUAUGCAUGUAGGAGGAUCCAAACCUACUAAGACGUAUGAGUUUACAACUCAGCACACAAUCACCCCUUUACGUACCAUUGAAGCAUUUCACUAGUGUAGUUUAGCUCCAUUGAAUUGUUUUGUUAUUAAGAUAUGGAUAAAAACCCUUGACAUGUGGUCCUAACUCAUCUUCGCACCGUUCCUCACCGUUGGAAUUAGCUUUACUUACAAAGAAUGAAUAUCAUUCUAACAACAAAAUAAUAAUUCUAUUGGAGCAGGUUAAAGGUUAAUACUCACAAGAUUGAUAAACCGCCUAGAAUUGAAUCUUUUCUCCAUUGGGAUGUUCCUCUUUCGGGUUGGGUUAAGCUUAAUGUUGACGGUUGCAAGAAGGGAAAUAAUAAUUCUAUUGGAGCAUGUGGUGUUUUAAGAGAUUUUGAUUGUAAAUGGAUUUCUAGGUUUUGUGCCAAUUUGGGCACAUGUGAGGUUCUCACUGCUGAACUAUGAGGUCUUUACCUGGGCUUACAAUUGGCAUGGAAAUUUUGGAUUCCUAAAGUACUGGUGGAAUCAGACUCUACAAUUACAGUUCAUUUUGUGUUCCAUGUCACACCCCGAUUCUAACAUACGUCCAGGAUUGACACGUGACAUCACCAAGUAUCCGUAUAUCUAACAUACCUCGCCUCUAGAAUAUGUACUAAGCAUGCUCAAGCCUCAAAUUGAGUAGUGAUUUUUCGUAUACUUUAUGGUUGCAUCUAACCUCCUCGUUAGAUUGCCUACGUACCCUCAAUAGGGAUCGUCAUUCGUAGUUCACCAUUUCACUAUACUUGAACAUUUAUCACAUAAAUCGCUAUGUCUCAACAAUAUAUCACAAUGCAUACCAUGCAAUAUGUUCAAGAACCAAUGACGAAGCACAAUAUUCUUCUCAAGCCACAUUGAUCAACUAGAAUAAUCAUAAUAAUAACAUCCAUAUCCAAAGUCAUUCCGCAAUCCAAUCAAUUAAUCAAUUCAUGAAUAAAAAAUGCAUGAUCUUAACAUUUAUUUACGUUAAUCAAUCAAUGCAAUAACUUAUCAUUUCACGAAUUUAACUAAGGAAUCUAUACAAUUCCCUACUUGGAUUAUGAGUAAUAAACAUGGUAAUUCUAAUUUAUAUUCACAAGGUCUAUUAGGGGUAAUUCCCAUCCACUCGAAUCUAGGGUUCUAGACUAACCUUAUGGAUAUGAGCAAGAGUAAGGAUUCCGGACCACUCAACGGAACUAAAACACCAAGCUGCUUCUUGUAAUCUACCCAGACCUGUCAUAUGUACAAUCAUGCCUACAUCAAGGAGAUGGCACACUAGGCAAAUCAGACACUCGAAUAAGCUGCGAAGUUUAGGUGAGUGACAAUAAUACAAGUAUGUGAUAUUCAAUAAAAACAGACCAUCGAUCACAAUCUAUAAACAUCAAGUAUAAAAUCAUGCUUUAUGAAAUCAUAAUCAAGUUGGUGAAAACUCUGAAGAAGCCACCCAGACAUCCAACGACUUUUCUAAUUCAAACCACAAGAUUCUCAAAAACCAUCAUUCAUAUGUACAUUAAAAACUAGGGCUAGAAGAACGCAGUUCGGCCGAAGCCUACAUAAAUAACCAAACAGGAAGUGGCCCCCCAAAGCGGAUUAACCAAGCAGAGCCACCCCUGAGAAAGUAACCAAGUAAGCAGUGACCCCCCAAUGCGUAUUAACCAAGCAGUCACUCCUACAGUUGUUAGGAAGUGAUCACCCAAUGCAUAUUAACCAAACAUGAUCACUCCUAAGCAUACAUGGCCAUAAGGAUCGCCCAACGCGGAUUAACCAAGCACGAUCCAUAUAUAAUAUGGUCCCCCAAUGCGGAAUAACCAAGUAAGGUCAAGAUAAUAAGGUAGGUAGUGACCCCCCCAACACGAAUUAACCAAGCAGAGUCACACCUACAGAACUGUUAGACAAUGAUCACCCAACGCGGAUUAACCAAACAUGAUCACCCCUAAGUAUAAAUGGCCAUAAGGAUCACCCAACGCGGAUUAACCAAGCUCGAUCCAUAUAUAGUAUGGUACCCCAAUGCAGAUUAACCAAGUAGGACAACUAGUGGCCCCCCAAUGCGAAUUAACCAAGCAGGGUCAUAGUCCCUUACUAGCCCUCAAUUUACAAAACAUUUCAAUAUGCAAUUCAAAUCACUUUUCCACAAAUAUUACCAAUCCAUGAAUCAAAUCACAUUUAAUAAAAAUAGAUCGAUGGCCAAUUAUAAAAGAAUCACAUUUUAACAGAAAACACAUUUUAAAACCAUGUCAUAUCCACAAAGGAUAUUAAUAUAAAGAAUCGGGUAAUCAACAUAUCACAUAUAUUAAAGUCACUCACUGAGACAGGUCAGCAAAGCUUCAUUGAGUCUGUAGUAAUACUAAUUUUAGUAAUUCAAAUGGUUUGAGACCUGUUGACCAAAAAUCAAAGGUGGGGUCCACACCCUAACAAUUUAAUUUGAAAGAUUCGCAUAUCAAAAUCUAGAUCCGUAACUUCCUAAGGUCCAUAUUAUGCUCAAAGAACUACAUACUAAAAUCUCAUCACGAUCCGACGGUCGGAUCUUCGCCAAUUGCUAGAAUUAGGUGGUUGUUAACAAUUAAUUUUACAAACUUAGAAAUCUAAUUUGGGAAGAUCUGUACGUCGGAUUCCCGAUCCGUUAGUUCCAGCUAUCCUCAAAUAUUACGUUCUAUAACAUAUUAAAGUUUGGUGACGAUCCAACGGUCGAAUCAUCGAUUCAAAUUUUGAUCAAGUGAUGUAUCAUAAUGAAACUAAGUUCAAACAAUCAAACCACUUCAUAUGGAUAUCAAUUAUGAAUUCAGGGCAUCUAAUUGGACUAAGAAAGACAUCGUCGGCUCACUGGCCACGCGCCGCCGCAGGUGGCAGUCGCCUGCCCCGACUUGUCGGAAAAUCCAACUAUUUUAAAAAAUUACCAAAUUUUACAAGAAAAUAGAUCUCAGUGAGUGGAGCAAGUUUCAUACCUGUGGCCAAGUCCAAUUUGGCUGGGAAAAGCUCAAAUUUCCCUCGAACUCGUCGGAAAACCUAGAAAUGGGUGUUCCUUGAUUCAUCGCCAAAACGAACUUCGACGCCUCAUCCCAUGCUUGGGCCUUGCUCCAAGGGUUGAGGGGAGUCUAUUAGUGGUGAUGAUCGACAAUAAUCGUUGUCGGAAUCACCGUAACAUGAGAAAACUCGGAGGAAAACCGUGGACUUUAUGGCUUCCGUUUGUAAAAUUGGGUUAGAAAUUGAGAAAUAUAAUACCACAAAGGUGUUGGGUUCGCCGAGGGCUUUCCAUAGACACCAAAAUCACCUCAAUCGAACGUCGGAAGAGAUACAACCGGAUCAAGGAACCGGGUCAGCGUUUGAAAUCGAGUCAAGGUUGCUUGGGUGUGUCCUCCCCUUUCUUCUUCCCCUCAUUCUUCCCCUUCUGAUUGGUUCCCUUAACUCACAUAAAUAUGAUUGGCCUCUUUCCCACAAGAUGAGAGUUUAAAAUAAAUUUAAAAUCUAUAGUUUAGUAACACAACUUCAAAUGUUUGUAUCUAUACCGUUAUAAUCCGGACUCGCAAACGACUUUCGCCUAUGCGCUCGUAGUUUCAAGAUCUAUUUGAAUACGUUACUUGUGACCUCAAAAGGUCAAUGAAUUUUAGAUAAUUACUUUCCAAAUUUCAAACUUCGUAACUAAUUUAAUUAAAAUCUAAACCCAAAUAAAUUAAUAUAAUUUGUCGAAAAAUAAUAUAAAAUCUCAAUAAUACAAAUACGUAGAUUAUAAUAGUGAAAUCCAAGAACAGAAUUUCACAUUGCAGCUACUGGGAAUAAUCAUCCUUUUGGUCCCCUUGUUUUGGCUUGUCGAGAAUUGCUUUCAAGACGUUGGUAAUGCAAACUUCGACAUAUCUACAGAGAAAAGAACUUUGGGGCAGAUAGUUUAGCAACUUAUAGUCUUGAUUUAGAUUUAGGUCAUUUUUAUUUUGAUACUUGUGGGUGCAAAUUUAUUCCUCCUUGAUCUUAGACAAAAUUGCACGUACAAAACAAUUAACACCUUAGGUCAAGGCCAGAAGUCUCACGCGCCCACGAUGAAUGGGGGGGCUUUGACCGAAGAACCUCCGAUAUCAAAGUUAGAAUUUAGAGAGAAAAAAUGUUUGAGAAUUCUAGAGAAUUUUAGCAAGAGUUGGAAGCCAUUUUUGGGAGAGAAUGGUGAGCUAUAUAUAGGGAUAUGGCCUGCCUUAUUAGGAGAAUAGGGACCGGCCAUUUAGGUAUUUUUUGGGUGUAAAUUGUGGUUAAUUAGCCAUUAAUAGAUUAAUUAGGUAAUAAAUCUAUUAAUUGACUAAUUAACAUAUUUUGAAAGAAAUUAUUUGGGGAGUUAUGAAAUGAUUAAGAUAAUUAACUAAUUGAUUAGCUAAAAAAAGGAAAAUGAGGUGAAAAAUAUAUGGAAUCAAAUAGGUUUUGGGAGUUACCUUGUAGAAGGGAUUUGAUGAGAUAAGUUUUGAAUUGUUACCUAUUUUGGGCACUUUUGACUUGGUUGAGGGAUAAUUACCCGCUGCUCGCGUGUAGGAAUUCCGUUAUGCCUCAAGGGUAUUUUUGUCAUCUUUUGUCUAAAAAUCCACGUGUCGCCUUGUGAUUAUUUUUUGCUCCACAAUACUCCUCCUUCUAGUUCAGUUAAUUUCAUCCAUGAAGAUCGACUUGGGAUGUCCCGAUUUAGAUUUAAUAUUGAGUAUGUUUGUUUGGACUCUUGCUUUUAGCCUCGUUUUUCAAACAAAUAAAUAAAUAAAUAAUUAACAACGAAAUAAAUAAACAUCUCUUGGAUUAUAUUGGGUGAUAUGGGAGGAGAGGCCCAAACAACAAUCUGGGCCUGGCUAACAACAAGAAAAGGAGUGUCCAACCAAGUGCAAGCCCAACUCCAAGUAAAGCCUCUCAAACAGAUAAUCUAGCUUCUGCAUCUUCUUCUCAGUUAAUCUGUAUGCUUUUGGAAAUGCAAUGCGCCAUGGAAGGCCUUUCCUGGUCAAAGACCACCGCCACCACGGCGCUUCCCAACUGGGAGACAUAUUCCUGGUGGCCGGCGUCACCAAGACCCUCUCAACCUCCGGCACCCGCAACCUCCCGAACCCCCACACCCUCCCGCUCUCCGAGCCCCUCCUCUUCCAAAUCCUCCGCUCCCAGUCCCUCCACCCCUCCAAAAAACUCGACUUCUUCAAAUGGUGCUCUCUCACUCAUCACAUCAAACACUCGGAGCGCACGUACUCCCACAUCCUCCGCACCGCCUCCCGCUCUGGAUUCCUCCACGAGGUCCCUCCAUUGCUUCACUGCAUGAAGGUGGACGGCGUCGUGGUCGAUUCCCAGACCUUCAAAGCCCUGCUCGACGCGUUUAUCCGGUCCGGUAAGUUCGAUUACGCGCUUGAAAUUUUGGAUAUUAUGGAAGAUGUUGGUGCUGGGUUGAACACCGAUAUGUAUAACUAGGUUCUUGUUGCUCUGGUUAGGAAAAACCAGGUGGGUUUGGCCAUGGCCAUUUUGUUUAAGCUUCUGGAGGGAGGGGAUUCGACCCAGGUGCCGAAUUCGAUUGCCUGCAAUGAGUUGCUGGUUGCUCUUGGAAAAUCUGACAUGAGGGUUGAGUUUAAGCAAGUUUUUAAUAAGCUUAGAGAGAGCGAGGGGUUUGAGAUGGAUACUUGGGGGUAUAAUAUUUGCAUUCAUGUAUUUGGGUGUUGGGGUGAUUUGGGUACUAGUCUGAGUCUGUUCAGAGAGAUGAAAGACUCUAACUUGGAUUGCGUCGGGCUGGAUUCGUCUACAUGUAAUAGCCUCAUUCAUGUGCUCUGCUUGGUGGGGAAGGUGAAUGAUGCACUUACUGUAUGGGAGGAAUUGAAGGGCUCCGGCCAUGAGCCGGACGCAAUUACCUAUAGAAUUCUCUUAUUCAGGGGUGUUGUAAGUGUUAUCGAAUAGACGAUGGCACUAAGAUUUUUAGUGAAAUGCAGCUCAAUGGAUAUAUACCGGAUACCAUUGUUUAUAAUUCUCUACUAGAUGGGUUAUUCAAGGCUAGGAAGGUUAAUGAUGGCUGCCAGUUUUUUGAGAAAAUGGUUCGGAAUGGGGUGAGAGCCUCAAGGUGGACGUAUACUAUUCUCAUGGAUGGUUUGUUCAGGAAUGGAAGGGCGGAGGCUCCGUACACACUAUUUUGUGACUUAAAGAAGAAGGGUCAGUUUGUUGAUGGUGUAACAUAUAGCAUUGUGGUUUUGCAACUUUGUAAGGAUGGUCUGCUUGAGGAAGCGCUAGAAUUGGUGGAAGAAAUGGAAAGCAGAGGCUUUACUGUUGAUUUAAUUACUGUAUCCUCACUUGUGAUUGGGCUGUAUAAAGAAGGUCGGUGGGAUUGGACGGACAAGCUCAUGAAGCACAUUAGAGAGGGGAACCUAGUGCCGAGUGUUCUUAAAUGGAAGGUUGAUAUGGAGGCUUCACUGAAAAAUCCGCAGAGAAGUAGAAAGGAUUAUACACCAUUGUUCCCAAGUAAAGGUGACUUGAGCGAGAUUAUGAGUUUAAUAAAGUCUGCUGAAUCAACAAUGGAUGCAGACCUAGAUUCAGAGGCUGCCAGGGCUAAAGAAGACGAUAAGAAUUUGUCCACCGAUGCGGAUCAAUGGUCAUCAUCUCCACAUAUGGAUGAAUUGGCUAAUCAACUUAAGUCCGCCGACCACUCCUCGCAGCUGUUUUCAUUGUCCAGGGGUCUAAGAGUUCAAGCGAAAGGGGAAAGCACUUUUGAUAUUGACAUGGUUAAUACUUUUUUGUCCUUAUUCUUGGCCAAGGGAAAGCUGAGCAUAGCAUGCAAAUUGUUUGAGAUUUUCAGCGACCUUGGUGAAAACCCCGUGAGUUAUACUUAUAAUUCCAUGAUGAGUUCAUUCGUCAAGAAGGGCUACUUCAAUGAGACAUGGGGUGUACUCAAUGAAAUGGGAGAAACGCUUGGGGAAGAUGGGCAGAGCGGAUCUGGCGAGUUCUGUCCUGGAUAAGCUAAUUAAGCAGGGUGGUUAUCUUGAUGUGGUUAUGUACAACACCUUGAUUAAUGCACUAGGGAAGGCUAGCAGGAUUGAUGAAGUAAACAAGUUCUUUUAGCAGAUGAAGAGUAGUGGAAUAAAUCCUGAUGUUGUCACUUUUAAUACACUUAUUGAAGUACAUAGCAAAGCAGGUCGGCAAAAGAUGCAUAUAAGUUUUUGAAAAUGAUGUUCGAUGCAGGCUGCACCCCAAACCAUGUUACUGACACGACUUUAGAUUUUCUGGGCAAGGAGAUUGAGAAAAUGAGGUACCAGAAGGCAUCCAUGGUGCGCAAUAAGGAUGACUGACCUUGAAAAGAAUUUAUACACUUCAAUUCAACUGUAGUUCAACCUGCUGUGACUUUCGGCUCAUAAAUUUUAAAUGAAAAUUUGAAGGCCAAAAGUGUAGUCGUGUGUUGAGGUGCAUUUUCGAUCUAUAAUCAUGUCAUGCUCAGCUUCGGUCAUGUUAAAUGUUAAAAUUGCUAGAGGUGAAACUUCAGGUCGGUACCUACUAAACUGUUAGAAUGUAACGUAACUGGAAUAUUUGUUUUUCUUCCAAAACUCUGAAACAUAAUUGAGCUUUGUUAAGCUAGAAGGUAGAUUAUUUGAUUCUGGUAGUGAUUUAUGCAAGAAUUUGAAUGAUCAUGUUACUACUGUGUAUUAGUUUUCUUCUUUUAUGUUAAUGCAUCCUGCUUUCACUAUUUCCAUUAAGAAGAGCGUGCCUUAGAUUCUCUCUUCGUUUCCUUCUCAGUUUUCUAACCCAACCCAAUUAAAACUACAAUGCUUCUUAUCUAUAGCCUUGUCGUAAACUAUCUAAAUAACUAGAAGUCUCUCAAUAAAAUGAAUUAUAGCUAAGAAUCCUUAAAUGAUGUGUUUCUUGGCUCAUUCUCUCCUUCGAUCCUACUUUUGUUCCUUUUCCUUGUAGGUUAGAACUCAGACAAGGAGCGAGCCGAGAGUUCUUUACCAUGGCCUCCAUUUUUGUCAAAAAUCAAACUCAGGCCUCGAGUUCACAAAAUUUGGAGAGCUCUCUCUCUCGCUUUGCUCUCUAGGUAAACCCGACAGAAAUUCUAUGGAAACAUUACGCCUGCAAACGAAGUUGCAGGCCCAUGCACAAGCAAACUCCAUCUGAAGGCCGAAGAAUCCAAAGGUAAAUGUUGUGUUUGGCUCAUAUAAUUAUGAGUUGGCAACCAUUUCCUCUCAACUUUGUGGACUUUGGAAGCAUGUUUUGUGGAAGCAUGUUUUGUGGACUUUGGAAACAUGACCCCGUAAACUUUGUUUUUGGUGGUUGACAUAAUUGAUGGUGCAUGUCUAUAAGUGAAGGCAUUUUUCAUACACAAAAUUGAAGUGAGCUUGCCGUGAGAAAAUUGUGGGAACAUCCAGAGGAGAACACAAGUAGAAAAAUAUAGAGUGAGAGUGAGAAACUCUUGGGGAGAGUGAGUCUCUUAGUAAAAUUCUGUGAGGAUACAAGGGAUUGGGGUUUGGGUUAUGUCGAUUUAACUCAAGUGUAUCUUGUACUAGUUAUUCUCAUAGUGAAGAGCAAUAUCUCUCGGAGGACGUAGGCAGGUUUUUGCCGAACCUCGUAAUUCUCUUUGUGUCAUUAUUUCUUGUAUUUUAAAUUGUUCAACUGUUGGUUUAUAAGUUGGUGAGAUAACGGGCCAAGGCACAACAAUUGGUAUCAGAGCUUUGUUGGAAGCUUUGGUUCAUUGACGGUUCAGAUUUUUUAUUCACCAUGAUGACUACAAACAUGUCAUUUUCAGUUGAGAAGUUUAAUGGGAAAGGCAGUUUUACUCUUUGGCAGAUGAGAGUAAAAGAUGUCUUGACUCAACAAGGCUUGGCUAGAGCUUUGAAGGGAAAAGAUGGGAAGCCUCAAGAAAUGACAGAUGACCAGUGGGAGGAGCUGGAGGCGUGUUGUGUUAGCACGAUUCGACACUGUAUAGCUGAUAACAUUAUCAAUAAUGUUAUGGAUGAAUAUUCUGCGCCUGCACUUUGGGAGAAGUUGGAAAAACUCUAUAUUGCUAAGAGUUUGACCAACAAGUUGCAUUUGAAGCGGAAACUGUACAAGCUGAAGAUGGAUGAAGGUGGGAAUCUCAUGGACCACAUGAAUGAGUUCAACGGAUACUUGGAUCAAUUGCGGAAAGUUGAUGUUAAGGUUGAGGAAGAAGACAAAGCCCUCUUACUUCUUACCUCACUUCCAGAUUCGUAUGAAAAUCUUGUGACAACCUUACUGCAUGGAAAAGAUACAGUAAGUUUGGAGCAGGUGCAAACUUCUUUGGUGUCUUAUGAUACACAAAAGAAGAAGACCAUUGUUGAUGGUGGGCACGAGACUGCUUUAGCUGUUCAAGGUUAGAAUCGUGGAAGAAAAUUGGGAGAAGGAUCUGAGAGAGACAACAGGUUCAAAUCUGGUUCCGGAGGCAAAGGUCUACAAUGCUACAACUGCAAAGAAUUCGGGCAUAAAAAGAAAAAUUGUCCUUUGAGAAAAAGAAAGGAUGAUCUUGGUCCGGGUUGUAGCAAUUUUGUGGCGGAAGACUUCGAGUAUGCCCUCUAGGUACUCGAAGCAACACUUCUCCUGAUGAUGUUUAGUCUCAAGUGUUGCAGGGGUUUUGCAACAGGUGGAGCUAUGGGAUUCACAGGUGAUGAGAUGAUCAUGAGGUAGGAUGAAGUGUGGGAAUUUUGUCUGGCUCGAUGGGUUGUUACUGAAAACGGGCGCGCUGACGAGUUUCCAGGUUGCAGACAAUGAAGAGGAGGAAAACCUGCUGAAGGAGACAAGGAUGUGUCGAGAUCCUGUCUGAAGCUAAAUGGUGAUUUUUAGCUUGCAGCAGCUGGACAUGCAUUGGCAGUGACUGAAUCAGGAACAGGACCAACGAGGUUGAUUCAGGGUGUGUAUGCUGGUACGUAAGGCCAAUGGACAUUGGUGAUGGGUGCAAGGAUUUUUGCACAGUAUAUUCGCCAAGGUGGAGAUUGUUGUGUUUGGCUCAUAUAAUUAUGAGUUGGCAACCAUUUCCUCUCAACUUUGUGGACUUUGGAAGCAUGUUUUGUGGAAGCAUGUUUUGUGGAAGCAUGUUUUGGGGAAGCAUGUUUUGUGGACUUUGGAAACAUGACCCCGUAAACUUUGUUUUUGGUGGUUGACAUAAUUGAUGGUGCAUGUCUAUAAGUGAAGGCAUUUUUCAUACACAAAAUUGAAGUGAGCUUGCCGUGAGAAAAUUGUGGGAACAUCCAGAAGAGAACACAAGUGGUAGAAAAAUAUAGAGUGAGAGUGAGAAACUCUUGGGGAGAGUGAGUCUCUUAGUAAAAUUCUGUGAGGGUACAAGGGAUUGGGGGUUGGGUUAUGUCGAUUUAACUCAAGUGUAUCUUGUACUAGUUAUUCUCAUAGUGAAGAGCAAUAUCUCUCGGAGGACGUAGGCAGGUUUUUGCCGAACCUCGUAAUUCUCUUGGUGUCAUUAUUUCUUGUAUUUUAAAUUGUUCAACUGUUGGUUUAUAAGUUGGUGAGAUAACGGGCCAAGGCACAACAGUAAAUCCCUUCGAACUCUUCGAUUUUGAACAUCCAUCUUUUUCCUCCUCAUCUUCUUCUUCUGCUGCUGCUUUGACCAAUAGCGAUACUUCAGGCAGUGCUGCUGCUGCUGCUGCCGCUAUGACGUUUGAGCGUUUUGUUGAAAUUCAUAAAAUUGGUUUCGAUCACUGGGCUAUCUCUUUCGUUAUCACUUUUCUGUUUCUCAAAUUUUUUCCUCUCUUGCUUUCUGCUUCGUGCUCUGUCACCCAAAUGUUUUUGACAACAUCUUCUUUCUUUUACCUUUCGUGCUCUGUCUUGCAGAUGAAUCUCCCAGAUUUGAGAUCUUUUCUUUUGCUUUAUUUUUUUUUAUUAUAUUUAUAUAAGAUUUUUUUAUAUUUUUUUAGUGAGUUUUUCUAUUUCAGUUUCGGUUUAUUGUGUUCUAGCUGUUGAAGAAUGUAAAUUUGGAUUUGCAAAUGGGUGACAGAAAUUUGGACCCUGAUUUCUCUUCGACGAUUGCUAUCAAGAUGAACUAUAAUCCUAGAGUUUCAGAGGUACUGCCAUUGUUUUUUUAUAUGUGUUUUUAGAUUUUUGCUUUGUUUUUUCUUUGUUCUUUUUAAUCUUUGAUUGAGAAAUUCAGAUUUGUGUGUUUCAAAUUUUCUGGUAAAAAUUUAGGGUUAAGGAAAUUUUAGAGAGGUGGAUCACAUUGUAGGAUAUGAAGUUUAUGUAAUUGGUAUUUAGGGGGUGGAAUAAAUUGCAGUUACUCCUUUUGUUUAAAUUUUGGUUUUUAUGUAAUUUUCAUUUAACGCUUAAAUUAAAGAAAGAGAACACGCAAUUUUUUAUAUUUCUUGAUAAUGUGUAUCUGGGUGAUGAUGAAAUAUGCAAUUAAUUUAUUUGCUAAUUGGUUCGUUUAGGUGUGCAUGAAGCAAAGCUCUAAAUUAAAGAUGUUAGAAUUGAACAACAACAACAACAACAACAAAGUCUUUUCCCACUAAGUGGGGUCGGCUAUAUGAAUCCUAGAACGCCAUUGCGCUCGGUUUUGCACAUGUCCAAACCCAUUUUGUGUACGUGUUGAUGCUUCACCGCCCAACAUUAUGUGUCAUACAUCAUCGCCGGCCUUAUUGCCGUCCUUUAAAAUUUUCCCUUGAGCUUCAGUGACCUACGACGGUCACACAACACGCCGGAUGCACUGUUCCACUUCAUCCAUCCAGCUUGUAUUCUAUGGUUGAGAUCUCCAUCUAAUUCUCCGUUCUUUUGUAAGAUAGAUCCUAGGUAGCGAAAACGGUCGCUCUUUGGUAUUACCUGAUCUCCGAUCCUCGCCCCUAACUCAUUUUGGCCUCCAUUUGCACUGAGCUUGCACUCCAUAUAUUCUGUCUUUGAUCGGCUUAGGCGAAGACCUUUAGAUUCCAACACUUCUCUCCAAAGGUUAAGCUUCGCAUUUACCCCUCCUGAGUUUCAUCUAUCAACACUAUAUCAUUUGCGAGAAUCAUACACCAAGGAAUAUCAUCUUGAAUAUGUCCUGUUAACUCAUCCAUUACCAACGCAAAAGGGUAAGGACUUAAGGAUUGUUGAUGCACAAAAUCAGUGAGGACUUUGGUACAACAGAAAGUAUUAAGUUAUUUCUCUGGUCAUUAGUGUGGAUAAGUAUGUAAAAUGAUAGAGACAGGAAAGCAAACAUAAGAUGUACGUGGUUCACCCAGAUUGGCUACGUCCACGGAGUAGAUGAGUUCUCAUUAAUUGUGAAGGGUUUACACAAGUACAUAGGUUCAAGCUCUCCUUUAGUGAGUACAAAUGAAUGAUUUAGUACAAAUGACAUUAGGAAAUAUUGUGGGAGAAUGAUCUCGUAAUCACGAAACUUCUAAGUACCGAAGUGUGGUAUCGUCUUCACUUGCCUUAUCUGUCUCAUAGGUAGAUGUGGCAUCUUCUCUGGAAGUACUCUUCCUCCAUCCAGGGGUGGUAUUUUUAACUAGUGGAGAUGCACAAGGUAAUGUAUCAAUUUCACUUGAAGCUUACUUGUAGCUUCAGGUUUGGUCAAGCGCGAUACAAACCAUGUAGUAGGAGUCCCCCAAGUCGCCGAGCUAGGGGAUCUGUUGAAAGAGGUGACAAACAAAGUAAGCAAUCAGAGCUCCAAGCAAUCAGUCCCAGAUCAAAAGUUUGAUUUUGAGUUCUGGCUGAUUGUUCUCAUUCUCCCUAUCUUGCAGGCAUCAUGAAGGAUAAAGAGAAGAAAAUGAGACUAGAUGAUACGAGAUACUUUUGCUUUUGAAGAAGUAACUUUCCACAGGCUUAUUCUUGAACUGGGCGGGAGGGUUUUCUGGUUUCCUCCAGAGUAUAAGGCCGACUGAAGAAUUUGAGGGUCAAAACAAGUCCAUCAAAUCUAGAGUACGUUCGACCAUGCUGAUAUGAGAUACUUUUGCUGUUGACAAAGUAGUGGAUGUAUCGGCACGCGUUCUGUUACGCUUGUCUCCACAUGCUUCCUUGUAUCCUUCUCACUUUCCCUAUCGGUUCCUCAAGCAGAUGUGGUAUCUUCUCUGGAAGCAUAAGAUGUUGAAGAUGAGUACUCGAGAGUAAUGUCAGGUAAGUAAUCAGGUAAGGGGUUCCAGGCAGUCAGUUCCUGACUGGAAGCUUGAUUCCAAGUGCUGACUGAUUGCUCUCUUUCUCCUUGUCUUGCAGGUAAGAACAAGGCCAAAGGAAAAGACAGGGAAAAAGCAUGAUAUGGGAUACUCUUGCUUUUAACCCUGAUGAUAUGAGAUAUUCUUGCUCUGGUGUAGCUUGUUUGUAGAGGUAUUAUCGGGGGGGGGGAAAGAAAGCUGAGUAUUUCGAGAGGCUUCGUUGGGAGUGCCCUCUCAGAUAUGAGGAAGGGUUGAGCAUUUUUGCAGGUCUGCCUUUCCGUUGAGGAUGGAGGUUGACAUAUAUAGGAGUCUCCCUAACAACAAGUAGUAAUGCUAUUCCUUUACCCUGCUUGGUCAUAACACGGUAGUGGGAGCUGCCAGCUUCACGUGUGUCAGAGCACUUUGAAAAAGUGGUCUGUGGUAUCUGGAAAGCUGAUGUUGCGUGUGAAGAUUACAAACAAGCUUUAUCCAAGAAGAUCCGGCCCUCGAAGUUGAGAAAGCGGUGCCUCUUCGAUUUUCGAACAAGCAAUCCUGUCGGAGAUCUGGCUCUCGAGAUUCGGAGAACGGUGCCUCUUUGAUUUUUGAGAGAGCAAUCCUUCUGGGAGUCUGGCUUUCGAGAUUCGGAGAGCGGUGUCUCUUCGAUUUUUGAGAAAUUAAUCAUGUUGGGAGUCUGACUCUCGAGAUUCGGAGAACGGUGCCUCUUCGAUUUUGGAGCAAGCAAUUUUGUUAGGAGUGUUUUCUCGAAAGUGAGUAAAGGUAGGGCAUGUUUGCUAGUCUACCUUGCCACAGAGCACAGAGGUUGACACACAGGGACUUUCCAAUUAUCCAGCAGUGGUGCUGUUCCUUUACCCUUGUGGGUAAUAAUAUGAUAGCUAGACCUUCAAAAUUUAUGUGUCUAAACUUUGUUAGUGCUGUUUCUUUGCUAUUCUUUUACCCUUCUUGGCCAUAGCGAUGUAGUGGGAGCUGCAAGCUUCACGUGUCUAAACUUUGUCAGAGAUCUUUGGCAAAGUUAUCUGUGGUACCCCUGAGCUGAUGGUGCGUGUGAAAAGUGGAUGAUUGAACAGUAAGAUUCACGUGCUUUCUACUUCACCAGAAAUCUUCAACAGAAUGCCUGUAAUUUCAGCAAAGCUGAGUGUGCAUGUGACAGGUGCUGACAAGGCUGAAAAGUGCCUCUUCGAUUUCUGAGAUCGGCCCUCGUGGUCUCUGAGCAGCCCAGCUUUUGAGAAAGCAAGCCUCUUCGAUUUCUGAGAUCGAUCUUCGUGGUCUUUGAGCAGCUCAGCUUUUGAGAAAGCAAACGCCUCUUCGAUUUCUGAGAUCGGCCCUCGUGGUCUCUGAGCAGCCCAGCUUUUGAGAAAGCAAACGCCUCUUCGAUUUCUGAACAGACGCCUCUUUGAUUUCUGAAGCUCCGUCGAGUGCAGAUUUUUAUAGAGGCUGGCAUUAAGUUUCAAAGCACACUUGAAUCUUCACCAGUAGAAGCUCCCUUCUUGCACUUCUAAGAUCUUUAUUUGUCCGACCUCUUCUCUCUUCAACACCUUUGAAAAUGUCUGGCCCCUCCGACCGUCAUUUUGACUUGAACCUUGUUGAAGAGGCAGCCAUGCCUUCUCCAGACAACAUAUGGCGUCCAUCCUUCUUAUCCCCUACUGGUCCUCUUACCGUUGGGGAUUCCGUGAUGAAGAAUGAUAUGACCGCUGCGGUGGUGGCCAGGAACCUUCUCACUCCCAAAGAUAACAGACUACUUUCUAAACGGUCUGAUGAAUUGCCUGUUAAGGAUUCUCUGGCUCUGAGUAUUCAGUGUGCAAGUUCUGUGUCUAAUAUGGCCUAACGCCUAUUUGCUCGAACCCGCCAAGUUGAAUCAUUGGAGGCUGAAGUGAUGAGUCUCAAACAGGAGAUUAUAGGGCUCAAGCAUGAGAAUAAACAGUUGCACCGGCUCGCACAUAACUAUGCUACAAACAUGAAGAGGAAGCUUGACCAGAUGAAAGAAUCUGAUGGUCAGGUUUUACUUGAUCAUCAGCGGUUUGUGGGUUUGUUCCAAAGGCAUUUAUUGCCUUCGUCUUCUAGGGCUGUACAGCAUAAUGAAGCUCCAAAUGAUCAACCUCCGAUGCCUUUUCCUUCUAGGGUUCUAUCCAGUACUGAGGCUCCGAAUGAUCCCCCUCCGAUGCCUUCUCUUUCUGUGGCUCUACUGACUGCUAAGACUUCUCCUAAGCAACCUUUGUGAAGGCUCCCUCUUGUUUGUUUAUUUUGACUCAUGUAUAUGUACAUAUUUGUAACUUAUCGGAGAUAUCAAUAAAUAAGCUUUGCUUCAUUUCCAACGUAUUGUGUUAAAUACACCAAAGCUUUCUUCACUGAGUGGGGUCGGCUAUAUAAAUCUUAGAACGCCAUUGUGCUCGGUCCUGUGUCAUGUCAUUCGUUAGAUCCAAAUACUCUAAGUCUUUUCUUAGAGUCCUUUCCAAAGGUUUCCUAGGUCUUCCUCUACCCCUUCAGCCCUGAACCUCUGUCCCAUAGUCGCAUCUUCUAACCGGAGCGUCAGUAGGCCUUCUUUGCACAUGUCCAAACCACCGUAACCGAUUUUCUCUCAACUUUCCUACAAUUUCGGCUACUCCUACUUUACCUCGGAUAUCCUCAUUCCUAAUCUUAUCCUUUCUCGUGUGCCCACACAUCCAACGAAGCAUCCUCAUCUCCGCUACACCCAUUUUGAGUACGUGUUGAUGCUUCACCACCCAACAUUAUGUGCCAUACAGCAUCGCUGGCCUUAUUGUCGUCCUAUAAAAUUUUCCCUUGAGCUUCAGUGGCAUACGACGGUCACACAACACGCCGGAUGCACUCUUCCACUUCAUCCAUCCAGCUUGUAUUCUAUGGUUGAGAUCUCCAUCUAAUUCUCCGUUUUUUUGCAAGAUAAAUCCUAAGUAGCGAAAAUGAUCGCUCUUUGGUAUUUCCUGAUCUCCGAUCCUCACCCCGAACUCAUUUUCCAUUUGCACUGAACUUGCACUCCAUAUAUUCUGUCUUUGAUCGGCUUAGGCGAAGACCUUUAGAUUCCAACACUUCUUUCCAAAGGUUAAGCUUCGCAUUUACCCCUUCCUGAGUUUCAUCUAUCAACACUAUAUCGUCUGCGAAAAGCAUACACCAAGGAAUAUCAUCUUGAAUAUGUCCUGUUAACUCAUCCAUUACCAACGCAAAAAGGUAAGGACUUAAGGAUGAGCCUUGAUGUAAUCCUACAGUUAUGGGGAAGCUGUCGGUUUGUCCUUCAUAAGUUCUUACAACAGUCUUUGCUCAUUCAUACAUAUCCUUUAUAGCUUGGAUAUAUGCUACUCGUACUCCUUUCUUCUCUAAAAUCCUCCAAAGAAUGUCUUUUGGGACCUUAUCAUACGCUUUUUCCAAAUCUAUAAAGACCAUGUGUAAAUCCUUUUUCCCAGCUCUAUAUCUUUCCAUCAAUCUUCGUAAGAGAUAGAUUGCCUCCAUGGUUGAGCGCCCUGGCAUGCACCCGAAUUGGUUGUCCGAAACCCGUGUCUCUUGCCUUAAUCUAUGCUCAAUGACUCUCUCCCAGAGCUUCAUUGUAUGACUCAUUAGCUUAAUACCCCUAUAGUUCAUGCAAUUUUGUACGUCGCCCUUAUUCUUGUAGAUAGGCACCAAAGUGCUCCUUCGCCACUCAUUUGGCAUCUUCUUUAUUUUCAAAAUCCUAUUGAAAAGGUCAGUGAGCCAUGUUAUACCUGUCUCUCCCAAGACUUUCCACACUUCGAUCGGUAUAUCGUCUGGGCCCACUGCUUUUCUAUGCUUCAUCUUCUUCAAAGCUACAACCACUUCUUCCUUCCUGAUUCGACGAUAAAAUGAGUAGUUUCUACACUCUUCUGAGUUACUCAACUCCCCUAAAGAAGUACUCCUUUCAUGUCCUUCAUUGAAAAGAUUAUGAAAAUAACCUCUCCAUCUGUCUUUGACCGCGUUCUCUGUAGCAAGAACCUUUCCAUCCUCAUCCUUGAUUCACCUCACUUGGUUUAGGUCCCUUGUCUUCUUUUCCCUUGCUCUAGCUAGUUUAUAGAUAUCCAACUCUCCUUCUUUGGUAUCUAGUCGCUUAUACAUAUCGUCAUAAGCCGCUAACUUAGCUUCUCUCACAGCUUUUUCGCCUCUUGCUUCGCUCUUCUAUACCUUUCACCAUUUUUAGGGUCCUGUCCUUGUAUAAGGCUUUACAACAUUCCUUCUUAGCCUUCACCUUUGUUUGUACCUCCUCAUUCCACCACCAAGAUUCCUUUUGGUGUGGAGCAAAGCCCUUGGACUCUCCUAAUACCUCUUUUGCUACUUUUCGGAUACAACUAGCCAUGGAAUCCCACAUUUGGCUAGCUUCCCCCUCUCUAUCCCACCCACACUGGGUGAUUACUUUCUCUUUGAAAAUGACUUGUUUUUCUCCUUUUAGAUUCCACCAUCUAGUCCUUGGGCACUUCCAAGUCUUGUUCUUUUUUCUCACUCGUUUGAUAUGUACAUCCAUCACCAACAAGCGAUGUUGAUUAGCCAAGCUCUCUCCCGGUAUAACUUUGCAAUCCUUACAAGUUAUACGAUCCCCUUUCCUCAUUAGAAGAAAAUCUAUUUGUGUUUUUGACGACCCACUCUUGUAGGUGAUCACAUGUUCUUCUCUCUUCUUAAAGAAAGUGUUGGCUAAGAAGCGAUCAUAUGCCAUUGCAAAAUCCAAGAUAGCUUCCCCAUCCUUGUUUCUCUCCCCAAAACCAUGGCCACCAUGAAAACCUCCAUAGUUGCCUGUCUCCCUGCCCACGUGUCCAUUUAAAUCUCCUCCUAUAAAUAACUUCUCCGUCUAGGCAAUUCCUUGCACCAAGUCUCCAAGGUCUUCCCAAAAUUUCUCCUUCGAACUCGUAUCCAACCCUACUUGAGGUGCGUACACACAUUGAUGAGUUCUUGUCCUAUUACAAUCUUGAUUGCCAUGAUUCUAUCUCCUACCCUCUUGACAUCUACAACAACAUCUUGUGUCAAGGUCUUGUCCACGAUGAUGCCAAACACCGUUUCUCGUUCUAUUUGUGCCCGAAUACCAAAGUUUAAACCCUGAGUUUUCUAGAUCCUUUGCCUUAAGACCAACCCACUUAGUUUCUUGUAGGCACAUAAUAUUUAUCAUUCUCCUCACCAUAACUUCCACUAGUUCCAUAGAUUUUCCCGUUAAGGUUCCUAUAUUCCACGUUCCUAAACGCAUUCUGCUUUCUUGAACUCUACCCUUCUGUCCUAGCUUCUUCACCCUCCCUCGUCCAAUAGAAUCAAAGUACUUCUUUUGUGUGUCCUGUGUAAAGUUGAUAGGAGCAUAUGCUCCCAAACAACUUUGAGUGGAGUCGUUCGAAAAGAAGUUUCUAUGGCCCCCUUGCUCAUUUAACACUACAUCCGGGUGCCGAUGGAGAUACAGCGACCCUUGCUCACUUAUCAUUGUGCUCGGGCCACACAGCGCGCCACUUACGGGUGACGCCCUAGCUUUAGCGCGAUUUCGUUCUGGAUUCAUUUUCAUAAGGAUUCGACAUAACUGUGGAGUGCCGACUAUCGACUACCUGACGUCCUCCCCCUCCUCCUUUACCCGGGCUUGGGACCGGCAAUGUAAGAUAAACUUACACAGACGGAGUUAUGUUAGAAUUGAACCCCAAAAAAAAAAGAAAAAAAGAAAAGAAAAAGGUUAGAAGUAGUUCCAAGCUCUUUAAAGAUUUCAAAUGCUAUAUGAUGUCUGCUUCUUUGGCUGAAUUGUUGUUGUUCUUAUGUAUUUGGCACAUAGAUUGUAUGCUUAUUGCCUACUGAUUUGUUAAUUUUGAUAAUGCUGAGUUGUCGCAUUCUGUGGUCAUUUCAGGAAGUGUGGUAGAAUGCAACAAUUGAGCAUUAUCAAAUUUAUGAUCUGACAAAUGGUUUUAGCAGUAGUAGUUGUACUUAUCAUGCUUGGCAACCAGGUUUAGACUGCCCCUUUUCUUUUAUUUUGCUCUUCCUUUCUUUCUUUCCUUUUGCUUCGGAGAGGAGAAAACUAACCUUUUGUUUUUGGUUUUGUGGGGAAAUAGAUAUAAGGGUUGGAAAAUGAAUCUAUUAGCAUUUCCCCAACUGCUUUUAUUUUUGUAAUUUUUGGGGGGUUUUGUCUGUGUGCUCGGAUGCUGUCUGAUUUCAGUCUUUUUUGCUUUCAGGAAAAGGAAACAUUGGUGUUCGAAUUUUGCAGCUACAUGUCAAGAUGCAAGCAAAGGCUAUGCAGGUGUGUUCCUGUUAAUUGCAAUUUCAUUACAUUCAAUGUCCAGAUAUUCUUAAUUCCAACAAUUGAUUUCAUGUAAUUGAAAUUUUGUUACAUUCAAUGUGCAUGUAUUCUCAUUUGCUAAUUUACUUAUCAAUCGCCAUUUUCCAUUGAUUAAUGCUCAUCAUCUGCAAACCCCAUUGCCCCUGUAUCUUAAAGUUUUUCUCUUUCUUCUUUCCCCCUCAUUUGGGUGCAUAUAAAUUUGGCUAAUUGUCAUUUUUAUUUACUUACGCUACUUUAGUUUACAUUCUAGCCCAUUCAGUCAAUUGCUUUCCCAAAAUAAUUGUAUUUUAAGUAAAAAUUAUUGGGUUGGUUAGAAUUUCAAUUUGGGUUUUGAUUUUUAUGCAUUCAAACUUUCAGUCCACAGUUGAGAGACAAGGAAAAGUUUAGGGUUUUUGUUUGGCCAUAAUUGACGAAGUAAAGGUAAGUCCUUUCCCAUUUGUGAUAUGUUGUAUUACUCUUUUCUUCUCAAUUUUAAUUGUUUACAGUAAUCGGUUUCUUUGUUUUUUUUUAUUAGGCAUUUUAUGUCCUUAUUCCUUGGUCACUUUUCACCAACUAAUUGGUUUUGCUGUGACAGUCCUUCGUCUAUUUAUAUAUCCUAAUCAUUUUUGUGUUCUAUCUUUUCUGACUCGGAUGAUAUUGAUCAAAUGAAUUAGUUAGAAACUGAAAAUUACAUUAGUUCCAUCAAUAUGUUGAUCAAAUGAAUGAGUUAGAAGCUGAAAAUUACAUUAGUUUCUUAAUGCUUUUAUUACUAAACAGAUUUUGUGUAUGUGUAGAAUAACUAUUAGGUUUGUGGGUUUUGAACAGCUUUGCUCUUCCCAAGAGCUAUGAACUCUUUAGUUUUCCAAUUUUAUGAAUUGGGUUUUUGUUUUUCUUUUCAGGCACGCAAUCAAAGAUAUGGUGGUGCGCGAAUCACCUAGAAACUAAUGUAUGUGUAGGAAAAUAUAUGCAUUUUAGAAUGUUCUCGAUGUGAGUAGGGUUUUUGAAAUUGUGUUUUGGCGUGUGUGAAGCUGAAUGAUGCAGUUUUGAUUUUUUUUCAAUUUUUUUUUAUUUCCUGUACAGAACAGCUUUGAUCUUCCACAGGACUACUCUCUGUUGCUUCUGAAAGAUCUCCAUCUCGAUGUGAAUAGGGUUUAUUCAAUCUGUGUGGAUUACCCAGGUGUUGAAUUUGAUAGAUAAUGUGACUUUUGAGAUGGCAGAGUUUUUGAAAUUGUGUUUUUGGCAUGUCUGAACCUGAAUGAUGCAGCCUUUGAUCUUUCAAAUGGAAGGGUUGUCGAUGAGGUUAGUUAUUUUUGAGGCUCUGCUUCUGCAAACGUUAACUCUUUACAUGGAUAUCGAAUUUUAUGUGAAUUUUAGUCAUAUAUCAAACUGCUCUACACCAAACUCUGUGUACUACAACAAUUAUAAUUAGCUUAGUAUACAAUUUUGUUUUACAGUGGAUUUAUAAUGACCAAAAUAUAUACAAAGCAUAUGGAUCAAUUUUUCUAAGCCUUAUUAGUUCCCUAAAUUGUGGUAUUUCAUGUUUAAUAGUGUUAAAUACUUUAUAUGUUAUAUUUUAUUGUGCUCCUUCGUUCUUUUAGUAAUUUUUAAUGCUUCUUCACAAUAUAGCUAAAGAAAGAACACUCUUAUGUUAUCCACCUUUGUUAUUUCUCUUAUGGUUGGACAUUUUUGUUUUCAUUCUUUUAGUUCUUGCCUAAUUGUUAUUUCAUUUUGGUUUUUUGUUUCUCUAUAUAGAUGUUAUUUUGAAAUAGAAAGAAUUUUCAAGAGCAUACUUUAUUACAAUUUUCCUUUAGUCGGGUUCACAAAAUGAAAUUCAAAACAUCAUUUCUAUAAGAUUCACCCUAAAAACCCUUGCGAUGAAAGUAAUGGGAUUUCAGUUUCCUUGCAGAUAUUCAGGUGUCGUUAUCAUUCUUAGCCUUCUUUAUUUCAAAACUACCUUAACCUCAAGCUCACCUGCAAGUUCCUGCUCACCAGGUAUUACAAAGUAAUAAGAAAUUGGCUCGCCUUCUAACAACAUUACUGUCAUAUUUGACACUAAAAGCAUACUAUACAUGCAGUUCCCCGUUUUCUAUCUUCCUUUAUUCUUUUUAUUUUUAUAUAUGUGUAAUUAUUUAUGUAUAAAUGCAAUUCUCAAACAUUGUAAAUCUAAGUUAGCCUAAUAAUUUUAACAUGCAAGGAAAUAGCUUUGUCCAGCAAGGAAAUACCUCUUCGCAACCAACUCAAUCCAACAAAACUUUUACUGCUCUUAAAAACAUUAUCUGCUCAAGUAAGUUCUCAGUUUUCAUAUACUUUUUAUUUCUUGAUGAUAUCUAGGUGAUUUACAUAGUUUUCAACCAUUAGAUCACAUAACUUACAUUUAUAAUUCUAUUGUUUCUGAUUGUAUAAAUAAAUGCCUUUUUCUUGCCAGCUAGAUGAUGUCAUGAUGUGGUUUAGUGGUAUUCAAUACAAUUGAAGAAACUGUCUCUUUAAUCUACUCAUGUUGUGGGAUUUCAAAAAUGAAAGCCACUUGCUUUUUCAAUCUUUUGAAACAAAUUAGCUUUGUAAAGUAACAAAACAAGAAUAUUCCUAGAGGGAAUACAAUUGUCUGCUUUGCUAACGUAGUUCUAUUUAGAUUGAUCAAUGGUAUAAUACUCCUUUUUGUGGAUUGUUUCGAAUUUUUGAAUUUUGUAUUCAAAAUUGGGUUUUGUAAAAAAUUUAGCUACAAUUGUCGAUCAAUCUAGAGAUUUAAUUCAACUUCAAAUUUCGGAGUGUGAUGUUGAUGUUUUAUUUUAUCUUUGGAUGGAGUGAAUAUCCAGCUACUUCAGUCCUUUGCUGAAGUCUACAAUUGAGUAGAACCAAUGUCGAGUAUCAAUGGUGAAGAAGAUCUCGAUGAAUGAAAGGAGAUUAGAGUCUCGAUUCUUAUUCCUUGAAGGCGGUGCUCAACCUACGAUAAGGUUUUUUUUCUUAACACAUCUAAUUUUUAAGUUUUCAGUCAUUUUAAUGGAUAGUUUGGUAUUUGGGCGGCUUUGAUCUUUGAUUUGAAAUAUGUGAUUUUGUCUAAUUCUUUCUGAUCCUCGAUUUCUAUUGAUGUUUAGGGUUUAAUGAAGAUUCUCGAAUGAGGUUGGUUGAGACCAAAAAAAUGGUAUGUGUCAAAUUUUUGUUUUUCUAUUCCUUUAAUUUUAUGCAAAGUUUUAUGCAGAGUUUUGAUGUGCUACUUAUCUAAUUGGGUACGUUGUAUAUAUGCAUGACCUGAUGGUAUUCCGUUAAAUUACUUAUAUGCAAAAAUUGUUUUUUGUCAUGGUUCUAAAUGAUUUGUUAGAUGCUAUUUUGACUUCAGUUUUUUUUUUCUUUUUUCUUCUACUAAUCUUUUCCUAUAUGUUUGAUUUAUAGGCCUCUUGAAUUUUGAAUUGUGAUUGGAAAUUGGAGUAUAGGUAAAACCACUACUUAUUUUUCUUAUUACUUUUCCUUUAAAUGUCUUUUGAGUCUGAGAUUGAGUCUAUAGAUUGUAAAUUUCCGACACUUAUGCAUACUUCGGUGCAUACAAGAAAGCCAAUGUUUUUCUUUUAGGUAUAAAGAACCAAAUACGUUAUAUAAUAUAUAUAUAUAUAUAUAUAUAUAUAUAUAUAUAUAUAUAUAUAUAUAUCUUCAACGAAUGCUUUGUUGUUUUUACUUUUAAUUGUUUUGUUUAAUGGUUGUUUGGAUCCUUAAAAAUAUUCUUCGUUCAAAUGUCUUUUUGGAUGGAUAAUUAAAUUGAUAUAGAUUUUGUUUUUUUUGGAUGGAUAAUUAAUUCGACAUAGAUUAUGUUACCUUUUGCUUUAUCAGUUUACUUAUUUGAAUGAAAUGCAAAUUCCAAUAUUCCAUGUUUGAACAUAGGUUUUGCAUUGUCAAGCCCUGAAAUUAGAACGUAGGUUUGUCACAUGAAAUUGAAUUUUUCCAUGUUUGAGAACUUUCUUUUUGUUCAAAUUGUGUUACCAGUUUUGUGUUUUUUUUUUUUUUUUUUUUUUUUUAGCAUCUAGCAGGUGGACUUAAAAGACAUCAAGUAUGCAGGGGAAUGGUAGGAUUAUCAUUUUAGAGGUAGACACUCAUGUUAAACUUCUAUUCUGGUCUUUUUAUCAUUAAAUUUUGGUGAAAACAUUGUUUAGUAUAACCCUUAUCCCAAUACAAAAUAACAGGUACCAGACUAGCUUACCAUGGAGCUUAUAAUAGUCUAAUUGAUGCUGAAAUCUUAUUUGGCCAAUUUGCUGGAACUACAGUGUUUUUACCGAGAAUCUCUUUAAAGACCACAGAAAGCACUGGACUCCCAUGUGAACUGGUGCGAAAACAGUUUCCUGUGAAAUUGAGUUUUGCACUAACCAUGUUGUGUACGAAGAUAUUUUGCUUCCAUCAAAUAUACGAUAAGGCUACAUUCAUUAUGAUGUUUAAUUCACUUUUCAAAUCUAUGUAGAUAUACAUCUAAAUUGUAUAAGUCGCGCAUAGAACGCUGUAAGUAUAAAAGAGCCUUCCGCAUGCGCAUGAGCGAGUGCAUGGAGGCUAGUUUGUAUAGUAUGAACAAACAAGUACUAUUUCGUUGGAAUACUAUCAAUUUGGACAACAUAUCAAAUAAAAAGUGCACACCAUCAAGGGUCUAGUUUGACAACGUACUUGACAAUAUAACGUGUCAGACCAUCUAAAUAAAGAUGAUUUCCCUACAAAUCUAUGCCCCACUGAUAUACAAGAUUCUGCCGUGAGAGAGAGGGGGAAGAAAACUGUUAGGAUUAUGAAAGAUGUUCGGAUCCAUCUUAGCUCUAUAUAAAGGGUGAAUCACCUCCCUAUAUUUUACCUCACAAGAAUUCCUAUAAAUUGGGUUCUGCUCAAGCUGCUAGACAAACGCAGCUUACCCAAACUAAAGUUCCACAGAAAACUGAUACCAUGGGGAUUUACAAGUUCAUUUCACCCCUUCUCUUCUUCUCAUAUUUCUGCAUGCAUGCAUUUGUUCUGAACUCAUUUCUUAGUUUGGCCCUCGCCGGAUCAAACAAGACGGAUAAACUGGCCUUGCUCGAAUUCAAGGCUUGGAUAACCACAGACCCCUUUGGAGUCAUGACUUCAUGGAACGAAACCCUCCACUUUUGCCAAUGGCACGGCAUUACCUGCAGUCACCGCCACAAGAGGGUCACAACGUUGACGCUGAGGUCCUUGAAGCUUGGAGGCUCCAUAUCGCCACAUGUUGGAAAUUUGAGUUUCCUCAGAGUGUUUAGUCUCUCAAACAACAGCUUUAGCCAUGAAAUCCCUUCAGAAAUUGGCCGUCUGCGCAGGUUGCAACGUUUGGGAUUGCAAAAUAAUUCACUGAGUGGGGAAAUUCCUGCUAAUUUAUCAGGUUGCUCUGAACUCAACUACAUAAUUAUUGGCGGCAAUUUGUUAGAAGGUAGUAUCCCUAAGGAGCUUGGCACCUUGUUAAAGCUAAUUAUAUUCGAUAUUGCAUACAACCACCAUACAGGAAGUAUCCCUUACUCUUUUAGCAACACAUCAUCUCUUGAAGUGUUUGGUGCAGCUUUUAAUAGUUUAAGUGGCAGUAUUCCAGAUAUCUUUGGUCGAUUGACCAAUUUUUAUUUUCUUGGAUUGGAUGGAAAUAACUUGUCUGGUACGAUCCCUCCCUCAAUUUUCAAUGUCUCUUCUCUUGAAACCUUUGCUGUGGGACUUAAUUACAACCUCCAAGGCACUUUUCCUUCAAACUUGGGCAAUUCCUGUCCAAGUCUCCAAACUUUUGCCAUCAGUAAUAACCAGUUUAGUGGGAUUAUACCUGUUUCAAUAUCUAAUGCCUCAAAUCUGUUUGAACUAGCAAUACACAAAAACCAACUGCACGGAGAAGUCCCCUCUUUGAAAAACUUACACAAUCUUGGGCGGUUUACUCUUGCUAUUAACCAUCUUGGAAGUGAAGGAACUGGUGAUGAUUUGAGCUUUCUUUGCGAUCUGACUAAUGCCACCGGUUUACAAUACUUGGAAAUGGGUGGAAACAACUUUUGGGGUACGCUGCCUCAGUGCUUAGCCAACCUGUCUUCUUCACUUGUAUCUUUCUACGUAGACUAUAAUAGUAUAUUUGGCAGUAUCCCGAAAGGGAUGGAAAAUCUGCAUAACCUGGAAAGCAUAGCGCUGUCUGGCAACCGGUUAUCAGGUCUCAUCCCUCCUGAAAUAGGAAGGCUUUCCAAAUUAUAUGUAGUAUAUAUGGAAAAAAAACUCGCUCUCUGGGAAUGUUCCAUCAUCUUUUGGAAAUUUAAGUCGAUUAACUCAUCUGCAUCUACAUGAUAACAACCUCCAGGGCACCAUCCCUUCAACUUUAGCUGAGUGUCCCUAUUUGAUGAACUUAACUCUUGGUGGUAACAAUUUCACUGGUAUCAUAUCAUCAGAAUUAAUUCGUUCGUCUUCUUCAUAUGUUCAUUUGGAUUUAUCUCAAAAUCAUUUGACAGGCUUUCUUCCCAUGGAAGUCGGACAAUUGAUAAAUCUAGAGCAUUUUGAUGUUUCUGGAAAUCUGUUGUCUGGUGAAAUUCCUCCAAGUCUUGGAAGUUGUAAAAGCAUACAGUAUCUUCACUUGCAAGAAAACUUCUUCCAAGGGACAAUUCCAACAGAUUUGAGCUCACUAAGAGGUAUUGAAACCUUAUCUCUCGCUCGCAACAAUUUGUCAGGGACAAUUCCAAAAUUCUUGGAGAAUUUUACAUUUCUGCAAUCCUUGAAUCUGUCUUAUAACAAUUUAGAGGGAGCAGUACCUAUCGCAGGAGUUUUUCGGAAUGCAACUGCCACAUCAGUCCAAGGGAAUACAAAGCUCUGUGGGGGCAUACCAGAGUUUCAAUUGCCAAAAUGCGAAUUUCGACAUUCCAGCAAAAGGGUGUUGAGCCUAACCUUGAAACUAGUAAUCUCUCUCCUUUGUGGGCUUUCUGGAGCCUUUUUUUCAUUUGCCGUUUUGUACUUUUGUUGCUUUCGGAGUAAAAAAAAGGAGGAUCCUUCGAGCGAUUCUGAAAAUUUUCCUAAGGUUUCUUACCAAAGUCUUGUUAAAGCUACUGAUGGAUUCUCUUCUGCCAAUUUGAUUGGUAUGGGAGGUUUUGGGUCAGUUUAUAAAGGAUUACUUGAUCAAGGUGAAACAACAAUUGCUAUCAAGGUACUCAACCACGAUCGACAUGGAGCUUCCAAAAGUUUCAUUGCUGAGUGUGAGGCUCUGAAAAAUAUUAGACACCGUAACCUUGUGAAGGUACUUUCUGCAUGCUCCGGAUUCGACUAUCGUGGUUCUGAUUUCAAGGCCUUAAUUUACGAGUUCAUGGUAAAUGGGAGCUUAGAAGAAUGGUUGCAUCCAACUCAGACAAGUAUUGAUACGGAUCAGAGGCCAAGGAGCUUAACUUUUUCGCAGAGGUUGAACAUUGCUAUAGAUGUUGCAGUGGCAUUGGAUUAUCUCCAUCAUCUGUGUCACGUGCCAAUAGUUCAUUGUGACCUCAAACCCAGCAAUGUUCUUCUCGACAAUGAUAUGAUUGGACAUGUAGGUGACUUUGGGUUGGUGAGAUUCCUUCCAAGAACUCUUGAAGAUGGUUUUGGUAAUCAGUCAAGCUCCAUCGGAGUCAAAGGAACAAUUGGUUAUACUCCUCCAGGUAAAACAUACUUUCUUUUCAUUUUUUUUUCAGUAUUCAUCUAUAAUUUAGAUUUUUUUUUUUACGUAUUAAAAUAAAAACAUUUGCACAAAUGUAGAGUAUGGUAUGGGGCAUGAAGUGUGGCCGCAAGGUGAUGUGUAUAGUUACGGCAUCCUCCUACUGGAAAUGUUUACGGGAAAAAGGCCAACCGGCGACAUGUUUCAAGGAUCUUCAAAUCUUCACAACUUUGUCAAGGCAGCACUGCCUGAGCAGGUGUUAGAUAUUGUGGAUCCGGUUCUUAUUCAAGAAAAAGUGGAAGGGGAGAUGAGUGCAAAUCAGCAUCUAACUGAGGCUAGCACAACAAUUCGCAUGACAUUUGAAGAGAGCUUGAUUUCAAUCUUAGGAGUUGGUGUUGCAUGCUCCGCAGACAUACCUGGGGAAAGGUCGGACAUCGUUGAUGCUAUGGCUGAGAUGUGUCAGAUCAGAAACAAACUUCGAGCAGAUAAAAUGUUGGAUUAGAAUAAGCAUAUUGUUAAGUAUUGGCAUGUACGUAAUAAUCUUGUUUCCUUAUGUGGAAGUUGAAGUUCUCCGAUUUGCUUGAUCAAUAAAAACAGUAUAGUUGAUAACUUGUCUGACAGACUUCAGUCCAUUUACUAUUUUGUACUGUUGCGUUAUACUUAGAUGCAUUUGGCGUAGGGUGAAUUCAAGCUUGUACUUCAUGUGGUAUAUAUUACCAGAAUCUAGAACGAGUAUCAGAUUCGCAUGUCAAGAUUUCGUAAUUUGUAUCUUAUCGAUUUCUUUUUUUAAAGGAAAACUUGUAUGUUCUAGAGCAAACCCAUUCGGUCUUGACUCCCGCAAGGUCUUUUUUAUCUAUGAAAUAUCAGAGCAUCAGGAUCGGUUUGACUCCCAUAAGGUCUUUUUUAUGUUCCUUUGCCUCUUAGUUUAUUACUUCCGCAGUUGAAACUAAUAGUGUGCAUUUCGUAGAUUUUAUCCCGAACAGGAUGGUGAAAGCUGAUAGAAAGUUUCUAUGCCAAAACAAAUUCAUUUGUAUAGACUUAAUUGUUGUGAUUAAUUGUGGGUCAUGUGUUGACAACAACAAUUGAAGACCAUGUGUUUGUUUUCGGUUGUGGCGUGGAAGUCUUCGUUCAAGGAUUGCACGCUAUAGACUACGUACAGCAAAGAGUUUGAAUUUGGCAUGCGAACUAAAGACCAAUUGGUCUUGGUUGUUGGUGUCAGUUUAAUGGGUUGCAGGUGUUAACUAGAUGCAAUAUUUGUGCAUUUGGUAAGCAUCCGAAGGGGAAAACACAGAGGAGAGAAAAUAAGAGAAAAAAGAGUGGCAUCUUGGGGUUGGGUGAGCUCUUGUGAAAUACUGUGAGAUGGUGUAGAAGGGUUUCGGUUUUGAUUUAUGUUUAUUUAACUCAAGUGUAUCUUGCAUUUAUUAUUAUUCUCAGAAUAAAGAGCAAUAUCUCUUUUGGGGACAUAGGCAGAAUUUUGCCGAAACUCGUAAAAUUAACGGUGUCUUUAUUUCUUGUUUAUUUUAUUAUGUUCAACUAUGGUUUGUAUUCUAGCGUUGUAAUUUGAAAUCUCGGCUCAGCAUAGACAGUGGCACAACAUGAUAAAAACUAAUAAUCCUUCAACCAAUAGUAUCAUAGGUCGAGUCAAUGCAGAGAAAAUGAAUACAUUUCUAUACUAUGAAUUUGGACCCACAUAUCAAAGAAAGAGUGCACAUUAUGCACAUUAUAACUGGUCUAGGUUGACAAUGUACUUUGGACCCACAUAUCAAAGAAAGAGCGCACAUUAUCACUGGUCUAGGAUGACAAUGUACGUGACAAUAUAACACGUCAAUCUAUCUAAAUAAAGACUAUUUCCCGACAAAUCCAUGCCCCACUGGUAUGCAAAUUCUGCCAUGACAGAGGGCAAAGAAAACUGAGGAUUAUGAUAGGUGUCAGGAUCCAUCUUAGCUCUACGAUUUACCUCUAUUUCUCUGCCCCACUGUUUGUUUAAUCAUGUAUGUUGUUUUCAUUUGAUUUAUUCAAUCUAAUGGUUAAAAUUAUAGUAAAUCACCUCCCUAUAUUUACGAUUUACCUCACAAUAGUUCUUACUAGAAAAUGUGCUCGCGCUUUGCUACGCAGAUUGAAUGUAUUAGUCGCAACAUGCAAAAAUAAUUUGCACAGAAAGAUGCACUAAAAAGGCGGUAAGAACAAAAUCACACCCUCAAAUACAUCAAUGCAGAUAACACACAUUAAUGCCCUUCACAUAAAUUGCAGGCCAAGAUGCAAAAAAAACAUAUGCAUAUUCCUUGAAGGAAAAUUUCUAGGCCUUUGUUAUAUUAUGUAUUAAAGACAACCAACUCUAUCCCCCAAACACUAAAUUUGUUCACUUGAGUCAUAGUCCUCUUGCAAGUAUUGUAAAACUCAAAAGCUUAUUGUCCAAAACCAGAAACAAUUUGUACCAUUUACAUGCAUGUGCAAGAUAUGCCCUACACUGGAAAAACGUCUAAACUUAGAAUACAAAUUUGUAAUCAAGGACAGAUUUUGUUUUGCAUUUUUAUAAUCAAGUAGCAAGCAAAAUUACAAACAUGCAGCAACCAAACACAGAACAUUUUGCAUGGAAGCUAACCGUAGAGGUCUGUGAAGCAAAUAGCGGCAUGAGCUGAAGCCUCUUGAACAAAUUGGAGGUAGUUUAGCCUCAGUCCUCCGCUGUCAAAAAAAUUACAAAAACAUUGUAGCUUCACUAAAAAAUGCAUGAUGAAAUGGAUACAUAGUUUUCAUGCAGAGAGAGAGUACUUGAAAUCUUUUUAUAGAAUAUGAGACAACUAUAAAGAGAUAUCUCGCAUUACCUCUUAGGUACAUGUAUAAUACACAAAUUUGAUGUGCGCGUAAGUAAAUCUUUUAGGAUUGUCAACUGGCCAAAAUAUAUUGGACAAUAAUCAAAAGAAAGAACUUUUAUUUGGUUAAUUAUUAUAAACUACGGAAAUUUGAGGAGCAGCUUCCGCCACCGUAAAAAAGUAUUGCUUCUUCUCGCUCCAUCCUUUACCAAAUUGUUGGAACUAACGCUCAAAUCUUCCGGUUUAGGAGCUGGUUGUUUUGCAUUUUUCGCAACCCAGUCUUCCCUCAUACCUGAAAGUUCCCAAGAAAGUUAGGAGCAGAAAGAAAUAAUAACCCACACAUUCUCCACAUUGCACAUAAAGCUCAUAAUUAAUUUUAGAAAACAACUUGGCACGAAUAACUGUUUCCCUUUUCAUUACCCAUGGCUACACAAAAGUGUAUAGAGAGUUAACUAACAGGAUAAUGAAUCAGAACAUAGUAGUUGGUUAGAAAAGAUUAAAAACACACGAAGCAAGAAUGUGAACAUUGAACCCUAAACCCCAUAUGAAUACUAUCAGACCAUUCGUAACAUGCAUAAUAGUUUUGACAAUACGAGGACAUUGAGGACAAACUUCAACACUCAUGAAAUCUUAUAAAAUUGCAUUGUUCGAUAAGAAUCAAUUAUGUUUGGUUCUUUCUCGUUGAGGGAGAUGUUACAACCUACUCAGCUUCUUCUUCUUCUUUUUUUUUUUUUUUUUUUUUUUUGGUAGGCUGAGCUGAUAUGAUAUUUAGCAUGACAAAUUAAAUGAAAUUUAAAUAACUUUCAAAGAGAGAAGGCAGCAGCUGAUAAGGUACCCAUGUUUAGAAAGCAAGCUACAAGAUAGUUUGGCAGAUAACCAAAUGGAAUUCCCCAUAAUUUUUUAAGUUCUGCACAUCAUAAUUCAUAUACUUUCAGUUUCCCAUCUAAUGAAGGUAUGGACUGCUUUCCAUUUGGAAUUUUAGCAAGACAAUGUUAUGAUAUUCCUAAUUUAGAAUGUGUGUCCAUUCUAAUGAAUGCAAGCCCUAAAUCAUAAAUAUUGUACAAUUAGCUCUCAAUUACUCUGAUGUGUUUGAGCAUGUGGCAGGGCAUGAGAAUCAAAACCACUCCAUGUUGUUCUCCGCUUCGUGAUUUGAUCAUUAAACAAUACUUCAUUCCCUCCAUCCUUUAUCAUAUCUUCUUGGUGAUCACUUGUUCGUCUCCGAACUGUAUCCACAAAAAAACCACAAAUUAUUCCCAAAAACAAUCAUACAAAAAAAUUGCGGAUUAGAUUCGUACCAUUUUCCCAGGAUGUAGAGCUCGGUGAUGAUUCCCUCCUCGUUUUGCACCUUAGACAUCGAGAUUUUAAACGAGAAACCAAAAUCAAACAAUCAUAAAGAAAUACGACGGACAGAAUCACACUGUAAGCCACCACUCCCUCGCUUCCACGGUUCCACCCACAACACCAAAAACAACAAUAACAAUAAUAACAAUGUACACUCAGACAAAACAAAAAUGCACGAAAGCCCUCCAGUGCUAUAACAGCACUUCUAGGACAACUUCGAUAUCUGUGGACUGUUCCUUUCUCCAUGUUACAGCGAUAGUAUUAGAGCUCUUACAACAUCACAGAUGCAUGACCAAGAUUGUAUUCGACAACCUUUUCUCUGAUCCUUUUCAUCAGUUGGUCCUAAAGAUUCUAUUCUUUUAAAUUCAUCUUCUUUUUCAGUACCAACACACAUUUGUCACUUCAUAUGUCGAACACAAAACACCUAACAUUUUCGAUGACAAACUAGAAGCAACUAAUCAGAAUAUGGGUACGGAGAAUUAAAUUACUCUUUGUACUUAUAGUCCCAAUGGAAACUACUCAUUGAUUCACAAUAUUAAUCACACUAAAAUGCAAGAAAAGCAAAAUCAACAAGCCAUAUCAAAAUAAUAUGAAAAGAUCCCAACAAACCAACCAAACAGAUAACAUUUAAAAACAAAAUUGCAAGUUGGAGGGAAAGAAGCACCAGAAGAUGAAGAGGAAGAAGAAGAGCAUGUUGCAGAAACCCAACUCUGGGUCGAGCUGAGCUUCUCCGCCGCCGUUCUCGCCGGCUCCGAUUUACAUGUCGUCAGUACCAGCGACCUCUGUUUCCCUUCUCUCUCUGCUUACGGGGCAUGGUCUCCCCGAGUCCCACUGCAGCUCAGAAAGAAAGGAAAUGAAAGUCUCUCAAAAAUGACCAUCGCACCCCUGCCUUUCCUAAGGAUUUCGAUGAUAUACAUUUAUAUAUUUGUACAGAUUAUAAUCUACAUCUAUACAGUAAUAAGACGUCUAUGGUAUUCAAUCAUUCCUAAGGAUUUCGAUGGAGCACCAUCGUCAAAAACUUGACAGCAAUGCGCUUUUUCAUUUUUCGGAUUACGAUAUAAAUAUGCCGAUGAUCUUCAUCCGUCGAAUGUUUGUGAUCUCCGUAUGCAUGCUUAGCUUGGUCAGUUUGACCAGUGGCGGUGAUCCUGGUAUACACACAGUCAGAAGCUGCGACGCCACUACUCCCACCAUUGACUGACAGUUCCAAAUUCCCGUCCACCAAUCUAAACAACCUCCUCUCCGCUCUCAACUCCAAUGCCACCAACGAAACAGGCUUCUACGACGCCACCUUUGGUAAGAAACCAACUGAAAUGGCACACGGCUGCUUCCUCUGUCGUGGUGACGUUGAGGUAGACGUUUGUGCGCAAUGCGUGAACGCCGCAAUCCUAAUGGUAGUCCGGAGCUGCCCCACAAGUAAACGGGUUGUAUGGUGGUACGGCAAGAACUGUAUGUUAAGGUACUCAGAUGAGUCAUUCUUUUCCAUUGUGCAAUACUUGCCUGAUUUCAUCGAAACGAUGCUUUCCAUCCAGCCAGUACCGAAAGUUAAUGCAACACUAUCAGAUGAACCAACCGGAUUUAAUCACGUAAUGAAGAGUAUUUUGAAUGAUUUAGUCACCGAGAUUUCCAAGGCUCCUUCCAAGUUUGCAACCAAGGAAGCGCAUGUUGCAGGGUCGAAUAUAUUACGCUGUGCAGCCUUGCGCAGUGCACGCAGGACCUCUCCACUGCAGAUUGCAAUUCCUGUCUUAGGGUAGCCGUAGCACAAGUAGUUUCAACCAAUAAAGGAAUCAAUUGAGGACUAUUUCUGUGUCCCAGUUGUAAUGUCAGGUACGAAACUGUCCCCUUUUACGGGAAACCACCGGUUCAUCAUCUUCAUCUUCGUCCUCCUCCUCAAGGUAAUAGAGUUGAUGAUAUAAAUAUACACAUUUAUAUUAGUGCAUGUCAUGUUGCCGUCACACAAAACGGCUAUGAGAAAUCUUAUCUCAAGUCAACCCUUGGCAUCAAAUCUAAACGGAUCCUUGGAAAACGUUUUCAAACGAUUAUAUUAAAAAACGUGUUCAUGUAUAGGAAGAAGAAAACUAUUGUCAGUAAUCGUCGCCAGUAUUAUUGCUUCUGUUACUGUCUGUGCGGUGCUUGUAGCUAUUGGCUGCUACUUCCCAGGCAAGAGGAGAUCACCACAAAACAAGCAUAAAGUCCAGGGAGAAGAAAAGAAUGGUAAAAAGAAGAAGCAAACAAUUAAAUUCAGUCGAUCACUUGUUCUUUUAUGUUUUCCGAUGUCAAUUACGUGUAAUCUUCUGAUGAACUCAUUAUAAUCACUGCUUAAUUUAAUUUCUUAAUAGCUAGAAAUGAUAUAGCAGCUGUUGAGUCCUUGCAACUUGACUUGGAAACUAUUGAAACUGCACAAACAAGUUUUCUGAUAGUAAUAAGUUUGAUCAAGGCGGAUUUGGUGAAGUUUUCAAGGUAUGGAACUUUAUAUACACAUAUAUAUAUAUAUAUAGACACACACACACACACACACAUAGGUGGGCGUAGCAUAAUUCCUACAUAUACGUGACAUGUAUAUAUAUUUUUCAGCGAACUCUUGGUGUUAAUGGACAAGAAAUAGCAGUAAAGAGGUUGUAGAAAAGCUCGGUGCAAGGUGUACAAGAGCUUAAGAAUGAAGUUCUAUUGAUAGCCAAGCUUCAGCACAGAAAUCUAGUGAAGCUUCUGGGAUUUUGCUUGGAAGGAGAAGAAACCAUACUUGUCUAUGAUAUGUGCCUAACAAAAGUUUUGAUUAUUUUCUAAAUGGUAUAUAAAUACAAUAAUGCAUAUAUCACUUGAAUUGAUCUAUAUAUAUGUGUGUGGUUUGUUUGUUAACUGUCUGUUAUUUCUUACAUAUAUUACUGAUUACUACUCUUUGUUUGUCGAUUAAUGUGAGUAUAGAAUCGAAAAAACGAGAACAAUUGAAUUGGUCAAGACAUUGCAUGAUAAUUGGAGGAAUAGCUCGAGGAAUUCUAUAUCUUCAUGAAGAUUCAAGGCUUAGAGUUAUACAUCGCGAUUUGAAACCGAGCAAUAUCUUAUUAGAUGUUAAUAUGAAACCAAAAAUAUCAGACUUUGGGAUGGAGAGAAUGUUUGGAGUUGACGAUCAAACUGAAGGAAACACGAGAGGAAUUGUCGGUACAUAGUAAGUUUCUUUAACUUAAUUAUACCUCUAUGCUUAAUCUCAAACAACUUAUUUAUAUACCUAUAUAUUGACUUUGAUAACUAUCUCUGAUUGCAACUAUUUUGGACGUAAUUAGUGGUUACAUGACUCCCAAAUAUGCUAUGGGCAGGUUUUACUCCAUAAAAUCAGAUGUUUUUAGCUUCGGCAUACUCUUGCUUGAGAUCGUAACCGGGGGAAGGAACUUUUUAGGCUUUCAUCUCACAGAUACUGCAGCUACUCUUUCAGUACAUGUAAGCAUGAUUAAUUACCUAUCUAUCAACUUAAUUAGACGUGUUACUUUUACAUCCUCGACCGCAUGCAGGCUUGGCAGUUGUGGAAUGAAGGGAAAGUGUUGGAGCUGAUGGAUCCGUUGUAGAAAGAUUCAUGCAGCACAGACGAAUUUUCGAGAUACAUCCAUAUCGGAUUAUUAUGUGUUCAACAAGAUGCCAACCAUAGGCCAACCAUGUCAUCAGUUGCUCUAAUGUUGAAAACUGAAACUAUUAGUUUUUCCGAACCCUAGCAACCGGCCUUCUUUGCCGGAAGAUCUACUGCUCACCGACAUCAAACAAGUGCUCAUAGUUGGUCUACAAAUGGUUUGACGAUUUCAGAAGAUGUCCCGCGUUGAGAAUUUGCUGCAGCGACGAUGGCUUGCGCGAUCAACACACGCCAUCGUCACCAAUCGUAGAUCAACACACGCCAUCGUCACCAAUUGUAGAUAACCAGUCUAUAGUAUAAUGACAAUCAACCAUGUUACAUCAUUUGUCUGGGUCCUGCUUACCAUAUUUCAGAAUGCACUUACAUAGCAUACAAACUUUACAUUACUCCCUUUUUUGAUAGAUUUUAUUUAUUGUCUUUUAAAUUACAAAGAAACAAAUGACAAUUUCCUCGCCGGGAUUUCAACAACUUUCUUAUGCCUAGUUUCUUGCCUAUGAACUCUCCCUACAUACUUUCUGGCUUGUGCUCGUUACUCAAUUACCGCCAACAGGUUUUCUACGAAUACCUGCUCAAUAUAGAUGAAACAAGAAAAUGAGAUGAAGCAGGCGAUGGUAUGUGAGAAAUACAAAUGAAUUUUGACCUUUGAUAUAAUAUUAAACCAUCAUGACAGUUGAAGCAGCGGAUACAAUAUUUAACACAAAUCAUCAUUAUCAUAGAUCAAGAUCAGAUGUUUCCAGCUUCUCUUUUCGGAUUUUGAGUGAGAAAUGGGGAGAAGGUGUUUGGCUAAGAUGGUCUAGAAGUGUAUGAGGAAACUAGAGUCUCAGUGUAUAAGGCAUUCCUUUAGCAGCAAGCAACGAUGACUUGCGACCAACACAAUGAAGAAAGUUGAGAGGCGGAAGAAAGAAUUUUACUGUCGUAUUAUUGUGGCAAAGCUGUUAUAUUAAUUCUAACAAGCUGGACAGAUAAAAACACAACUCUAGAUCCAGUAUCACAUAAGCAUGGGAUCGAACAACUUAACAAGUUGUUCAGAAAACUACAACUUUUAGUGAACAGGCAGAAGUUUUGAACAAUAAAACAUCUCCACAUUGAUGAGCAUAUAAGAAUUAUCCAUGGAAUGAAAUCAAGUAAAAAGCCUACAUGGAUGCAAAUGAUUAUUUAGUCAAUCACAAGCUAGUUAAAUUGUUAUUUUAUGCGUAAACGGAACAAAGACCACUUAAUACGUUCCUAGAAGACCACUUAUCAAUGUCUAGAAAGAGCCUGACCAUCAAUAGCAGUAAAGUUUUCGGGCUCCUUUAAGGAAUACGUACCUACAGAGCUCUUGCUCCAAAGAGCCUGACCAUCAAUAGCAGUGAGGUGCUCGUCAUCAAGGCGCUUCCAUGUUUUGAUUGACUUGACCGCUCCCCAUCCUCCCUUUUGCGUUUUCUCUAAGUUUGCUACCACAACCCUUGCUCUCCGAUCCCAUCCAGCCUUCCCAUAAGCAUGGUAUCCAAAUCCCCCAGCAUAACAAAGGUUUAUGCCAGUUAGCUCCCCGCAGAAGUCAUUGAGGUGAUCGUGACCUGUGAACACUGCCUUGACAUCUCCAGCUGCAACCAUGGUUGUGAAGAAGCCCGAGUUCACAGAAGCAGAGCUGAUGUCUUCUUGCCUCACUCCGGUAAAGUUUGAUGAGUCAAAACUAGCAAAUUCCGGCAAUGGUAUGUGAAAGUAUGCGAGCCCUGGCGCAGGUGCUUUCUGGGGCAGUGGCUUGCUUAUGUAUGCUUUCUGCAGGGGAAAAAAUGGUGUCAUCAGAACUAAGUAGAAAUAAGUUACAUGCUCAAUAUGGAUCUUAAUCAUCACAUAUCGAUCUUGUGCAAGGGUUGAUGGAAAUGACUAGUUUAGGUAUAUGUGAUCCAUAAAAAAAACGGUGAGCAAAAUAACGAGGUUAGUACCUGAAGCUUUGCAGAAGUUUGUUCAACCAAUAUUGUUGGGAGGGUUUGAUCCAACCAUAACCACCGAUGGAGGGAACCGUGGAGUAAUCUCCGCUGUCAAGGAAGUAAAGAUUGAGAACCGAUUUGUUUUCAAAACCAGAGCCCUCAACUCCGGCGACCUCCAGGUUAUAGUUCCCAAAACCAUCAAUAACAUCUUUGUCUAAAGGAUUAACUUGAGCCAGAGUGUUCUUCAACCCAACUAUGUGUUUCAUUACCCCUUCCCUCGAGAGGUCGGAUUCCUGAUCAUGGUUCCCCAGCACAGCUGCCCACGGGAUGUUGGACGCGAUUGCUGGGGCGUAUGCCUCGUUCAAAGAUUUAGCACCAUUCGUGGCAUCAAACCCGAAUAUGUUAUCUCCUGUUACACAAAGUUCAGAUUGGAGAACCAAUCAGAAAGCCGAGUAUCAUGCCUAAAUCAAAACUUUGCUAAACAAAAUACAAUGCUCAUCAGCUAAAACGAUGUACUAUGCUAAACCUAAACCAAUGAUCAUCAGCUAAAUAGUGGACAGAAGAUUAAUCCUAUCCCAAGAACAAUGUAUAGGCAUCAACAACAACGAUGAGAGGGGGAAACAAAUACCGGUGAAGACGAUGAGAUUCGGCUUCUCCGCCUCGAUCAUGCGGAGGACAAAGGCGGUGGUGUUGAGGUCAGAGCAAGUUGGAAACUGGGACGGCAGCACAUCCAAACAGGGCGUGGUCUUGCCAUCGGCAUAGUGCAUAUCCGCCACUUGCAGAAUCUUAAACUGCCCAUCUGUCCCAAACCGCAGCUUCUUCUCCCCACCUUUACCUUGGUGGUGGUGCUGUUGUUCUGCGGCGGCCAUACCCCAUAUAGGAAGCAGCGCCACCACCGCCGCCACUAAAAAUGGACUCCUUAGCACCUCCAUGUCCCUCUUCAUCCUCACUGUCACUGUACCACUCAUCUCCCAAACCAGAGACUCUGAACUCCAUUAUAAACUCACCAGUUGCACCAAGCGAAAACUCAGUUUUUAACUUUUUGUCGGCAACCAAACAAAAAGUCAGUCUCAGUCUGCCACACAAGUUAAUAUUCACAUGGAUUAAUCGUAAUCGUUUAAAUAAAAAAGAAAUAAAAAGAGAGAGACUGAGAGAGAGAGAGGAGAAUUAUACUCCCUUUCAAUCUCUAUGCCUCUAUAAUCGUUCCACUGUGUUACUUGACUCUUUGUUAAAUAUCUCAGUCUGUCUAGCUGUGUAAUUAAUUAAGCAAUAAUUACAAAAAAAUUGACAGAAUUAGAAUCCCUGUAAGUAUAUUCCCCCACUGAUUAGAUACAAUCAUACAAGCUGCAGCGUCAUCAGUACAGCUUUGCUAUUUGUAACCUCACACUUAGUUUUGUUAUGGCAACAGAGUUUGAAGUAGAAUCCGGAUCCUGUUUGUGAGAUCCAAAAAUUCAUGAAUCACAUCCAUUCAUUGUAUAUCGUACGGUCAAAAAUUAUUUUAAAUAUUUUUUUUUUAAAUUAAAUACAAACAGUACUUGAUAAAAACUGACCGCACGAUGUACUUUGAUACGCUCCAAUCCAAUAUCCUAUUGAUACCUAAAUGGCACGUGUUGGCCAACACUUAAGAAUGACGAAAGUCAUAAAAUACCUACAACUAUGUAAGAAUAAACAAAUACUAGAAGACAAUGAUAAUAUAAUUAUGACUAGAACAUCAAGGCAACGGAAGUUCAACGGUUACAAAUUUAAGAAGCAAAGUGCACAAUAUGUCCAGAGCACAUAAGUACACGAACAUACGAGUAUGAAUAUGAAAUCUAAUUACAAUAACAUAAGAAAGCCAUACACAACUGGAAGACCGCAUAAUUAUUGAUAGGGAAAAGCCUCGAUACUCGGGUCGUAAUCCUCGUCACUAGGUCCUGAAGGGAGCGCAAAACAGAAAAUGUGAGUGAACCAUAAUUUAUAAUACUAAUAAUAUGAAAAUCAUUUCCUUUAUGAACGUACUAACCCCCUGGUUUGAAAACAUAUAUAUACUACUACGCAAUAAGUUUUUGAAAACUCUAAUAUGCCAUGAAAAAUCUCCGUAAAACCUUAGGCAUCAAAACUGUACUAGCACCGCCCGAAGACAAAACCAUAACUCUCAAUAAAACCAUACUCUCUAGGGGUAUCAUAUUCGCCUGCAGGCAAUACUUGUCCAUCACCCGAAGGUGAAGCUGUACGACAUUAGGUUACACCAAUGAAGAAACAUGGUAGGUCCCAUCACCCGAAGGUGAAGUUGUACGACUCAGGGUUACGAUAGAGAAGAAACUUUAUAACAUCUCACACCGACACUAGCCGUGACUAGUGAAGCUGUCCGACACUGCUUUCGGCAGUGAAGCUGGAGGUAUAACAUAUAUAUCAUUCAUCCUUAUCACCGUGUCCUAUGGCCAUAGACAUCUAAUACCCGUGGUGUGUGGAUGUGUUGUAUGUUAACCCAUUAGAUAUAUAAACCCAAAACACAACUCAACUCUCAAAGCUCAAGUCAAAAACUCAAACGUCAAACGCUUAAACCUCAUACAAUAAUUCAUAGAACUAAAACACCAUAAAUUUACUGAAACUCGUAUGUAUAAACUCAUAAUUUAUAACCUUUAAUAUAAAGUGUUUGUACCAUACUUGACCAAUCUUGAAACUACUGAGCAUCGAUCAACGUUAUACCGUCAAUGACCCAUAAGAGUUUCUCUCAAACCAGGAGGCCAAUCAUAGCGCGACACGUGUCGACAUCAGAAGCCAAUCAUAGUGCGACACGUGUUAACAUCAGAAGUCAAUCACAACACGACACGUGUCAAUGUCAGAAUGAAACUAGAAACUCUCUUCUAUAAAUAGAUAUCAUUCUCUCACAAUAUUUCAUAAUGUCAUUUGUACUAAAUCAUUCACUAGUACUCACUAUUUGAGAGCUUGAACCUAUGUACUUGUGUAAACCCUUCGCAAUUAAUGAGAACUCCCCUACUCCGUGGACGUAGCCAAUCUGGGUGAACCACGUACAUCUUGUGUUUGCUUCCUUGUCCCUAUCCAUUUACACACUUAUCCACACUAGUGACCGGAGCCAUCUAGCGAAGAUCACAAACUUAACACUUUCUGUUGUCCCAAAGUCCUCAUUGAUUUUAUGCAUCAACGUAAAGUAAAUCUAAUAUAUUCAAAAUAUUCCAUAAGUCCCCACACGCCGCCGCAUGCACCGCCACACGCUGAGUUGAGUCGUUGGAAAGUUGGCCAGAAAAAUCGUUGACGCCGUCGCCUCCGCCGGAGUCGUGUGUGCUCCACGCGCCAGCCCCCACGAGCAGGCCGUGGAUCUGGGUUCAGGCCUGAGUCUGGGUCGGGUCUGGGCUCUGAUCUAGCUUGUUGGGUCUGGGGUUUUGGGUUCGUGAGUAUUGGGUUUGGGUUAGGGUUAGAAAAUGGGAUUGGGUCUUAAAGGAUUAUUGGGCUUAAGUUUUAAUAAAAUAAAUUGGGCUAAAUGGGUUGGGUUAGAGAGACUUGGGCCGAAUUACAUAUAGGUCGAGUCGACCCGAAUUAAGUCAUGGGUAAUCGGGCCCCUCGAGGGAGACACCGAAAUAUUUGCCAGAAUUCCUCCCCGAUUCUGAUUUAACUUAAAACUCAACCAAAUCAAAGCUGUUUAAACUAAAACUGAAACCCAAGAAGAAAAGAACAAGAAUAUACCCCUUUGAGACUCGACCGUGGUCGAGACUGGCCGAAAUGUGUACGAAAUUCGACGGAAAUUGUCGUCGGAAUUCUGGAAAUAUGAAACAGUAUACAUGUAGGUUUUAGAACUAGGAAUUCAAGGUAAGUAUUCGUCACAAAUCGACUACAACCAACACGCAGUCCCAGCAAUUCGAAAGAGAAAGGAAAAACCUCACCUGAGACUGGAAUUUAGAGCUUGAAGCCCUCGGUGCUAAUGGCAGACUAAGCAGAGCUGCCCAGAUGUAACAUUCAACUCUGUAGGUAUCUCCUCUAGGUCCUAAAGGUCCAAACUUCAAGUUUUUGAGAAUUUCGGAAUCAAGAGGAAUUGGGGUGUCUUCUUCUCGGAGUCAAAGAGAGAGUGUGAGCUGAGAGAGAAGAGAUUCAGUUUUCAGACUAAUAAGAAAGAAAGAAGACAGGUUCACAAGUGGUUAAUUCAACCUAACCUUAGGCCGGGUUUAGGCCUAAACAAAUUUAAAAAGAAUCCCGGGCCUUAAGUUAACACAAAGGGGCUGGGCCCAGUGAGAGUUAUGCUAUUUUGGGAUAAGGGCUAUUACAUACGAUGAACGGAUAUGAUUUACGAAUUCUUAAGAUCUUCACCAAAAGGAUCAGGAGAGGAUCAUGUUGGUUUGAAGUAAACUCUUGUUUGUCCACGUGUACAAUAUGCCUUUUCACUUUUCACACAUUUUUCUAAUUUUCGACAGUCGAAUCGGAUGAAAUGAAAAAGAUCAAAAGACAAAAAGUAAUAAUAGACGUUUAAAAAAAAAAUGUAUGGAUAACACACAUCUUUAACAAUAUGUGGUAACAGCUGACACGCCAACAUGUGUGUGAACUACACUAAAAAAAAAGGGGUAAUGCGCGGAAAAUUAUUUUUAACUUAUAUUUUGUAAAUCAUAUGACUUAAAUGUUGAUUAAUGUGUUUAUUUUAAUUUGUAACAUAUUAUAUGAUUUGUAAAUGUGGUUCAAAAAAUUAAUCUACCUAAUAUUACUCAUAAAACGUUUUAGACAGAACAUUAAAUACAUAUAAUAAGUUAAUAAUUAAGAAUAAUGCUAUACAUACCAUGUUUUGUACUAUAUUUUCAUACCACCUUAGGUGGCAUUUGAUGUGGACAACCACAUCAUUUGAAUUAAUCAGAUUUUUUAAUUUAGUUCAUUAUUGAAUAAACUAAUAAUUAAGAAAAAACUAAUUAAUUAAAUGAUGAUUGUGGUAUACGAGAAGUCUUUCUCCUUCCUUUCCUCAAGUUUUGCAAUUUUUUCAAAUGACGUGGUUGUUCACAUCAAGUAUCACCUAAGGUAUAGAAAUGUGAUAUAAAAACAUAGUAUGAAUAACAUUACUCAAUAAUUAAUGAGUGUGCCUACUUCUCAUUGGGGGUAAAACAGGAAUGAAACAUGCACUCAAAGUUUGCUUAUGUAGCAAGUUGAUCAAAGAGUUUAAUUUGAAGAUACACAAUUUUUGAGUUUUUACUAAAUGCACUAUCAAAAUUGGACUAAAUUUAACUUUUUUUUAUAUUAAAAUUACAUUUGCAAGCAAUUAGUACUACGGUCUAGUUAUAUAUUUCUUCAAAAACAAAUUUGAACCACAUUAUUAUGGUUAGCCUAUUGUGAGGCUUAAGCCCACUUCCA